rnacentral:lncRNA from 1 species
UUAGGGUGAUAGGUUUAAGACUUUGGAGGGAGGCGCAAUUCCUCGUACAUGGAAUGCGGCUAAUCUCAAGUUUUAUUUUAGUUGAACUCUAGCAUUGUACACAGUUUAAGGGGACGCUCUUUUUCCCUUUUUAAGGGUAUUUUAACGAGGUCACCCAAUAAAAUUAUGAUUGAAGUAUACAUAUUCUCAAAUUUUUUGUACAAUGCAGGGGCGAACCUGUCGCCUUGGUGUUUAGACACCUCGAGAGGGAGUGAUAGCUUCCGCUUAGGACGCCUCCCCCUCGAGCGUGAGCGCCAAGUGCGAACAGCAGGGUUCGGUCAGUGACGAGCCUGUCGCCUUGGUGUUUAGACACCUCGAGAGGGAGUGGCAGCUUCCGCUUAGGACGCCUCCCCCUCGAGCGUGGGCGCCAAGUGCGAACAACAGGGUUCGACCAGUGACGAACCUGUCGCUUUGGUGUUUAGACACCUCGAGAGGGAGUGGCUUCGCUUAGGAUGCCUUCCCCUCGAGCGUGGACGCCAAGUGCGAACAACAGGGUUCGACCAGUGAUGAACCUGUCGUCUUGGUGUUUAGACACCUCGAGAGGGAGUGGCAGCUUUCGCUUAGGACGCCUGCCCCUCGAGCGUGGGCGCCAAGUGCGAACAACAGGGUUCAACCAGCAAUGAACCUGUCGUUUUAGUGUUUAGACACCUCGAAAGGGAGUGGCAGCUUCCGCUUAGGACGCCUUCCCCUCGAGGGUGGACGCCAAGUGCGAACAGCAAGGUUCGGCCAGUUAAGUCCUCCUUUGCCUUUGAGCAAAGACGAGGUCGGUGACGCGUCUUGUGGCUAGAGACCUUGAGAGGGAGGGGCAGUUCCCACGUAGGACGCCCCCUCCCAAACGCGAACGCCAAGGCUCAGCGAAAGGAUUCCCAAUUAAGUCCUCUACUGCCUUGGGGGCGAAGAUGAGACCGGUUGGUGGAUCCUCCCUAAUCGCAAAGUAUGGGUAAGUAUCAGCAAAGGAGUUUCCCUUGUCUAAGCAAAAGUUAAGGCAAGACUAGUUGAAGGUUCACUCAUGCUCACAUCCAUCACGGGUUGCUAAGCAGUUAAGACAGAGGGCGAGAAAGCGUGCUACCUAGAGUUCGAAGUUUUAAAGUUUGUCAAGGACUUAAAGGUGUUAGCAUCAUAACGUUGUUGGUAAGAGCGUCAAGUCAAAGACGCAGUUAUUGGCAAACAAAGAUAAAUAAAGCAAGUAAAGAAAGGUGCGAGUUAUAUUAAAUAAAUGUUUCGGAGGACAUAGUUUCAAAGCCAAAGUUACACAAGUUCCUUUUGAGGGCGCCUUGGCACGAUCUGCCUAUCCACAAUGUGGUUCGACGUUGCGAAGGAGGAGACAUCUAUCUCGAGAUGCUUGCAAGUAACCCGAGCGAGAGCGUCCUCGAACCCUACUGCAUAGGCAUUGGUGGCAUCGUCAAUGAGCUCCGCUUUGGCUUUCCCGAAGGCUUCAGCUUGAGUGGUCAGUUCUGCCUUGACCCUCUCAAGGGCUUCAGUUUGUGCGGUAAGCUCAACCUCUACUUUCCCGAGCUGCACCUCCCGAUCCGUGGCCCACUCUUCAAGUUUGACCAUCCUAGCUUUGUUGGCCAUGGUUUCCUCCUCAAGUUCCACCACCUGGGUACGUAGUGGCACAACCUUGGCCAAUAGAGUGGUGUACUCUUGGCCCUUGUCGAAGAGCUUCUUGUUGGCCUCCAGCUCAGCCUGGUGAAGGGCGUUUACUUCCUGAUGUAGCGCAGUCUCACGGUUGGAGAAAACCUAAGCCUGUUGGGCCAGUUGCUCCUUCGCCAGAGCCAGUUCUUCAGCCAAAGCCAUCUGCUCCUUUGCUUUUGACUCCACCUCGUGGAAAAAGGCGUCAAAUUGGGAAAGGAAUUCUCCAAGGCUGAGAGCCAAGCUCUCCCGCACAGCCUUUCCGCUUGAGCUUCCCAUGGCCCCUCUCUGGUAGCCCUUGAGGAUUUGUUGAAGGACCAGGGGAAGUUCAGGAGCAGGGGCUAGUUCAAGUACGCUCUCACCGCCACCCUCGAGUGCAAGGAGGCCUUGGGAGGAUGAGGCGCUCGGUGGAGCAGAAAGCGCUGAGGCACUUACGUCAGCAACAACAUCUUGACGAAGGGCCAAGACCUCAGCAAGUCUUGCUUGCUUCUCCUCGUUCAGCACCAUGCCUGCAUUAAAACAAAAGGGGAUGAGAAUUUGGCAAGGUUACCAAGAGGCAGGAAGUUAGCACAUGCAUAAGUAUGAGAUAACAUACAAGCAAGGUAGUAAAGAGAUAAAGGGGGGUCAGAAGCAAGGCUCUAUACCAAUGUAGCCCGCGAGACUAGAUGGGUUGUACUCAUGCUUGAUGAGCUCGACUGUGCUGAAGACCACCCCAAGGCUAGCCAGCACUUGGCACACCUCGCGAUCAGCAGAGGAUAACUCAUCAAGGGUCUUGGCUUUUUUAAGGGUUAACUUCCCCACCCAAUACAGAGGAAACCCGUCCAACAGGGUGCUGUCGUGCCCAGAGCAGCACACCUUGAAGAAUUUCCUUUUGAAACCCUUGUAAGAUUGUUGAAAUAAGGUGAGGAUGACUCUCCCUGUCACCCUGCUGAAGCUCACCCAGAGGUUCUUCCCAGGGUUCUUGGCUUCGAAAUAAUGAAGGAAGACGUCCACAGAUGGUGGAUGGCCGAAAUGGUUGCAAAGGAUGGAGAAAGCCCUCACAAAGGCCCAACUAUUGGGAUGCAGCUGGGCAGGGGCAACGUUCACUUCAGUGAGCAGCUCCCUCUCGAAGCUAGUGAAGGGGAGGUGCUGCCUAAUGCGUUUGAAAACAGUUUGGUAGAAGAAGAAGAAAGACUCUCCAUCAUUGGCACGGUUGUCCGUGCACACGGGUUCACCCUCUGCACAGGGACGAACUGAGACGUACGCGUCACUCUCUCUCCCAAACGCCCUACCCAGGAACUCGAGCUCGCUAUGCAGGUGUGCCCUCCAAUCCGCAAUCGAUGUAAGGGUGGAGGUUUCAGCGAGGAGUUCAUCGGAUACCCCAGGGUACAUUUCUCUGUAGUUGACAUUGGGUGGAGGGUUGGAGGUAGUCUUCGUUCGUGCCAUGAUGAAGGAAGCUAAAAAAGCAAGGAGAGAAGAAGGUAAGGGUCCAGCAAGGGGGGCUACGGUGUAAAAAGGAAGAAAAACCCUACGCUCGCAGAAAACCCAGAAAAACAGAGGAACGAAGAGUAAAUGCAGAGGAAAACCUAAACGUGGAAGUUUAAACAAGCCCAAGCAGUUAUCAAUGCGCGAAAUCAGAAAUAAAGAGCAAUCAAUGGAGAAAAAUCAUACCUUUGAUUGUUGAUGAGCGAAAGUUUGGGUUUUUGCGAAGGUAGGAAACCAGAGUGUUCGAAGAAGAAGAUGAAAAGUGCAAUAGAAGUUACAAAUGAUGGAACAGUGCAUGAAGCAUGCACUUUGAAAUACUUAACGUAAACUGGGAAAGCGCAAGCGACGGUAAGUCCCAGCCGUUGGAUUAAGACACGUGUGCACAUAUUAAGAAAGGUACAGGAAAGUGUCAUUUCGAGACACUAUGCACGUCCUGUCACAGGAAACCACGUAGGUCGGCAGGGCGAGAACUUAGUCUCUUCGCUAAACAAGUUGACAGCUCGAGACUGGGGGGCUUGUGUGCCGGACGGUCCUCGGACCUCGACAUUGACCGCAUUUACGGUGGGGCCCCGAAUGCUGGGUCCACUAGGAGGCUGGGAGGAUAGGUCAACAUCUCGCGAAACACACGAGUGAGGGUAGCCGAGGAGGGGGCGGCGUUGAGGUGAAAAGGGUGGUUUCCAAGACACACUCCAGUCAUCAGUAAGGGAGAGACCUAAAUCACGGGGGGUCCAUGCAUGGAGUGUGGGCGGCAGGGUAGGGUGCGACACAAUCAAAGAGCUGUUGAAUCAAGUGUGUUCAAGCUUUGAAAAAUCCAAACCCUUUGAAGGUUGAUGGAAGGCUGGAUGUGCUUGUUGUUGCUGAGCUAUGUUAGAAUAGGAUCUGGGGUAGAUUAUCUGUGUUAAAUCCACUCUUGAUUGAAUUCAAAGCUUAAGCAUUCUCAAACCUUUUAAUUGAAAGUGUUUUUCAAACUAAGUGAAAAACAACUUGUUGUUUUGUCGAAACAACCGAUUGUUUUAUACUUAGGUGUUUUUAUAAAGGUUGAAAACUGUUUUUGAUGGUUGACUUGCUGUCAAACCAAAACAACCGAUUGAUUCGAGCAUUCAGCCGAUUGUUUGUUUUGGACCAUAACAGAAAACUGUUUUGUGCUUUGACUGAGCUUUAAAUGAUAUUAUAACUGAAUACACUCCAGUUUUAAAUGCUUUGACCAGUCUUUGAAUGCAAUAAAUAGUUUGUUCAGAUUUUGUAACAAACAAGAACUUAUUUUUAAUCAAAGAAAAACAGAUUUGAGUUUUUCACUGAUUUUCCUUUUGAAGAGUUGGAGAUUGCUUUGAGAUUGCUUUGAUCAAGAGAGUGUGAUAUAGGAUUUUCAUCUUGUAUUGAUUUCAAAUCUUUUUUGUAACAAGUGUAAUCCUUCUGUACAUUGAAGAAACUCUGUGUGUGAAGCUGAGAAGUGUUGUGUGUUCUUGAGGUUGUCAAGAUCAACAUUCUUAGUUGUGUUUGUGCUGAGCCAAAGGAAGUGUGUGUCUUGAGGGGAUCAAGGUCACUUCUUUGGUGGUGUUGUAAGUAAUCUAGGGUUGAUUGCUUAGUGGAUUCCGCAGUGGUUUCUGGGAAGACUGGAUGUAGCUCUUGGUUUAAGAGUGAACCAGUAUAACUCCGUGUGUACAAUCUCUAUCUCUCUAUCCCUUGAACUCUUUAAAUUCAGUUUAUAUUUGUGAACUAGUAUAAACAACCGAUUGUUUUUAUGGUGCUGUGCUAAAUUGCUUUGUGUUUUUGGCAAACUGAUUUCUUAAUCAAGUUUUCUCGAAGUAAUUUCAUUCUAGACUUAAAAGUUUGCAAAAACCCUCUUUAAACCAUUCACCCCCCCCCCUCUAGUUUAAAACCAUACAUUCUAACAAGAGCCACUGGGAAAGAGACGACCUGUGAGGGUCACAUUCUAGGGUGAUUUGCAUGCAUGGUACGUGAGCAGCUAGGGCACUCCUAGGGCGGAUGAUCCCAGAGAUUGGGUGCAUGAGUUGGCACCCAAGCAGUCAUCCCGCGCCAACUGCACUUUGGAAAGGGAGUCUUAUGCACUAAAGGCCCUCAGAGCGGGUGUUAGUGACGCUAAGGCAUACCUACAGUAAGGCUAGUUACAGUUAGCGAAAGUGGCAAAAACACUAGAGUAUAUAAAGGGUAACAACCAACGUAAUAAGGUACGCAUUUCUAAUGCAAGUAACACACAGAGAGAAUACACACACACAAAGCUCUUAGAGUUAAGAGUUUUUUGGUGUUUCUUUGCCCGAGAGUUUGACUUGAGCGUCAGAGUUUAAACGCCUGCGAGGGCGCCCUUUGUCUCUUUGUUUCAGGUGAUUCUGUCGGAGGUAAGGCACGUAGAGACGAAGGGAUUCUUGAUCGCAAGGGUGUCUUAAGUGCACAAAGACAUUUAGGUCAACCGGCGGGAACAAUAUGGUUCUUAGUGAGCCUCCCUCUUGCAUGAGAACGCCAAGGUCAAGACAGUAAGGUUCCCAGAUAAAAUCCUCCUUUGCCUCUAUACGACAAAGGAAGGUCAGUAAGUGAACCUCUCCCUUGGAUUAGAAACACCAAGACUGGGAAUAGUACGGUUCUUAGUGAGCCUCCCUCUUGCGUGGGAACGCCAAGGUCGAGAAGAGUAUGGUUCCCAGAUUAAAAUCCUCCCCUGCCUCUAUACGGCAAGGACGAGGUCAAUAGGCAAACAUCUCCUUUGGGUUAGAAACACCAAGAUUGGAAAUAGUAUGGUUCUGAGUGAGCCCCCCUCUUGCGUGAGAACGCUAAGGCUCAUAAUAGAAUAGUUACCAGUUAAAUCAUCCCUUACCUCUAUACAGCUAGGACGAGGUCAGUAAAGGAGAACCUCUUCCUUGUCUUGUAAGGCAAGGUCAGUAUGGUUCCCAGUUAUAUGUCUCCCUUACCCCUAUGUGGAAAGGUCGAGACCAGCUAAGUGAGUCUCUCCCUUGUCUUGUAAGACAAGGCCGAAAAUAGUGAGGAGUGUAGGGGUUUUGAGGGGUUUAACGUAUACGAAGAAGCGCAAGCGGCAACGAGCCUUAACCGUUGAUCCUGCCACGUGUAUGCUGAUUAAAAAAGUAUGGUGAAACGUCACUUCAGUGCCCUGUUCACGUCCCGUCACCCUAGCAUCACGUAGGUCGUCGUGGGUGAUCACUUAACCUCUUUGCUGAAACAAGUUACAGCUCGAGCCUGGGGGGCUUGUGUACUGGCCAAACCUCGGACAUCGACUGAAGAGAUCGGCAUCAGACAUCAGUCAUAUUAAUGGGUCACGUAGGUAGCCCCCAGAAAUACUAAUGAGUUAUUAUCCAUACAAGAGAGGGACCUAAGUCACGAGAGGAUUCAUGCAUGUGGUGUGAAUAGCACGUUCAGGUCUAGCAGAAGUAAAUAACCCUUGGAGACGCUAAGGCCCGUUAGGGUGAGGGUUUCCAAGGGUAGACUGCAUGCAUGACACGUGAAUACUUAGGGCACCUAUAGAGCAGAUGGCCCCGCAGCGCUGGUACAUGAGUUGGUACCCUAGGAGUCGUGCUAUUAGAGAUUUUGCACUCCAAAAGAGUCAAGUCUUGUGACGCGGCUGUGCUAAGCUUGUGCAACGGGUCACAUAAUGCCUCACAGUAACCCUAAUUCCACUAAAGGAAAGAUACUCGUGGGAGAGGGAGUUGACCUAGAUACAACAUAAAGGGUGGUAAAAACCCUAGAAAAGGUACGUCGUUUCUAAGACUGAAACUGCUCUACAUACUUUACUGUUUCUUAGCAUAGUACUGACUUGAUUGUCAGAGUGCAAUCAACAGGUAGGACCCCCAUCUAUUUCAACGGAGUCACUCUUAGCUAUCCAAAAAGACAGCUGAAACCACUAGAAAAUAGAAGGAACCACCAUCUGUCUUCGAAGUCAACAACGACUAAGUCAACCGACGAGAACAAAUCUUAUAAACAUGUACCACACCUGAAAAUCUUAACUUUACUGUUAGACUAGAAAAAUAUUGUUAAGCCUAUUUUGAGCUUAAUUCGAAAUCUUGAAAUUUAAAUGAACCUAUUUGAAUAUAACGGGCUAACUAAUCAUUUAUCUAGUUAAAUCAUUAUUUUUUUCUAGUUAACCCCAAAUUUUUAUUAUUUAAAUAUUAAAUAUAUGAGAUUGCAGUGCAGUUCUUAAAACAUUUGUUGCGUUAAAACAUAGAAAUUUUACCUUGGAAGUGUUAAACCCUUUGGCAUUGUGGAAUUUGAAGGAUAACACAAUUCUUAUUUAUCUAUUAUUUUAUCUUCUUCUUCUUCUUCUUCUUCACUCUGAGACUCCGAGUGAGUGUGUAUGAGUUGGGGUAGCCAUGGGGAGUUCACGAGAGCGAUUGGUGAAGGCGGUGAAAAAGUUCGUGGAUGUUCGGUACAAGGUUUUCAGCAAUCGUUACGGUCCAACCAUCAUCGACAUAUUGGACUUCCCAAUUAAGGUUGUCUUGUCUCCCUUCACUCUCGCCUUCGACAUUGCCGGCUCUGCGCCUCGCGGCUUCGGCGUCCCCGAACUCAUCUCCAAGCUCUCUGCCACUUCCGUCUUCGUCAGUCUCUUUCCCUUUUCCCUAUGCAAUUUUCUUCUCUCUCACUUUUUCUCGCUAUUUAUCUAUUGUUUUGUACAAUAUGAUUCCCUAAUUUCUGGAGGAAGUGAUGAUUACUGGUAGCCGGAUUGCCUCUGUAGAGAUACUUGUAGAAGGCACAUGUGGUCUUGAAAACUAUUAUUUUCACUAUCCUGCAUUUAUGUAGUUAUAUAGAUAUAGACAGGAAAGUAAUUGCUGUUGUUUUUCCAGUUUCUGAAAAAAAAAAGUUAGAAUGAAGAAGCUGAAAACAAUGUAAUAUUUUGGUAAUGAUUAGUGAAAUUGAAAAUGAAUAAGAAAGGAAUUAUGUUAAACCAAAUAAGUAUUUUUGGAAGCCAUUUUACUUUUUAAAUUUUUUAUCAUUUGGAUUAUUGAUGGGAGUUGUAUUCUCUGGAAAUUUUAUCUUGUUAGUUCUAGGUUCAAUUUUUGUUUUAUUUUUAUAAUGAUAGAUGUUGCUUCAUGGCUUGGUUGUAGGCUAUAGCUGCUCUUGGAACUUAUGACAUUGCAUUUGAGCUGGGGAGGAAGGUGCUAUGUCAAAGGUGCUGUUUGUAUUCCUUGAUUGUGGUUUUGUUGUGUCACUUGAAUACAUGAUACCUUGAAUCUCUUAUGAGUUUAGUGUUGCUCAUUGACUUUUGUAAACUCUAACUAAAUGUGUGUCUCAAGAACAGGAAUUGUAAUACAUGUAGUGGAUGGCGGGCCUUGCGGUGUACAAUGUGCAGAGGAAGUGGGAGGGUGCAUUAUCAAGUCAAGAAUUACACCUUGAAGAGGUAUGUGACUCUCCAUUUGGAUAAAUUUAGAGGUGGCGGUGAGUAUUACUAUGUAAAUGUGGUUUGUUUGGUGCUCUUGUUGAAAUUUUUAAUAGAACCCACAAACAAUGAAACUUGCAAAAGUUAUUUCAAGAUCAUAAAAGUUGAGAUUCUAGUUGAAUUAGAAUACGUUGCAAUCUUCGUCAUUUGGGGUCAUGCAUGAUUACUUAUGUAGUUUGUCCAAGCUUCCAAGAAAACUACGUAAUAAAUACUCACACAUACACAAAGUUCAGAUGGGAAAAAAGCUACUCCAUCAAAUCCUUAUUAUAAGACACUGUUAACAGAAUUAUAACUGUUUAAUGAGAAAACGAACACAGUCUUUGGGACUUGAAAAUGUUGUAAUAGCUUUUCAUUGGGAAAUACCUGAAUUAUAACUCAGCCUAUAUCUCUCUUUUUUAAAGAAAAACCCCAAAGUAGAUACCAAAAACAUUUAGUAAAGGAAAACCAGUAAAAAAGAUAAAUGUAUCAUUGGAGUAUAAAGUCACGUAUAAAUUGGACCAUAUAGAGCAUGUACAAGGUGUCUUAUAAUAAGGACCGGAGGGAGUAUUUAAACACAUACUAGUUUUAUGCCAAUGAAUUUUUCUAAAAUGGUGGUUGACCUAAAGUCACACUAAAUUAAUAUAUUAAUAUCUGAACUGCAAUGAAAAUAUCUGCUGUCAAGUAAGGAAAUGUGUAUCUGAUUUAUAUAAAAUGGGCAUAAGAUAGCUCAGUAUAUUUUUAGUGGAUAACUCUCUUCUAUUUUGAUUUCUUUUAGUGCACGUCAUUUAUUAUUUUGAGAUUCUCCUCCAAUUUGUAUACACCUUAUAUGUUCUUCAACUUUUAACUUUUAGUGGAGAGAAGCCAACUGCUGAAUCUGUAGCAGACGCCAUUGCCAACAAUCGGGCUGAGUUGGUGCAUCUACCGUCAUCCUUGGAUUUUCAAAACCCACUCCCUUCAAAAGAGUGUCCAACUUGUGAUGGAACGGUGGGAGUUAAAUUCCAAGACAAUUUGUCUUUUCAUCCAACAUUUUGUUUUCAUGGAUAGGUUCAUUCCCGCUGAAGUAGUAAUUCAUGAAUAAACUUUAGUCCUCCCCCUGCAUGCGCACACACCUACCCACCAUAAAACAAUUCUACUUUGAGAUCAAUAGUUAGUCUCAUAUGUUCUUCAUCUGGUAGCUUUAACAUUGCAAUGUGUUUUGACCUUUUUUUUUGAAGAAUUUAUUUCACUUUACACAGGGUGCAAUGAGCUGUCCUGAAUGCAAACACAGAUUGGUGCAUGUUAGGAUCUCAGCAGAUGAUGUGGGUAUUGUUGACUCUUUGGUGCUUGGUUCUUUUCCCAUUAUUGAAUUUAACUCGUUCAUAUUUGAUCUUUAAUAUUACCUGUGAAGUUUUAAUAAUCUAUUUAUAAUAUGUAGCCAAAUGUGGCUUUGGCAAUUAAACUAAUCUUUUGUUUCCACACCAGUAUUUUGAUUGAUAUGUCACUUAGUGAUUCAAUACUAUAUUUUCUCGCUUUCUCUUAACCAUUUUUUACCCACAUCAGCAACGGCAAUUUUUAUUUUAAUUUCUUAAAUGAAUUAGAAUCCAUCACUUACAUUGUAUAAUAACCAUUGAUUAGUGGAAACAGUGAGUUCUUUUGAUGUAAUUAUACUUGUAAUUGCUUCAAAAUAAAAAAUUUGCUUCCUCAACAAAUAUUUUCUCAAACACUUGGUCGAUUUCUCUUGUAACAAUGACAGUAUUUAAAUCUUGCAAAAAUCUCAUAACUUUUUAAAGAUUUAUUGGAUUAUUUAUUUUACUUCUCAAUGAUAUGUAAAUUAUUAAAGUUAAAAUACAUGCUAUCGGAUAGAUGCUAAAAUUAUCUUAUUGAUGAACUGUUUAACAAGUUGGUGUAAUGCUGGUUCAUAUUAUUUUAAGCAUCCUUUUCUUUGGGCAGAUUAUGGAGCCCCCUUGGCAAGCUUAUAAUGUCUUGAAAAAAAUGGAUUACCCAUAUGAGGUUAGUGUUAUUUCUUCUAAGAUCAAAUUUGAUUCUAUUAAAUAAGAAAUUCUAUUGUCAUUAUUUAUUAUUGACAAUAUAAUACAGAUUCCUCUCAUAUGCAACUGAACAAACCUUGAUCCUAGGCAUUUGUACUCAUUUCUUUACUUUUGUGUGCAUUGGAAUUCAUGUUUCUCUUAUAUUAGCAUUUCAUGCAAACUUUUGUUGGUUAAAUAAGUGUGUCAAGAGGAGACAUAAAAUAUAAAAUUUAUUCUACUUCUGAUUUCUCACUCUUUUUUUUGACAUUGAAAUCAUUAGUAUAUGUUUUGUUUUUUCCUCUUUUCAGCACAUAGUUCACAGCAUGUUUUGUUUUCUCUUAUAUUAGCAUUUCAUGCAAACUUUUGUUGGUUAAAUAAGUGUGUCAAGAGGAGACAUAAAAUAUAAAAUUUAUUCUACUUCUGAUUUCUCACUCUUUUUUUUGACAUUGAAAUCAUUAGUAUAUGUUUUGUUUUUUCCUCUUUUCAGCACAUAGUUCACAGCAUGAAAGAUCCUAGUAUUGCUGCAUUUUGGCUGAUUACAUUUCCUCAGAUCAUGGGUGGAUUUACCUAUGAUGAUGAUGUGAAGCAGAAAAUAUGGUGGCAAUACAAGGUUUACAUUUCUAUUCCUUUCCAUAGUUCAGUACAGUUCAUCUACUAAUUAUUAUCUUAUGAUAAAUGAUUGCUUGGUAAAAGAAAUGAUGAAAUUACAUACCUGCUUUAAACAAAUUUUAAUUGCAAAUUUGUCAUGAAAUAUGAAUAUAAGGUGAAAAUACAAUGUUAAGGCCCAGGAUUAAACAAAAGAAAUGUGUUUUUGCUUGUUUACCCUUAUAUUUUGGUUAGGAAUGUGGUCCACAAGGAUAAUAAUAUACAACAAAAGUAACAUAUUUCUGUCCUUGCUACUUUCAGAUGGAUGAGAAUAAUUUUCAAUGACCUGGUUUUCCUUUUGUUCUGCAUGCUUGCAAGUGAAAAUUUAAUUUCCUCUAUUUUCUACUUCUGUCAAUUCAUUUUUACUCUCCUUGAGCUCAGUGGAUCGUGCACCUCAGUUCAGAGAUUGGUAUUUGUAGAAUUCUAAUUUUGUGAAAAUACAAGAAACAACUGAUCUGAAUAUAUGAAUCUGUCAGCUUGUAGCUUUUUGAAGGUUUCAUCCCUUUUUCCAGCACCAACAUAGUUUUCCAAGCACCUAUGCUGUUUCAUCUGCGUGUGUGUGUUUUAAUACAGAAGGAUUCAUGGGACCAAUUGACUGAAUAAUCCUGUGUAUUUCUCUAGCCGGCAAACAUAAUGUGUUGGAAGAUUUUCUUUGUACUUAGUACUUUGACCUGUAUGCCAGUAACUAUUUGGAAUUUCAGAUUGCUUAGGAAAAUGGUGCGGGAAAUUGGAUUUAAUAUUUAAAAUGGAAUUGAAAAAAAGGGAAUGAAGGUCAUAACCCUAUGAUUAUACAACCUUUCAUUCGAUUAACCUUUUCAAAAGUUAAUCAGACAUUAUGCAGCCUAAAUCAUCAUCUGUCAUGUUCAUUCUUUAUAGAAGUUGGUCAACUCUAUGUCUCUAAAUAUAUCUAUUUUCCUUUUCCUUUUGUGAGUGAAUUUAGGAAUCUAGGCGGUAUGAUCAACUCCGAGAUGUGGUGGCCAAGAGGAAACCUGGGUGGGAGUAUCUGCAGGAGGUAAGCUUUUCAUCCUUUGCACUAACCAUGGCUAUCUGGUAAUGCCUAUGCUCAUAUUUUAGAUGUGGAAGUCACAAGCGAUAUAAAUGUUGGGUAUGCUGGGGAUUAGUUGCUAAAAUAAAUGGACGAAAAGCUUAUUCUUUUACUAUUUUUCUGAUAAUUAUGGUAGUUUUUUAUUAGUUGGAUGCUAGAUAUGGAGUUAUUUAUGUGGUUGAUUGACGGUGGCAUUCAUCUUAAAUUUAUGUAAUUUUCUCUGGAUUAAAUUUUACAAUGUUUGUUUAUUUUGAACUGAUGUUAUCAUAGGCCUUGAUAUCUAUUGAUCCUGACCGUGCAAGGGAUGAUCCUGUCAUAGUGAAAAAUGUCCCUUACUAUAAGGCUCAGAAGGCACUGGAGACAGAGGUUAUGAAGCUUGAUCCUCCAGCAAGACCGUCAAAUUGGGGUGUACGUAUUUACUAUCUACACGUAACAUUUGCUAGUUAUUCCUUCAGUUAAUGUGCACAAUUUUCUUUCAAAUUAAUUUAUAAUGUGUUUUUGAUAAUUGCACUGCUUGAAUUCUUUAUCCCCAGUUGGUUAGAAUGCGCAUAUAGACAGUUGCAUAUACUGGAUUGACAUGGUCAGUAUGACUUAAAAAACAAGCUGGCCUCUAAGCUGGUCUAAACAGGCCUCUUUAUGUAUUUGCAGUGAAUAAGUCUAAUGUGGGUGAUCCACCAGGAUGGGCUAACUCGGUUUAAAUAUUUUUGGCUUCACAAAUUUGUUAACACUGUACAAGGAUGACCCUUUUGAAGUGCAUUCUACUACAGAACACUUCCGAUGUUUUCUCCUUUUAUUUCUUUAAGCUGUUCAAUGGAAAAUCAGUGGGGCGUAAACCUUUUGAAAUUGCGGCGAGCCUCUGGCUCAAAUGCGUAAAAGUGAGAAUAUAAAUUUAACAGCAUGCAAAAAGGGUCAUAAGAUAUUCAUAAAAUAUGCCAUCACAACUUUUCACUACAAAAUAUAUUGUUAGGUUGGUCACUCCCACUUCCAUUUGAAAAAGGAAAAUUAUAAAAGUAGUGUAGGUUGUAGGCAUAUCCUUCUCAGAAAUGAGACAUAAACUGCAGAGAAUUGGCAGGAGCUGGACCUUCCAUUGAAUGCAUCGUCUUGGAGUGAGGAGGAUCUCAAAAAUCCAGAAAAGUUCUAUGAAAUGACUGUUCUUCUUAAUGCCCAAAGAGAAAUCUCUGAUAAGAUCUUGGAUGCACAGUGGGAAACUAAAUGGCGUCAGGACAAGGUUGGUGGUUUUUUUGUCUUUACAAUUAGUUACUUUGUUUAUGUUGAAAGGAUCAACUAAUCAAAAUCGACAUAUGCUGUAAUCAGGCAUUUCAUAUGAUGAAAUAAUAAUGUUAAAUUGUGUGUACAAUUGUCUUGUCCCAAGAUCACACUCUUUUUUUUUAAUCAGCAUCAAGAUCACACUCUUGGCCUUUUUAGUUUACAAUGUUCAUGUAUGCUUGGGUUUUGCUUCCAAUUCAAGAUUUCAAGCUGUCUGUGGUUUGAGUUGUGUACUUAACCGCUCUCAGAACUAUUACAUACCUUUAAUAUAUGUUCAGUUUGUGGAAUAUUAUAUUAUUCUUGCACACUUUCAAAUGUCGCUGUCCAUCAAUCUUUUGUGCAAGUGACUGACUUAAUUUCACCUUCAGUUGAAUGAGAUGUUGGAGGCCAAGGUGAAGCCAUUCAUUCAGGAUAUAGACAACGCAGUUCUUCCUGAGCCUAUUUUAAUAAAACCACAAAAUCAGGAAAAGGUCUCUCUUUUCUCUGUUAUUUGCGUUCGAACAUUCAUUGAUUAUGCAUGUUGCUCAAGAUAGACAACUUUUCUAUUUUAAUUAAUUUGUACAAUCUCUUCUAUAUUUGUUUUUUCAAAAACUGAUUUUUAAUUUAUGUAUAAACUAAUUUUACUUUAAGAAUUUUUUUCUUCAUUUUUCCAUGUUUUUUUAUAUUAUAAGUGCUUUUGGAGAAAUUUUAUCGAAAACAUGUCCAAAUUUAUUAGCUUUCAUUUUGAAGUUUUCAUUUUUCCAUUUUGAAGUCUACUGUAUUUUUAGAUUACGCAAUGUGCAGUUUGUUGCAUGACUGAAUUUUCUGAUUGAAUUUUGUAAUUUCCACUAUUCCUUUCAUCGUGUAGAAGAUACGAAGUUAAACUUCAGAGCUGAAUAAACAUUUAGAAGUUCAUUAGUUGUUCGUCUUUGAAAUAUAAUAGGAGGAAGUUAAUGUUUCCUUAUUAUUAUCAUGUUUUACUUUCUCAGCAAUAUCCCUCUCCUAGUUUUAGGUACAGUGAUGAUGUGAUUUUCUUACUUUGCAUGUUGCUCCUGCAGAGACAACGGCGAAGGUGGUUUUUCUUUUGACAACAGGGACAAAGCUACUAUAAAUAUGCUCCAGCAUGCUUGUUUGUAGUCCUACUAUUUUUUUGGCAUGAUCUGUAACUAUGCAUAUUGUUGGAAGCCUGGAUUCAGUGUGUAUCAUGAAGCACACAUGUUGUGCCUCUGUUUUGGGCAUCAUUUUGUGGAGGAACCAAUUGUUUUUGACACAAGUAAUACAACUUGUGGAAAAAAGUCCAGAGAGACAUGCAAGAAGAAACAAAAACCUUUGCAGAUGUUACAUUUUGUUGUUGUGACAGACAUGUUCCGAAGAUACCAUAUUUGGGUUAAAUUCCUUUCAAUCCUGUCUUACUGAAAUUUCCUGUAAUCCAAUCCUUCAUGUUGUUUACUCUCAACUGUUCUGUUCACUGCUGAUAUAUUUGAUGAUUUUUACAUUCACCUACGCAUUACACACACUAACACGUAGAAUCAAAUAUCAAAAUCCACUAUUUGAUUCUUAUAGUGUCGCUAAUAAGUAAUUUUGAUCAUUCUAAAAAAUAAAUUACACAUUUGGUUAAAUUUUUUUUAAUUAAGUUAUUUUGAUCUGAUAUUGGUAUAUAAUUUGAUUUCUACGUAUUUUCAAUGCUAAUAAAUGCUACAAUUUAUUAUUAAACAUUAUUGUUAAUGUUCUAUGUAAACAAGUAAUUAGCAUUGUUAUAUAUUAAUAUUUUUAUUUGAAAUGUAAUAUCAAAUCAAUUGAAAUUAUAAUUGUUUAAUUUGAAAAUCAAAUAAUCAGAAGUACAGUUAAAUUUUUUGUAACUUCAAAUUGCUGUUUGCUUUCAUACACAUGCAUAUGCAGGCAUAAAUCUAUGUUGGAAAUUCAACUGUCUUUAUCAAGUUUUAAAUUUUAUGCCAAGAAAAAGUCAGUGGCGAUUUUUUUUCUUCUAAACACUGAGAUAGCUUAGGAUUUAAAGAUAAGUAUGAUUGACUCACUUUUCAAAAUCUUUUGUUUAGUAUUUACUUGUGUGUUUUGUUUUCAACUUAAUCUAAGACCAACCUUAAAGUUCAUAAAGUAAUAUUCAGAUAUUUCGUUUUACGCGUUUAAAUAUUUUUAUAGAAAAAUAUAUUAGAGAUAUUUUAUUUUUUAUAAAUUUUUAUUCUGUUUUUUUUUUCUGUAUUUUUUCAAGCAUCUUAUAUUUUGUCACCUUUUAUACAACUUUAAACGUCGAAUUGUCAUGUUUUAUUAAUUAUUAUUUAAUAUUUUGUGUUUUCAAAUUUCUAUUCAUUUAAGAAAUUGUGCUAAAAUAUUUCAAUUUAGUGGUAAAUAUUUCUUUUAAAAUUUUGUAACUCAUACUUUUACUUCAGUUUUUCAGUUAUUCUCUUCAUAAUUUUCAUAUUUUUUAUAUUCACUCUUUUACAACUUCAUUUCAUUUCAAUUAAGAUAUUUUCUGGGAGAAAGUAAUAUUAAAAGUAAGGUUUUAAAAUUAUUUAGAAGGUAUAUNNNNNNNNNNNNNNNNNNNNNNNNNNNNNNNNNNNNNNNNNNNNNNNNNNNNNNNNNNNNNNNNNNNNNNNNNNNNNNNNNNNNNNNNNNNNNNNNNNNNUAUAUAUAUAUGAGAUUUUUCAUUAUAAUCGUUUUUUGGUGUACACAAAUUUUUUCCAAUUCUAUCCUUAUUAAUAUAUCAUAUUUUAUUAAUACAAUGGAGUAUUUUGUCAUUUCAUAUGAAUUACUUAAAAUAUAAAAUUAUUUUUUAAUUUUUUAAAUUAAUAUUAAUGUACAGUUUGUAUAUGACUCUCUCACUCUUUUCUUAUUUCCUUGUUUUAAGGCAACAAAAAGAGUAUUCUCUCACACAUUUCUAUACAAAAUCUCACAUAUAAAAUAAAAGAACCUUCACUUUCAAUCACUCUCUGCACUCUAUUUUUUUUUUAAAUUUCGACUCACCCUAAAUUAUUUCUGUAUGUAUGUUACAUUUCUAUCAUCUUAAAAAAAUUAAGUAAAAGAAAAAAAUAUGGAUAUACAAACGCCAUUGCGUCUUUGUUUCCACUAAUAUUAAUAAUAAUGUGCGUUAUAUUAGAUAGUUUUUUUGUUACAUAAUAGUAUAUAAUUUUAUUUUAUAUUAUUUUUAAUAAUAAUGUAAAUUAAAUUUAUUCAAAAAUAUAAUAAAUUGUUAAUAUUUGUCCUAUAAAUAUUUAUAUCUGGUAAUAUGUAAAAGUAGUGUGUAGUUGUAUGAUAUAUUUUGUAAUAUUUAUAUUUAUUAAUUGAUAUGUAUAAUUUUAUAUUUAUAUUAUAAAAAGAAGAUCCUAAGAACUUGAGUAGUGUGUUCACAUGCUUCAUCUGCAUUUCCACUCUUACUUUCCAAAUAGCCAACUCGUGACACACCUCACUUUCACACCAAAUAGCUUACACCUACUUUAAAAAUUUACCUUGUCAUUUCACAUAACCAAAUAGCUUAUUAAUUGUUAGACAUCUUAUGUUAGAUUAGACACCCUAUUUUAUUUAUUAAAAUUUUUAUUCUCUAGAUACAUUUAAUUUAGAGUAUAGAAUUUUCAUCAAUCAAAUUUUAACUAAAUGAUUUAUGGAAGAAUGAGUUACACUUAUACUUUUUUAUAUUUUUUUUAGUAAUUCAUAAUCUAUCAUAUUUGAGAUUUGAGUUUGUUUAAAUUUUUUUGUUAUGUUAUUGGUAUGAACAUAAUGAGUUAGAUUUAUAUUUUUUUAGCAAUUCAUAAUCUAUUAUAUUUGAGAUUUGAGUUUGUUUAAAUUUAUUUGUUAUGUUAUUGGUACGAACAUACAAUGUUCGCAGCAUAAGAUUUUACAUCAACUAAAAAUAAGAUCAACGUAGUAUAGACAAAUUUCAUCUUACAAGAUAAAUUAGACUUUUAAUUUUAAUAAAUUUUAUAUUAAAUAAUUAUAAACCGUCCAAAUUUCAUUGUAUUAUAUUAGGGGUAUUAAGUUUGUGUUUUAUCCAUAUAUUCAUGUAUGCAAGAGGAGUUCGUUUUUAUAUUCUCUACUUUGUUUUAUUUAUAAUUUUUUUACUUCAAAUAAUUUAUAAUCUAAUUAUUCAAAUGUUUGUUUUAUUUAUAAAUUUGUUACUUCAAAUAAUUUAUAAUUUAAUUAUUCAAAUAUCUGUAACUUACAAAAUUUGUAUUUUCAUUACUGAUAACUUUAUUAUUUAGAAAGUUUCCUAUUUAUUUAUUAUUUUAAAAUUAUUUUUUAACAAAUGAACUAAAUCAAAUAGUAAUAAUUGAGAUUCCUUAAACAUUGAAGUAAGUGUGAUAUUUAGUGUCAUUAUUAUGUUAUUCCCUUGAUAUAUAUCUAGAGUACUUACUUGAUCGUCGGAGAACCUUUUGCAGGUUUACUCCUGAUCGAGCGCUAAGGAACUGAGGAACUGAAGAGUUGAUAUCUGAAGAAGGGAAAAAGAUGAAUAACCGAAGCACGAGAGAGGACGACCGAAGGAACAAUUACUUGAAGAGCGACCAACACCAACAACAAUUGUCAUGCCAAUCUCAGGUACUAUUUAGGCCCACUUUGUCUAUACAAGUACAUUUGACACCCAACGUUGGACCUAAAUAGAGUCAAAGCAAACAACAAUGGUUUCGACAAGGUAGAUGAUGAACAAUAGGAUGCUAGAAGUGGAUCAGAUCGCUAUUUUCCAGGCUCUACAGAAAGAGGUGGAAUAAAUAUGCUAAAAGAACAAAGACGAGGUUACCCUUCGUCGAAAGAAUGAGGAGGAGAUGUGAAUCCUUAAGGAACAACAUGAACAGAUGAAGCGACAGCCAGUUGAGCCCAUAUUUGGAGCCGAGCGUAGGUAGCGUAGACAAACUCCUCCUCAAAGGAGUGAACACACACAAAAUCACGAGAGAACGACUACUACUCGAACUCAGACUUAUCAAUCUUCUAGACCGCAUACAGAAUGAACAAUCAUCAUAGAAGACGAGUACGAAGAUACCACAAAUCCGGACGAACACAUUGAUGUAUACAAAAUGCAGAUGGACCUCUACACAUCAAACAAGUUGGUGUGGUGUUGGGUAUUCCCCACUUCGCUGAAGGGGGAAACAUUCAUUUGGUUCACCAGGCUUCCAUUCGACUCAGUAGAUAGCUUCAAAACCUUAUUAUCUAAACUCGGUACUCAGUUUGCAAUUAGCCGACCGCAUCAUCUGACAUUUAUAGCACUUGUCAACAUACAACAAGAGAAAGGAAAAUCACUUAGGACAUUCAUGGAGAGAUUUAGCAAAUUAUCCAUGAACAUCAGGAAUGUCAGCCUAGAAGUGGCCAUCAUUUGGCACGACCCUUAGGUCAAGCCUGUUUGCUGAUAGUCUAUGUAAAAAACCAACAAAAAACUUAGAUGAAUGGAGGCAAUGACUGGCUAAAUUUAUGCAAUUAGAAGAAUUGCGUGACAAUUGCAGUAAUGUUCGAGCGAAAAAUGGAGGAGAUAAAGGAAAAGAGAAGGAUCGUGGUGGUAGGCAAGGGCAUAGUAGAUCGAACAGGUACAAAGAACAUCGAGGUCCUCAAUUUCACACUUAUACCCCUUUAAAUGUCGAUAGGGGAACAAUCAUAGAUGAGACACUAAACGUCAAUCUCAUCUCGACAUUUUGAAAGCUGCAAAGCCCGAAGGAUGCGACACAUCUAAACAAUGUUGAUACCACCACAACUUUGGCCACAUGGUCGAAGAGUUCCAAGCAUUGAAAGAAAAAAAAUGAGGAACUUAUUCAAGCUGGGCACUUCCACAAGUUCGUUUAAGGCGCAAACAGGAGUUCCUAUAAAUCCCCCCAAAGGGAGAAAUAUCAUCGAAGGGAUGGGCGAAGGACUAUGGCUGCUAAGGUACUUAGAGCAAAAUACUAUUGGCCGACCAUUCAGAGCGACUAUGCCGAGUUCAUGCAAAAAUGUUUGAAAUUCCAAGAGUAUGACACAUUAUGUCAAGAGUAUGUCCACUAACGAUUAAUGAAUAUUUAAUAGAAAAACUUUUCUUUGACAUUCUAAAUAAUGAAAAACAAACACUUGACAACUUGUUAUAAUAAUAUAAUAAUAUUUUAAAUUAAAAAAUAAAAUAAAAAUAAUAAAAAUAUUAAUUUAUUAGGAUGUUAAGUGUAUGUUUUCAGUGUAGAUAGUGUCAAUAUAUUAUCUUCCUAUAUAAUAACUACAUAUCUAAUAAAUAUCUAUAUUUUAGGUAUUGAGUAGUACAUAUGUACCUUCCUAAAGAAGGAAUGAAUAAAUACGAGAUUAUAAAGAAGAGUGACAAAAGAGAAUAAGGAGAAAGAAUGAUCUACCUUAGGAUCUCCAUUCUUCUUGCCUUGAACAACACAUUGUGAGGUGGAAGUAAUGUAUCUUUUAAGACUUUAAGUGAAUGAAUCUGAUGGUAUAUAUAGAAGUGUGGUGUCAUAGGUCAAGUCUGAUUAUAAGCCUCUAAGACUCGAUGCAUGAGACUAGGAGGAUAUGUGGUAUCAUAGGUAGGGACGAUUUUGACGGGAUAGGAGUCAAUCUCAGAAAAAUAUCUAAUUGGAGAUUAAAUAUUUAAUAGAGAAAUCUUAUUAAUAUCUCCUCCACAUUCAAGAUAAUUUUAAUGCAAAAUUAAAGCAUUAUAAAGAUAAAAUUGACAUUUAGUGAAUAAAAACUAAAGACAAAACCAAAAAAAAAGGAGAUAAAAGGAAAUAUACAAAUAACAAAAACUUAAUUAAAAAAUUCCUAUAUUUCUUAUUUAAACUAAAUACUCUAGUUAAUAUUCAUAUUUUUUGGUAGAAGAAAUUUAUAGAAUCAUAUAUACAAAACAACUGGUGUUCUUGGCCAUAAGGUACUGUUUGAUGUAACAAUUUGAUCGAGCAAAAAACAGGCGAUUUUAUUUGACUAAGCUGCAAUUCAAAGAAAACAGUUAAGUUUUUAUCCGUGGGAGAAAACAGUUGAGUGGUUUUGUUUGGUAUUUACUUCCAGCUUCUCCAUUCAAUUUAGACUUGCAAUUCGUGAAUUUUAAAAUUGAUUGAUUAUUGAAUUGCAGAAUGAAGUAAAUGAAAUUUUGGUUGGGUAAUUUGUUGAUUGAUGAAAUGAUUGCAAUUGAAGAAAUUGACUGUGCGUGAUGGAAUAAAGCCUAUUUGCUAUCUCAUAGUAAUUGUGUGUGAUUUGCUUUUAAUUUCUAAAACAAUUUCUGGUGGGCUUGCAAUUGAAAUUGAUAAUUCCAAUGGGGCCCACCAUAUUGGUGAAAGCUUCAGACAUGCUAUUUGUUUAUUAAAGAAGCAGCAGAUUUGUGAAUUGGUAUGAAUUUUGGUUCCAAAUUGCAUUCAAGUAGGACCCCCCAUUUUUUAACCCUUCUAUCACAUGCACUACCCUAUUCAAUUACAAUGACAAAUUUAAUUCUUCAAUUCAAUUUCCUCAAAAAUAUUUUUCAAAUUGAGUUCAUUUGACUCAAAUGAUACUUCUGAUUUUUGGUGCAAUAAUUGUGCAAUUGAAGACCAACAUUGUAUAGGUGCAUGAUUGGUUUUUGAUUUUAACUUUUGCCCUAAACCUUACUUUCCUUUAUUGUGAAAAAUCUUUUAAUACAAAACUUAUGUCUAUGCAUAUACUUCUUACCAUACAUUAAAUAACUUAGGUUCUUUAAAAAAAUGUUUAAAACCUUUGGAUACUAAAUUGUGUAAAAGGAAAGAAUUUUUUUUAAAAAAAAGAGAUGUUAAACUUGUGAUUCUUGAUGAGAAACGUAGAAUCUUAACUACAGAAGAGGAGAAAAUAGAAAAAAGAAUUAAAAAAUAGAAAAAAAUCACAAAAUAGUAGAAACAAUUCUACUAUUCCAAAAGUUACAUUAGGGGAUAUUGAGGUCAAAUAGUGUAUCUUAGUAUGAAUUAACAUUAUUAACCUCCCCUAUAAUGUAUUUUGUUUUUAAAAAAAAAGUAUAGUUUAAGUAUUUCCUAUAUGCUGAUGCUGCCCAUAUUUGUUCUAAUGAAUUUUUUCUUGAGCAAAAUUUCCGGAUCAACCUAGUAUAUAACAAGAAAAUAAUUUUCAAAAUUCUUAUUUAACUUAUUCUCUUAUUGUGGAUAGUAAAUCAUGCUACAAUCUGUGUAGUACUUAGUUAGAUCAAAUGUUGAACUUAACUAUCAAUUCUCAUCCUAAAUUUUAUAAACUUCCUUGAAUUUUUAAAGAUGAAAAUAUAAUAGUCAAGCAACAAGUCAAAUAAAAGCUUUUCAAAGGCGAGAAAAAAGUUUUGUGAUUUAGUACCAAUUGAUGCUUGUGAUAUUUUGUUAGAACAACCUUGCAUAUUUUAUCAUAAAAUCAUUUAUGAAGAUCGUACUAAUAAAAUAACUUUCACUCAUAAGAAAAAUAAGUCAUGUAUUGAGUUGCUAACUGAGAGAAAUUCUAAGAAAUAUGGCAAUCACAUAGGACAAAAAAAAUUACUUCUAAAAUCAUGAACUUUUGUCUCUAAUUUGAUAAGAAGUACAUGAAUUUUAGAAGUCAUAAUUUUCUCUAUUAUGUCUUGAAGAACCUUAUUCUUCUUGACCUUUCUGUAUAUCUUUCACUUUCUGUUUGGUGUUCAUUGUAGGUGGGUGUCUGAUCUUGGGGGAAAAACGUUAACCUCAAAUAAUAAUAAGGUUGUUAUCUUGAAACAACGAUGCACAUUUGAGAACAAAUAUUCUUAAGAGGGGGAUGGUGAAAAACCAUCAAGUCACAACAUCCACAAAAUAAGGAAGAUGAAGACCUAGAGUUUUGUUCAAUAACUUAUUUAAACGUUUGAGCCUAAUUGAAAUUUUAUCUAUCUUUUAUAGACCUAAUAAAGAGGAAAAAUCUAGGAUAAUCCGCUAGCUUCUUUCUUGUUCCUUAUUGCGGCUAAAGGUUUGGCGGGAGUGGCUAGGAUGGCAGUUGAGAAGAAUUUGAUUGAUAUCUUGGAGAUUGGAGGGAAAAAAAAGUGAAGGUAAACAUGUUGCAAUAUGCCGACGAUACCAUAUUCUUUUGCAAAAAGAAUAAUAAAAGUGUCUUCAAUAUAAAGUGGCUUUGAAUUGUUUUGAACUUUCUUUUGGCCUUGAGGUGAACUUCUUGAAGAACUGGUGGCUUGGGGGUUGAUCAGAUAACGAUCCAACGUUUUGCAGGAAUUCUCAAUUGUGAAGUGAUGGUAAUUCCUUUUGUAUACCUGGGUAUGUAGGUAGGGGGUGUCAUAAGAGACAGACGUUUUGGGUAGGGGUGGUUGACAAACUGAAGAGUAGAUUAAGCAGGUGGAAAGGUAAGUUCUUGUCAAUGGCAGGGAGGAUCUGUCUGAUUAAGUCAGUACUUUCCUCUAUUCCGUUGUUUUAUUUGUAUUUAUUCAAAAUGCUCUCUUUGGUGGCAAAUGAGAUAGUGAGAAUACAAAGGAUUUUUUUUAUGGGUCUGGGCUUCUUGGAAAAAGGUGUGCGAACUACGCAAGGCCGGUGGUCUUGGUAUCCUUGACUUAAGGGUCUUUAAUUCGGUGUUGCUCAAUAAAUGGAUUUGGCGAUUGGGAUCAGAUAAGGGUGGUUUGUGGAAGGAGAUUCUUGAAUCUAAGUACGGGGGUGGAGAGUUUUGAGAGAGGGAGGGAAAAAUAAUAAGGACUAUCUUUGGUGGAGAGAUUUGAAGGAAGUCUGGAGUUUGGAGGGCUGGGGCCAAAAUUUUGAAGAUGCUAUUAAGUGGAAGUUUGGUACAGGGAAGGAAAUUUUUUUUGGGAAGACAAUUGGGUGGGCAGUGGAGCCCUAAAGAGCAUUUCCCCGAGGUUGUUUUACUUGAGCUUGUCAAAAGCCUCUAAGGUGGUCGAGCUUGGGGUGUGGAAUAGCGGGAUAUGGGAUUGGACAUUCGCUUGGAGAAUGAGUCUUUUUGAAUGGGAAAAGCAAAUGGAGCGUCAGUUUUCCCAGGUAGUCUAAGGUGUGUGUUUUGACUUGGAAAAGGAGGAUAACUGGGUUUGGAAGGAUGGAGAGGCGUUAUCAUAUACGGUUAAAUAUGCUUAUAAUCGUUUAAGGGGGGUGGAGAAGGGGAGAAUGUCACCGUGUUUAAAUAACUUUGGAGGUGUAAAGCUAUGCCUUUUGCACUUGUUACUACAUGGAGGGUGUUGGAAAAUAAGCUAGCCACUAGGGUUAACCUGGAAAAGCGCGGGGUUGCGGUCGAAGCCCUCUGUGUAGUCUUUGUAGGAUGGAGGAGGAGUCAAAUAGCCAUUUGUUCUUCAAGUGCAGCUUUGCUUGGCUAGUGUGCAAACGUUGUUUUGCAUGGCUUGGAGUGCAAUUUGUGUCCCAUAAUGAUCCACUACUAAAUUUCUCUCAGUUUAGGUUGUGUAAUGCGUCUGCUUCGGUAAAUGAGGUAUGGGGAGUGAUAUGGACUACAAUAAGCGAGUUAAGGAAGCAUAAAAAUGGCAUAAUCUUUAAAGGAGGAGUUGUCGAUGGUUUAGAAGUGGUUGCCUUGGUUCAAGUGAAUGCUUGGUCUUUGAUUACGUCCAAGUCUCUCUCUGGAUUCUUCUCUUUUUCUGAUUGGUGUCUCGAACCUCUGGUCUGUAUGAGGAUGAUUUUUUGAUAUAUUAUUGAGUUCAGGUGCUUGUUUUUAGGGGGUUUGAUUUUUUAGUAAAUUCAGGGGUGUUUUUUUAUUCAUAGGAGUGUUUUUUUCGAUAGGAGUGAAGUGAGUCUAUUUUUUUUUGUAUAAGAGUUGGACUAUCCCUGAAGUGGUUCACAUUUAUUCAUUUUUUAUUGUCAAUAAAAAAACUCUAUUUCUCUUCAAUCUAUGAAACUGCUCUUGAGUUUUAAGGAUUCCUCAAUUCUCAUUCAUCAUCCAUCAAAAAAGAAAUCAUAAAGAAGACUACUAGAAGAAUAUUGUUUUCCAUAAAAAUAGAAUUUAAAAAAUGAUAAAAUUAAAUAAUUAAAUAAUUAAGAUUCUAAUUUAUAUGUUUUGUAUAACUUAAUUUUAAUUUUAAUUUCAAAAAUUAUAUCUACUAAACAAAAAUGGAUCUCAACGUGAUAUUUAUAAAUAAUUAAAUAAUUAUGAUUCUAAUUUAUAUAUUUAAUAUAAUUAAAAAAAUUAGAAAAUCUGAUCUUACACUUAUAAUUGUUUUUUAAUGAUGAAAUGCAUUGGAAUCACGUUUAAUAAAUCUGUUCUCUAUCAAUGAUUAAAAGAAUUUAUUAUUGUACUUGCUAAAUUUGUAAUUAUUCAAUAUAAAAUUUGGUUAAUCAGACCAUUUCAUAUGUUCUUUACUUGUACAUAUUCAAGAGAAUAUCAAUUUUAUUAGUUUUUAUUUUACAUAUAUUAUUGAUAAUUUGUUUUAAAUUAUUUUUCUAGUUUAUUUAUUUAUAAUUUUUUAUUUCAAGUAUUUUAUAAUUUCGUGACUGGCAGAAUUUGAUUUUUUUUCUGAAGAACUUUGGUAGUCAGAAAUGUUGACAAUUGACCUAUUGGAGAUAAAAUUGAAAGAGAAAAACUCAGUUAAGAAAAGAUAUAUUAGUUUAUGAAAAAGUGUACAAUUUGCUGAUAGAGAUAUCUCCAAAUUUAUAGCCAAACAUUGUAUAAAAAUUAUUGAAAUGAAUGCAAUUUCUUUUUGACAAAAGUAUUAAUCUAAAAAAAAUUAUAUUCUACACUUGAUAUGCAAUUUGUUAUCUUCUAAUUGGAUAUUAUUCUUGACCAUAUCAUUGCUCCAAUUUUCAUUCACAUAUAUCUUGAACUAUGGUUUAUUUUAUGUCACAUCACAAUGUAUGGUGUAACAUCAUUUUCCAUGGAGAAAAGCUUUUGGUUGAAUGUUCUUUGAAUCAACCAUACAAAAACAAUGUACCUUUCACCCCAAUUUUCCAAUUCACACUCCAAUGCCUUUGCCGACGCAGCUUCUUCCUUUUUCCAAAAUUUCUCAUCAAGUUUAUUCCAUUAUUAUAAUCUUAAAUUUGUACAAUGAAAGCUUCCAAAUUUGAAAAAAAACAUUACCCUGAAAUGAUGGCAGACAACAAGUCAAUAGGUCAUUAAAGGAAAAAGAAGACCAAAAGAAGUUCAAUUUAAUGCAUGGAAGAGUGUUGUAGUUUUUUUAUAUCCAUGUUUGAAGAAAUAAAUGUCUUGGUUGGUUGGUAGAUGCUAUGUAAUUACUUCUUCCAUAAGUGUGCUAUUUUAAAAUUAUUUUUUGAUUUUAUUUUCUACUCACUUCUUUUCUAUAUGUAAUUGUUGUUUAAUUCUGUUUUACUUAAACCAAAAAACAUUUAAUUCGGCUAUUUUCAAUAUAAUUUUAAUUAAGUUGUCUAUUAGUAUUUUCUCUUCAAAUAAUUUUCGUGCACAAUAAAAAUAGAAAUAUGAUUGAAUAAAAGUUGUAAUAUCUUGAAAUUUUAAAAUAAAAGAUAAAAUAAUAAUGUCUAUUUCAAAAUAUAUAAACAUAGAGAAUAUUUAACUGUUUUACAUAUUUGAGGUAAAAAUUAAAAGUGAAAAAUGAAAAGUACUAUAAAUAUUUUAGUAAUAUCAAUAAAAUUAUUUUGUUUUUAUUUUUUAUAAAGAGAAUUAAAGGAGACUUAAAAAAUAGAUGAAGAUCGUAGAAAAAUAGACUUAAUUGUUGCUAUUUGUUCAUGUGAAAAAGUAUUUCAUCCAUUCACUUUCAUAUAGGCUUUUUAAGGAAUCUAUGAACCAAUUUUAGAGUGGUUUAACUUAUAUUUAAAAAUAUAAGUUAAAGCUAAAUUAUUUAGUUAUUCAAAGUUAAAAUUUAUAAUUUUUUUAAUUUUUAUAUAAUUUUUUAAGUUUAUGAAACUUCUUUUUCUUGAAAAGGUUUGGUUAGUUAGGAGGAAUGACUUGUUAAACCUUUCUAUCAUAUUAUAAUUUGAUUUAAAGUAAGUUUCUUUUUUAUAUCUCUAAGACUAUUGUUCUUGCUGUUUGACCUGGUUGUCGGUUGACUUUGGGAACAGGUUGUAAUUCCGUCUACUUCUGCUGGAUUUUGCCCUUUUUCUGGGAUGUUGGAACACGUCUCUGUUUGAAACAGAGGGGACCUAUUGAUUGCACUCUGACGAUCAAGUCAGUACUGGGCUAAGAAAUAAUGAGUAAGUAAGCAAGUAGUUUCAGUCUUAGAAACGGUGUACCUUUACCAGGGAUCUCGAGUCCCUUUUAUAUACUACUUUUAGGUUACUUCAUUGUAACACCCCUUCUCUCACGAGAACAUUAUCUCGAGUGAAAGUAGGUUUGAUGGGGACAAUCUGUUACAAUGUCGCACAAUCUCAGUGCAACAAUCGCACAAAAUUUUCCUCCUUGGAGUGCAUAAUCUUAACAGCAUGGCCGCCAAGGUACCAACUCAUGUACCAGCAUCAUGGGGCCCAUAUGUUACUGUAGGCGCUCUAGGCUUUACGUAUCAUGCAUGCAGCUUAUCCCUGAAAAUCCUAACGCUCUUGGGCCUAGGCAUCUUUAGGGGAUAUUUACUUAUGCUAGACCCAAAUGUAUUAUACACACCACAUGAACUUUCUCGCUGAUCAGGCCUUAUAUAUACGGGUUUCAACACACGCAUUCCUGGGCCCACUUACGUGGCCAUUAACUUGUCCAGACCAUCGAGCGGACCUGCUUCACACAGGUGUCGAUGUCCGAUCACCUGAGCACUAAGCUCGACGCUCUGGUCCUAUACACAAGCCCCCCAGGCUCGAGCUGGAACUUGUUCCAGUGAAGAGGCUAACUAUUCUCCUAUGGCGACCUACGUGUCUUGUGAAUGAGGUGACGUUUCACCAUACUUCCUCACAAGCGCACACAUGGCCAUCAUCAACGGUUGGAAAGCGUUGCCGCUUGCGCUUCCCCUAUACGUUAACCUUUAGAUUUUUGCGCUUCUCUUUGAACACUCUUCUUUGAACACCCUGUUCUCUCCUCUCCAAAUAAGCCUCCUCGCCUCCUUUCAUCAAUCAUCUCAAGGUGCACUUUUUAUCUUGUGACUGAUUUUGGUAUGUCGUUUCAAUGCCUUUAAUAUGCUCAUAACUGCGUUGGGACUGUUUGUAUUUCUCCUAUCUAUGACCGUAAAUACCUCUAUUUUUCUGCUUCCUUGCUUCUUGUAAGAAUUGAUGGCUUAAACAAGAGGGGGGAUGAAUUAUUUUAUGAAAGUUUUUCGCAAAGAGUUGAUUUAGAAUGAAUCUUUAUCAAACAAUCCAGAUAAGAAAUUAAGGAAAGCAAUCAAACAAUCCAACAAAAAUAGUUAUCAGAAUUUUAACCGGUUAAACCUUCGUUUUAAUCGGUUGUUUAUACUAGCAACAAAAAUGAAAUUAUCAAACAGUUGUAGAGAGUUUGAGAGAAAGAGAGAUUUACACAAUAGGUCUAUACUGGUUCACUCAUACUUGAGCUACAUCUAGUUCUCAGAAGAACCUCUGAGUUCCACUAAUAACCAAUACCAAAUUACAACACACACAAAUAGGUAACCUUGCAACCCACAAGAUUCACUCACCCUCUUUGAAAUACCAAACACCUUAAGACAGAACAACCUUUGCCUUUACAGGAUUUCAAACACACACAACAGGUAAAAGAAGUACUAUUACAAGUAUCUAGACAAGGAUAGAAAACACAUGGAUUUGCACAAUACAUGAAACUCCUAUGAUCAGAACUUGUUACCACAACAAAGCAUGAACAACAAUCUUGCACUAUGAAAACCUCCUUUAAAAAACAAAUCUUUUUCUUUGAUCUCAAAUUUGUAUCAAUACUUGUUGUAUUUGAUUGUGUAUUUUGCUUUGAAAGAAGGGCUAUAUUUAUAGCUCUUGAAAUGUAGCCGUUUAAGGCAGAUUUAAUCAGCUGAAUCAGUUAAAACAAGUUUUCAAAAAUUUGUUAUGAAAACACACAUUUAACCGGUUGAAACCACGAUUUAACCGGUUGAAACCACGAUUUAAUCGGUUGAAACCACGAUUUAACCGGUUGAAUGAGUUAAGCAGUUUCAUAACUAAUUCAAAAAGCAGUUUCAAAAACCUCAAGCUAGCUAAGUGACAAACAACUGAUUAUCUCGAUGAUUCAACUGAUGGUUUUCCCUUUGCUUGGAAAAACAUUUUGUUUCUUUUAUAACUGAUUGGUCAAGCUUGUGCAAGGAUUAAGAUUUGAACUUUUACAAAGAUUCUAAACAAUCUAAUCUAAACCCAAACCAAAAGUAGCACAACUUUAGGCUUCAUGUGGAUUUGACACAUCAAAGCUCCCAUGUUCAACACUUCUUUCUUCAAAACACAUGCACUUCUUCCUCUGGGUAUUGCAUUUGUUUUCUUUCUUUGUUUUAGAUUCCCUGUAAGAUGGAUUACAAAACCCUAUACCCCUGGGCUCCUAGUAACCUUUUAGAGAAAACCUCUGAGUUCACCACUCAUGUGAAAAUAGUAUUGUAUAGGAAGAGCGAGCACCCUAAAAAGAAUUUUCUUUUUGGCAAAGAGCACGACAAGUUUGUAAGGUUGUGCCUUGUAGGGUAGAUGAACCUAUUUGCUGUGAUGAGUCAUCGGACCCAGAGGGCCCAUUCUGCUUCAUCUACUCUACUGUUUUCAAAAAUAUUCUUCUUCGCCUUCCCUUUAACAAUUUUAAAAGAGCCCUUCUCACCGAAAUCAACAUCGCCCUAGUCCAGCUACACCCAAAUAGUUGGGCGUUUGUUCGGGGAUUUUCCAUCUUGUGCCACCACUUUGGCCAUCUGCCAUCAGUGGAUGUGUUCCUAUACUUCUUUGAAGCCAAGCGACCAAGUCAGAAGUUGUGGGUGAGUUUCAACAGGGUUGCUGGGAGAGUUUUGUUUGUUGGGUUUAAUAGUGUCAAAGUUCAAGAGGGGGGAUGAAUUGACCUUUUAAAAGCUUCUCGCAAAAACAGUAUUUAACACAGUUUACAGAAAAUAAAUCGAUUUAUAUGGAAAUGAGCAGAUUUAUUUUAGCACUGUUUGUGUGUUUGAAAAGAGUUUAUGCAGCAAGGUUAAUCACAAGAUCUGCAGAUAUAUUUUUCAGAUGCUCACACACUGAUAUUAGAACGAAAAACAGUGAAUCACCAAAACAACAACCUUCAAUUUCAAGCAAGUGAUUAAGGUUCACUUAAUGGCUUGACAGUUUAUUGAGUGAUCUAUUACAAUCAACCUGUUCUAAUGGCUUUUAACAGAUUAUAAGUGUUCUUAUUGAAAUCAACCAGUUUUCCAGAAAUUAAGAACAAUAUGAACCGUGUCCAGACAGAACAGAUUUAUUUUUAAUUGAACCGAUUUAUUUCUUUGCUGUUUUAUCAAUUAUGCAAAAACUUAAUUGCAGAGAUUGAGAGAGAAUGAACACAAGGCAGUUAUACUGGUUCACUCAACUGAGCUACAUCCAGUCUUCACCCAAACCAAGGUGAAAUUCACUAAAUCACAAUACAAACAAACACAAUUCCUACUGUUCUUGAAACCUACAAGAACUUAGGUACUCUUGCUGAAAAAACCUAUUUCAGCUCACACACACUCUUCAAGAAAACCUAUCAAGAAGAGUGUUCAACCAAACUAUUACAGGAAAUGAAAAGUGAAACGACUACACCUGAUUGANNNNNNNNNNNNNNNNNNNNNNNNNNNNNNNNNNNNNNNNNNNNNNNNNNNNNNNNNNNNNNNNNNNNNNNNNNNNNNNNNNNNNNNNNNNNNNNNNNNNAGGCAAGAUUGCUAGAACAGUAGCAACACCUCACACCAAGCUUUUGGAACCAAACCAAGAACAAGCACUUUGUGAUUUUCGAAAUCUUUGAAGAACAAAUGCUAAUUCUUUGUAAACUUUUAAUUCUCUGCUGUAAAACUUGUUUUUACAAAUGUAUGAACGAUGAUUAAACUCAGAAACAAGUUUUCAUUUUAUAGAAAACUAACUUAUAACAGAAUUUUGAAAAACAGUUAAAGCUGUUAUAAAAUGAACAGAUUUAUUUUCAAAAGCAGUUAGAAAAUUUGUUAAGUGAGGAGACUUAGUCAACCAUUCUGGUGCAGAGAUAAAACUGAAAAACGUUUAAGCUAGAUAUGGCACCAGAGACAAAAUGAACCUAUUCAUUUACAGAUGAACAGAUUUAUUUUUCAAAACGAAAACAGAAAAGCNNNNNNNNNNNNNNNNNNNNNNNNNNNNNNNNNNNNNNNNNNNNNNNNNNNNNNNNNNNNNNNNNNNNNNNNNNNNNNNNNNNNNNNNNNNNNNNNNNNNNNNNNNNNNNNNNNNNNNNNNNNNNNNNNNNNNNNNNNNNNNNNNNNNNNNNNNNNNNNNNNNNNNNNNNNNNNNNNNNNNNNNNNNNNNNNNNNNNNNNNNNNNNNNNACAUGGCCAGUGGUUAUGAGGUGAGUUACUCAGCAAAAAGCCCACUCUUAAACAACCUCUAAGCACUACCUAAGACACACUUAAAGCAAAGCAAAAAUACACAUGAAAUGUACAUAAAAGUCUUCAUCAAACACAAUCUUGAAGGGGCAGCAACCAUCUUCAACAAUCUCCCCCUGUUUGAUGGAGACAAAUCCCCAUAGCUCUUGUUGCUUUAAGAACCUGCACUGCACCACAGAUUAAACCAGAAAAACAGAACAUUGCAUAACAUGUAAAAUGGUUUAAAGGUGCAGAAUUUAACUCCCUGUUUUAGCUAGCUUCACCUAGCAUGGUGAGCUAUUUUUCUCCCCCUUUGGAUUCAUCAAACAGCAUGUAAUCCUAGAGAAAAAAACCAGAAGCAUAACCAUAAUAGUCCAAAAGAUAAAGACAAAUUGUUCAUCAUUACAAACUUUUAAACUAAUAAAGAAAGCAUGAAAAACAGAAGACUACUGAUCCUUGUUGUAAAGCUCUGCAAGUUGUGCCUGAACCCUUCAAUCUGAUCAUCAAGGUGUUGAAACCUUGCUUGAGUAGUUUCAAAGUAUGCCCUUUAUUCUGUAGUCAUUACAUCAAGGCGAUACAACACUUGCCUUUCAAACAUAGACAUUGGUUCUCCUCGGUAUUUUGGAGAUUGAUAGGCAACUAUGGCAUUUGCAGCAACUCCCUCAUGCACAGAUUGGGUGGCAGGUGAGUCAUCCUCCAUGGGAAUAGCUUCAUCCUCAUCCUCAUUGUGGAGGUUUGAUGCUUCAUGUUCUGCUUGAGGGUCCUUUCCUUUAAGAACCACCCACUUGUCCUCAAUUUUGUGAAAUCCCAUUUUGGUGAGAGUUGAAUUAUCAAUCUCACUUACAGCUUUGAUAGGGUCGUUUCUCUCAUUUGUAACAUCAACACCAAAGUAAUCAAUCAAUUUGGAAACAAGAAUAGCAUAGGGAAAGCGGUAAUCAGCCAACCUUUUUUAUUUGAGCAUGUGUUCAUUGAUAAUGAAAACCCAAUUUACCUUAAUCUGGUUCAUGAUGCAAUAUAGAAGAAUUAGAUCCUCUUCAUGUAAAACUGCAUGGUUUGUACCUCUUGGGAUAAGUUGCCAUGCUAUGAUGUAGGCAACAAGGCGUGGAGUGAGGUUCAAAUGCCCUGCACGGAACCUGCUUAUACUCUCUGUAGAAUUCCUCAUGCAGCUUUUAUAGUAUUGCAGCUUGUUGAAUUCUNNNNNNNNNNNNNNNNNNNNNNNNNNNNNNNNNNNNNNNNNNNNNNNNNNNNNNNNNNNNNNNNNNNNNNNNNNNNNNNNNNNNNNNNNNNNNNNNNNNNNNNNNNNNNNNNNNNNNNNNNNNNNNNNNNNNNNNNNNNNNNNNNNNNNNNNNNNNNNNNNNNNNNNNNNNNNNNNNNNNNNNNNNNNNNNNNNNNNNNNNNNNNNNNNNNNNNNNNNNNNNNNNNNNNNNNNNNNNNNNNNNNNNNNNNNNNNNNNNNNNNNNNNNNNNNNNNNNNNNNNNNNNNNNNNNNNNNNNNNNNNNNNNNNNNNNNNNNNNNNNNNNNNNNNNNNNNNNNNNNNNNNNNNNNNNNNNNNNNNNNNNNNNNNNNNNNNNNNNNNNNNNNNNNNNNNNNNNNNNNNNNNNNNNNNNNNNNNNNNNNNNNNNNNNNNNNNNNNNNNNNNNNNNNNNNNNNNNNNNNNNNNNNNNNNNNNNNNNNNNNNNNNNNNNNNNNNNNNNNNNNNNNNNNNNNNNNNNNNNNNNNNNNNNNNNNNNNNNNNNNNNNNNNNNNNNNNNNNNNNNNNNNNNNNNNNNNNNNNNNNNNNNNNNNNNNNNNNNNNNNNNNNNNNNNNNNNNNNNNNNNNNNNNNNNNNNNNNNNNNNNNNNNNNNNNNNNNNNNNNNNNNNNNNNNNNNNNNNNNNNNNNNNNNNNNNNNNNNNNNNNNNNNNNNNNNNNNNNNNNNNNNNNNNNNNNNNNNNNNNNNNNNNNNNNNNNNNNNNNNNNNNNNNNNNNNNNNNNNNNNNNNNNNNNNNNNNNNNNNNNNNNNNNNNNNNNNNNNNNNNNNNNNNNNNNNNNNNNNNNNNNNNNNNNNNNNNNNNNNNNNNNNNNNNNNNNNNNNNNNNNNNNNNNNNNNNNNNNNNNNNNNNNNNNNNNNNNNNNNNNNNNNNNNNNNNNNNNNNNNNNNNNNNNNNNNNNNNNNNNNNNNNNNNNNNNNNNNNNNNNNNNNNNNNNNNNNNNNNNNNNNNNNNNNNNNNNNNNNNNNNNNNNNNNNNNNNNNNNNNNNNNNNNNNNNNNNNNNNNAGCAGAGGUAUAUGGUUAAGUAAGAUACCAAAAUCAUUCAAUUGAUGUCUUAGCCAUAUAGUUUGAACCAUCAACUCCCUGCUGCAAUGUAUUCUGCUUCAGCAGUGGAGAGAGCUACACAAGCCUGCUUUUUGCAUUGCCAUGAGAUCAAGGUUGAUCCAAGCAAAUGACAGGUUCCACUUGUGCUCUUCCUAUCAAUAUUGCACCCUGCAAAAUAUGAAUCAGAAUAUCCAGUUAAACUUAAUGAAAUAUUACCUGGAUACCACAAGCCAACUUCUUUAGUUCCUUGCAAAUACUUCAAAAUCCUUUUGGCAGCAUUGUAGUGUGAUUCUUUAGGAGCAGAUUGAAACCUUGCACACAUGCACACUGCAAACAUUAUGUCUGGCCUGCUGGCAGUGAGAUACAGUAGUGAUCCUAUGAGUCCUCUGUAUUUGGUUUCAUCAACAGAAAUUCCAGCUUCAUCAUGAUCCAAAUGACAGCUUGUUGAGAAGGGUGUGCUGAUUGGUUUACACUUGUCCAUUUCAAAUUUCUUCAGCAGAUCCUUGCAAUAGUUAGCUUGACUUAAGAAAAUGCCAUCCUUGAGUUGUUUGACCUGCAAGCCUAGAAAAUAGUUCAACUCACCCAUCAUUGACAUUUCAAACUCACUCUUCAUGACUUUCAUGAAAGCUUCACACAAUUCUCCAUUGUUUGAUCCAAAAAUGAUGUCAUCCACAUAUACUUGUACUAGAAUUGUGUCAUCUCCUUUCUUCUUGAUGAACAAGGUCUUAUCUGAUGUGCCUCUGUCAUAACCUUGAGAGAUGAGAAAAUCACUUAGCCUCUCAUACCAUUGCCUAGGAGCUUGCUUGAGUCCAUAGAGAGCCUUUUUGAGUUUGAACACAUAUUCUGGAUGUUGAUGGUCUUCAAAACCUGGUGGUUGUGAAACAAAUACCUCUUCAUUUAUAUAACCAUUUAGAAAGGCACUCUUCACAUCCAUUUGAAACAGCUUGAACCCUUUGAUGCAGGAGAAGGCAAGCAGCAAUCUAACAGCUUCUAACCGAGCCACUGGUGCAUACGUCUCAUCAUAGUCUAUCCCUUCUUCUUGAUUGUACCCUUUAGCUACUAGCCUAGCCUUGUUUCUGGUGAUCACUCCAUGCUCAUCCAUCUUGUUUCUAAAUACCCAUUUUGUCCCAAUUAUAUUCAUCUCAGGUAUUCUAGGAACAAGAGUCCAGACCUCAUUAAGAGCAAAUUGAUUCAGUUCCUCUUGCAUGGCUAAAAUCCAGUUGCUGUCCUUGAGAGCUUCAUUCAGAUUCUUGGGUUCAGCUUGAGAUACAAAGGCCAUUGCUUCACAGAAAUUGUUCAAGAAUUUUCUAGUUGAUACUCCUUUCUCAAUGUUCCCAAUGACAUUAUCAAGGGUUAAGUCUCUUGGGGUUUUCCACUCUUUUGGCAAACCUGCAGCUGCAGUAGAUUCUUGUAUAGCAUGUGUAUCAGCAGUAUCAAAAUGAAUCGAUUCAUUUUGAUUUAAAACAGAUUUAAAUUCAUUACAGUCAAGAUCAUCAGUAGCAGUUUUAGAUAUGCUAUGAUCAGUUUCAUCAAAAACAACAUGCAUUGAUUCUUCUACUAUAAGCAACCUUUUAUUGAAGACUCUAUAUGCAUGACCAUUCAAAGCAUAACCAAUGUGCACACCUUCAUCAGAUUUAGCAUCAAACUUACCAAGAUUUUCUUUGCCAUUAUUCAAUACAAAGCAUUUACACCCAAAUACCCUAAGGUGGCUCACACUAGGUUUUCUGCCCUUAUACAAUUCAUAUGGGUUUUCUUAAGAAUAGGUCUUAUUAGGGUUCUAUUUAACACAUAAGCUGCAGUAUAAACUGCAUCAGCCCAAAAAUACUUAGGAAGCUUAGAUUCAUUUAACAUAGUUCUAGCUAGUUCCUCUAUUGAUCUAUUUUUCCUUUCAACUACACCAUUUUGUUGGGGUGUCCUAGGGGCUGAAAAGGUAUGUGCUAUCCCAUGCUUCUCACAGAACCUCUCAAAUCUAGCAUUCUGAAACUCUCCCCCAUGAUCACUUCAAAUUGAUUUUAUGCAGCAACCAUUUUCAUUUUGCAGAAUCUUUGCUAAUUUCUUAAAGGCAGUGUAAACAUCAUGUUUAUAGUCCAUGUAAAUCUAGAGUAGUCAUCCACAACAACUAAAGCAUACAGAUUUCCAGCCAAGCUAGCAACUCUAGAUGGACCAAAUAAGUCCAUAUGUAACACAUCCAAUGGAUUUUUUGUAGAAACAAUAUCCUUUAACUUGAAAGAGGAUUUGAUUUGUUUACCUUUCACACAAGCAUCACAAAGCCUGUUGUCCUGAAAUUUAAUGUUAGGUAAACCAGAAACUAAAUCUUUAGAUUUCAAUUUAUUCAAGUGAUUUGUGUGUACGUGAGCUAACCUCCUGUGCCACAGCAAAGACUCAUCACUUCUGGACAGCAAAUACUCAUUUGAAGGGUUAGUUUCCAUGAUAUUCAGCAGAUAUAUGUUAUUCACUCUCUUACCAGUAAAUAGUACCUUACUAGAUGAAUUACUUGAGAUUGUGCAGCCUUUUGACUCAAAGUUCACCUUGUAUCCUUUGUCACAAAGCUGACUUAUGCUGAGAAGACUAUGCUUGAGUCCUUCUACAUACAGCACAUUCUCAAUGGUUGUUGAGUUCCCUGUUCCAACAGUGCCUCUGCCCAAAAUCUUCCCUCGGUUAUUAUCACCAUAGGUUACAUGUCCUUCUGCUUUGAGCUUCAAGCUAGUAAAUUUUGUAAGAUCUCCAGUCAUAUGCUUGGAGCAACCACUAUCCAAGUACCAUUGAUUCUUCUUAUUGUUCAUAUGCUAAACAAAGUAAAAAUGAUACAAAUGGUACCCUUUUCAGUAUAGGGUCUAGCACAGAUUAAAACCUUCUCUUUGGUAGCCAUUUUGCUAAGUUCUUAGGAACAAGAUGCUUUCUAGCAAUGCAAGACCUAGAGGUAUAACCAGAUUUCAUGCAGUAAAAACAGGUUACAUGAGAUGCCUUUUUGCCACUGUUAAAAGCUGAAAAAACUGAUUUUGCUAGAACAAAAAAACUUGAAAGCUUUUUGACAUUGGUUACAUUUCCAGGGGUAUAACCAAGACCAUUCUUAUUGAAAACAACAUUCUGUGAGCCAAGAAGAGACUCAAGGUUUUCUCUUCCCUUGGUGAAAUUGGAAAGGGUUUUCAGCAAAUACUCCACUUGUUUUUCUAAUUUUUUGCAGUUUUCACAGGNNNNNNNNNNNNNNNNNNNNNNNNNNNNNNNNNNNNNNNNNNNNNNNNNNNNNNNNNNNNNNNNNNNNNNNNNNNNNNNNNNNNNNNNNNNNNNNNNNNNUUAAUUGAGGCAUGCAAGCAUGUUAGUUCAAGGCUUACCAAAUCUGUUUUGGCUUUAUGCAAUUCUUCCUCAAGUGUUUUUACUUUAGGUGCAAGCACAUUAUUUACCUUUUGCAGCUUAUUGCAUAUUACAGCUAGCCUAUUUGCUUCAUCAUGUGUUUCCUUGAAAGCAGCAAGCAAAUGAUCAUAGUUAUCAGAAUCCACAGAGAAAUCACUUACUGAAUCAGAGAUUGACUCCUCAUCCUUCAUCAUGAAGCACAGAUUGUUUUCCUCAUUCUCAGUUGAAGAGCUGCUGGUUGAAGAUACUUCAUUUUCUUCCCAUGAGAUGUAGGCUCUUCUUCCCUUGUUCCUUUCAAUUCUCUUGCUGGCAGAUUUUUCCUUUGCUUGAUUAUCUGGACAAUCUGUUUUGAUGUGCCCUGUUUUGCCACAGCCAAAGCAAGUAUAUUUAGAGGAAUUUGAAUCAUUGGGUUUAGGAUACCUUAUUUUCUGUUGGUUCCUAUCUCUGNNNNNNNNNNNNNNNNNNNNNNNNNNNNNNNNNNNNNNNNNNNNNNNNNNNNNNNNNNNNNNNNNNNNNNNNNNNNNNNNNNNNNNNNNNNNNNNNNNNNUGAUCUCACUCUGUUCAGUUGCUUUCAGUGCAAGACCUUUGGGUUUUCUCUCUGUUGUUUCCUGUUCUUUGAGUCUCUUGAGCUCUAGCUCAUGCUCCAUUAGCUUUCCAAAAAGUGCAGCAGUUCCCAGUUUUGACAAAUCACGACUUUCAGAUAUGGCAGUCACCUUUGGUUGCCAGCUUCUGUCGAGGCACUUCAAUAUCUUUAUGUUGAGUUCCUCUCUGUCAAAUUCUUUUCCCAAACCAUUGAGGUGAUUCACAAUAUGGGUGAACCUUUUCUGCACAUCAGCAAUGCUCUCCUCGGGUUGCAUUCUAAACAGUUCAUAUUCUUGGAUGAGAGAAUGUUUUCUUGACCUCUUCACAUCUUCAGUACCCUCAUGAGUGACUUCUAAGACUUCCCACAUCUCCUUAGCUGACUUACAUUGGGAUAUCCUGAAGAACUCAUCCAUUGUCAAUGCAGAGGUUAUGAUGUUCUUGGCCACAAGAUCAUGUUGAGCCUUCCUCCUUUCGAUCUCAUUCCAUUCAGAUCUUGGCUUUACCACUUCUUCAUCCUUGACAACCUGCAUUGGCACAUAAGCUCCAUGGACCACAACUUCCCAAAUUAAUGCAUCAAUAGAUUCCAUGAAAAUUCUCAUUCUAACUUUCCAAAAUGCAUAAUUCAUUCCAUUGAACAUAGGUCGUCUAUUAACAGCAGAUCCUUCAGCAAAAAGCACAUUAAACUCAUACAUUAUUACAAAAAAACUUGAUUAAAAUACAAGUCUUAGCUCUUGAUACCAAUUGUUGGGUUUAAUAGUGUCAAAGUUCAAGAAGGGGGGUGAAUUGACCUUUUAAAAGCUUCUCGCAAAAACAAUAUUUAACACAGUUUACAGAAAAUAAAUCGAUUUAUAUGGAAAUGAACAGAUUUAUUUUAGCACUGUUUGUGUGUUUGAAAAGAGUUUAUGCAGCAAGGUUAAUCACAAGAUCUGCAGAUAUAUUUUCCAGAUGCUCACACACUGAUAUUAGAACGAAAAACAGUGAAUCACCAAAACAACAACCUUCAAUUUCAAGCAAGUGUUUAAGGUUCACUUAAUGGCUUGACAGUUUAUUGAGUGAUUUAUUACAAUCAACCUGUUCUAAUGGCUUUUAACAGAUUAUAAGUGUUCUUAUUGAAAUCAACCAGUUUUCCAGAAAUUAAGAACAAUAUGAACCGUGCCCAGACAGAACAGAUUUAUUUUCAAUUGAACAGAUUUAUUUCUUUGCUGUUUUAUCAAUUAUGCAGAAACGAAAUUGCAGAGAGUGAGAGAGAAUGAACACAAGCAAUUAUACUGGUUCACUCAACUGAGCUACAUCCAGUCUUCACCAACAACAGGUGGAAAUCACUAACACACAGUACAAACAAACACAAUUCCCACUGUUCUUGAAACCUACAAGAACUUAGGUACUCUUGCUGAAAAAACCUAUUUCAGCUCACACACACUCUUCAAGAAAACCUAUCAAGAAGAGUGUUCAACCAAACUAUUACAGGAAAUGAAAAGUGAAACGACUACACCUGAUUGAGGAUACAAAGAUCUGCCUUAAACCGGUAGGCAAGAUUGCUAGAACAGUAGCAGCACCUCACACCAAGCUUUUGGAACCAAACCAAGAACAAGCACUUUGUGAUUUUUCGAAAUCUUUGAAGAACAAAUGCUAAUUCUUUGUAAACUUUUAAUUCUCUGCUGUAAAACUUGUUUUUACAAAUGUAUGAACGAUGAUUAAACUCAGAAACAAGUUUUCAUUUUAUAGAAAACCAACUUAUAACAGAAUUUUGAAAAACAGUUAAAGCUGUUAUAAAAUGAACAGAUUGAAAAUAAAAUGAACAGAUUUAUUUUCAAAAACAGUUAGAAAAUUUGUUAAGUGAGGAGACUUAGUCAACCAUGCUGGUGCAGAGAUAAAACUGAAAAACGUUUAAGCUAGAUAUGGCACCAGAGACAAAAUGAAUCUAUUCAUUUUACAGAUGAACAGAUUUAUUUUUCAAAACGAAAACAGAAAAGCUUAACUAUUUAACCACAGUCGUUUUGAAAGGUAGAAAACUUAGUCAAAAUACAUGAUGCACAAAAUCUAAUUUUCACAAGACUUAGGCAAGGCAUCAGUUUAAAAAUGAAUCUGUUUAUUUAGAAAAGAACAGAUUUAUUUUUAUGCAGUAAACCUGUUUUUUGUAAAACAUGUGAAAAAUAGUUUAAGAAACCUUAUGCUUGUUCUUAUCACAUGGCCAGUGGUUAUGAGGUGAGUUACUCAGCAAAAAGUCCACUCUUAAACAACCUCUAAGCACUACCUAAGACACACUUAAAGCAAAGCAAAAAUACACAUGAAAUGUACAUAAAAGUCUUCAUGAAACACAAUCUUGAAGGGGCAACAACCAUCUUCAACAUUGUUGACCCUCUUCCAGCAAUCAUACAAAGGCUUCAAGGGUAUAUUUUUCAAAAUCCGCUGCAAUGAUAAUGAUCCAAGUCUUCUGGACAGGUUCCCUCUGUACUGGACUAAGGAACCCAAAUUCCAAAAACCCAGAUACCUUGAAGACCUACCCCAACGAGAACGAGAGGUGUGUCUCUUCCUCUCCAACCCUAAGGUAGUGUUUAGCACUGCCGAAUUGAUAAAGAACGAGUACAGCCCUACAGGCUUUAAGGCAUACAUUGGUAUCCCCCUUCCCUUUACUCCUGCUAGCAAUGCCUUGCAUGUGUGUGUUUUCUGAACUCUUCUUUGUUUUCAUUCUCAUGCAGACAGUAUGUUGGACGCUCAAAAAAGAAAGAACUUAACUGCACUAGCCAAACAAAAGAAGACCACCCAAGCCCUUUCUGCCAAGGAUCAAAAAUUGAAGGCAGUGGCUGAAGUCGCCCCUUCUGAGGAUGAAGAAACUUGUUCUUGACUCCUCUUCAAGAGGAAGUGAACAGAUGUUGCUGCAAUUUCUGUCCACUCUGCCUCAAACGACUGAGCUCCCUUCUACCGGGACUUUCCACCCAGCCCUUCCCCUCCUCGUGACAUUGCGAUGUGGAAGGGUAGAGGAGAAAGUGCCUCAAAGGGAGAUCAGUGGGACCCCUUCCCAGACCCAACUUCCUUCCUUCACAAAAUGUUGCUCUCCUAAAAAAUUAAAGGAAGAUUGAAAAACAUGGAGGAGGGUCCACUGAUGGAGCACGCCACAAGGCAACUGGGGGAAACCCUAGUUGCGAACUAUCUUCUCCUUUCCAAGCCGUGGAAAGCAAAGGAGCUGGCCAAAGAAGAAGCCGUCCAAGCUGUAGAGCUCAAACGACAAGUCUUCAAACUCACACUGGAGGUGGAGGAGCUCUGAAAAGUUAACCAAGAGACCAAUGCCCUCCUGUUUGGGAAGUCCCAAGAGGCCUUGGGGCUAUAUGCAAGAAACAAUGAUCUCCGCACUGAGGUGGAGAAGCUGAAGGGAGAGCUGGCUGAGAGGGACGAUGAGGUGGCCAGGCAAAAGAAGGAGAUGGCGCAGAAGGAUGAGCUCCUAUAGAAAACCAAAGAAGAGCUGAUGAGCAAUGCCCCUGACUCCUAGGGGGCAGACUUUGAGGAUGUUGUUGCCCAGGUCACCUGCGUCCACCCUGAGCUGGACCUCUCCCAAAUAGGAUUAGGUAAAGUUAUCGUAGAUGGGCAACUGGUAGAUGAGGAAUAGCCGUGGGGGACUCCCCCUCUAUUGCCUUCCUUUUGUAAUCUAAUGAACAGUUGACAAUUCUGAUAUAUGUAUAUGUGUGUUUUCUUUUCCUGACUUCGACUAACUUAGUAACAAUGCAUGUCUUGAAUGAACACAACUUUCAUAACUUUAAUAACUAACUGAACGCCAAUGAUGGUCCAUACUUAAGUAGCGUGGUCUUCACAAUUAACAAUGGUAGACUUAUGCUUCGGGGUACCUGAGCUCAGAGCCUCCCUGGUCAACAGGUCCUCUUGCACAAAUUGCUUUGCUUUAUUUGUACAUUCUCCCUAAAGGUUGAUUUCACUGUGGUUCACUAUGAACCUUACUACUCCCACUCUUGGAAUCUUACCAAGGAGAGACUUCGCUGAGGUUCACUAUGAACCUUACUGCUCCCACUCUUGGAAUCUUACCAAGGGGAGACUUCGCUAAGGUUCACUAAGAACCUUACUACUCCCACUCUUGGAAUCUUACCAAGUGCAGACUUCACUGAGGUUCACUAUGAACCUUACUGCUCCCACUCUUGGAAUCUUACCAAGGGGAGACUUCGCUGAGGUUCACUAUGAACCUUACUACUCCCACUCUUGGAAUCUUACCAAGGGGAGACUUCGCUGAGGUUCGCUAUGAACCUUACUGCUCCCACUCUUGGAAUCUUACCAAGGGUAUAUUUCAAUGAGGUUCGCUAUGAACCUUACUGUUUCCACUCUUGGAAUCUUACCAAGGGGACAUUUCACUAUUAACACGAGAUACUGUAAGCAUAGUUUUCAAAUAACUUUUUCUUGGGCGACCUCAUUAAAAAACCCUGAUAAGGGAAAAAGAGUGUCCCCUUAAACGUUUGUAUUGCAUACAAUAGCAUAAUUAAUUGAAAUAAAAUUUAAGAUUGGCCCCAUUCCAUGUUCGGGGAAUAAUCUCGCCAUCCAAGGUCUCGAGUCUAUACGCUCCGUUCCCGAGCACCUCUAUCACGCGGAAUGGGCCAGUCCACUUAGGGCAUAACUUGUUCUCCAAUUGAUAGGGAUGAGCCUUUCGCAUUACCAAGUCGACGACCUGGAACUGCUGAGAUUUCAGCUUGGACUUCUGCUUAUAUUCCACCUUCUCUUUAAGGCUUCGGCCUUGAUGUGUGCUUCCUCUCUGACCUUGUCGAGAAGAUCUAAGUUUACCCUCAUUUCCUCAUUAGACUCCUUGGCCACGAAGUUCUGGAAUCGUAGUGAACUUUUCUGGAUCUCGAUGGGGAUCAUGGCAUCCGACCCAUACAACAGGCUAAAAGGGGUCUCCUUGGUGGUGGAUUGGGGAGUGGUGUGGUAGGCCCACAUAAUUCUAGAAACUUCAUCUGCCCAAAUUACCUUGGCUUUUUUCAGUCUCCUCUUUAGGCCUCUGAGCAGGACUCGGUUAGCAGAUUCGACUUGCCCAUUCGUCUAGGAGUGUUCUACCGAGGCGAACACCUGCUUGAUGUUGAGCUCUGUGCAUAGUUUUCCUAGCUAAUGACUUGCAAAUUGGGUGCCAUUGUCAGACACUAAACGCUUUGGGAUUCCAAAACGGAAAACUAUGUUCUUCCACACAAAGUGUUGAACCUUGUGGGCUGUGAUAUGUGCGACAGGCUCAACUUCUAUCCACUUGGUGAAGUACUCGAUGGCUAUCACCAGGUACUUCAUCUGGCAAACUGCUAAAGGAAACGGACCCAGGAUGUCAAUCCCCCAUGUGUGGAAAGGCCAUGGGCUAUGGAUCGAUCGCAACUCCUCUGGGGCGCAUGAUGUUAGUCGGCGUGCUGUUGGCACUGUUUGCACCGCUGUGCGUACCUCGUGCAGUGCUCCCUCAUGUUCGGCCAGUAAUACCCUGCUCGAACAACCUUUGAUGAGAGAGCUUGUCCAUCGAUGUGACUCCCACAAAUACCUUCAUGGAGCUCAUAUUCAGCUUGGUUGUUGCUAGCUUUGAAAGCAAAACGUAGGGCCUGCUCGAUCAGGAACCCGUUUGGUCCCUCUAAGAUGAUACCAGCCCCACUACCUUGCUGGUUAGAGGACCCGUCCACAGACCUGGAAAUGUCCACUUUCUUGGUGUGUGGCUGCCGAGGAGAGUUCUACCAGGAAGUCAGCAUAAACUUGACCCUUGAUAGUGUUAGAAUAUAUGGCUUAAACGAGAGCGGGGGGGUGAAUUGUUUAAGAGAGGUUUUUGAAAACUUUUCAAUGUUUAACAAAUUCUUUGUGUGAACCCAGAACAGAAAUCAAGUUAGCCAAGAAUAUACGCACUAAAAACAGCAAAGCAACAGAAAAACAAUCAGUUGUUUCUUCGAAACAAUUGGUUGUUUAUACCAGAAAAGCUUAAAACAGAAUUUAAAUGAGUAUAGGGUAAGAGAGAGAUACACCAACAAUUUAUGCUGGUUUACUCUUAAGCCAAGAGCUACAUCCAGUCCCCAAAAAACCACUGGGUAACAACUAAGUAAUCAAACCAGAUUACAACACACAAACCACCAAAGUAGUGACCUUGAACCCUUCAAGAAACACACUCCCUUUGGCAAAAUACACCAAGAGUAUUGAUCUUGACCACCUCAAGAGCACACAACACUCCUUGGCAACACAACACCAAAAAUACAGUAGGUUGAGAAGGGAUUACACUUGUUUACAGUACAAACUGAAAUCAAUACAAUUGCAAUCCUAUUCCGUUCUCUUUGAAAACCCAAAGCUUGAUGUGAAUGUUCAAAUCUUGAAAUCAACUUUGUCACAACUGAAAAAAUCAAAUUUGUUUCUCUUUCUUGUUUGAAAACAUAAACAAACCAUUUAUAUUUUCCAAAGAUUAGUCAAAGCAAUUAAUGAAGGAGCAUAUUCAGUUGGAAAUCAUUUAAACCACAUUCAACAACCAAAACAAAAUUCUGUUAGGAUUUUCAAAGAGACAAUCGGUUGAAACCACGAAACAACCGAUUGUUUGGUUUGGCAGUUAAGUCAACCAAACUAAAACAAUUUUCAACCUUUUCAAAAACUCCUAAGAGUAAAACAACCGGUUGAUUCGACAAAACAACAUGUUGUUUUUCACUUAGUUGGAAAAACACUUUAUUUUCUAAAAGAUUUUAAUUCACAUCAGUUUUAGAUUCAACAAAGGAGUGGAUCACAUUCUAUUCUACCCAGAUCCCUCCCCAAACACAGCAGCAACACAAGCCUUGCAUCAAACACAUAGGAUUUGGAUUCUUCAAAGCACUUGAUCAUUCUUGAUCAACAAUCUUCUCCUAUUUGAUGAAGACAAAUACCUGGUCGCUUGUGUUGAUCUUGAUUGAAUAUGAAAUUGUACCUGCAAAACAAAAAUUAUGCAAUCCAGAGCAUCUCUCAUAGUAGGUUAUGAUCAUACAUCAACUAGUUUUUCUGCAUAAACACAAGUGUAGGAAAACCAGCCAAAAACAAAGCAAAAACAGUUUCAUACAAACCAAUUAUGUAGCAGAAAUUAAAAGCAGAAUAGUAGCAGAGUUAUAACAGUUUGUAAGACAACACAAACACCAUAUUCUCCCCCUAUUUGUCUUCACAAAUAGACUUUAGGAGGAGAUUAAACAGAAUAGUUCAACAUAAAGCAAUACAAAGAUAGAAAGAACAACAAAGCCUUGACAUUCAAGCUUAAACAAUCGGUUGUUUCGAGAAAUCAACCGGUUGUUUUGCUUCAGUCUUCUUUUCCAUACUGCAACUCGAAAAUCUAAUUCUGAACAACUUCAAUAUGUUCAUCAAGCAUUUGAAACCAUGUAUCCAUGCUUUGAAAUCUAUUGUCAAAGUUAUGAAAGUUUGAAACAAAAAGAUCAUGAAGAUUUCUUUGAUUUUCCGCAAAGCCAUCUAGCCUAUUCACCAUGUAGCUCUCAAAGGAAGACAUUGAAGGAGUCCUAUCUCCUUGAUGUCCAACACUUGUCCCAGCACCAUAAUUAGUAACAGGUUGUUCUGUAUCUGGAAAAUCCAUAUCAGCACCUUCAACAUCUUCUUGAUCUUCUUCACCAUGUUCAGCAUGAAAGCGACUUGAGGAACCACCUUGUCCACCAUCCUUACUCACCCAUUUUCCAUUGAUCUUGGUAAAACCCAUUUUGCUUAAUGAUCCAUUGUUCACUUCAAAUGUUGACUUCACCUACUCAGAUGUUUAAACCUCAAGAUUCACUUCAAAAUAAUGUAAGAAUUUAGAAAUCAAGAUAGCAUAAGGGUAAUGAUAAUCACUUAACCUCAUAGACUUUUGCAUAUGCUCUUUGAUGAUAUGUAUCCAAUUAAUCUUGAUUUUGUUCAUUAUGCAGUAGAUGUAGACAAGAUCUUCCUCAGUUAGAACAGAAUGGUUGAUUCCUCUUGGUGUUAGAAUCCAAGUGACAAAGAGAGCCAACAAUCUUUCAUUUAAUUUCAGCCCUCCAAUCGAACAAGUUCUUACUUGUGCAUGAGGAUUCUUCAAACAACUUUUGUAAUAUUAAAUCUUGUUGAAGUCUUCCACCACACCAAUGUUUCCUUUGUUGAUUCUCAACCCAACAUACUUUAGACUAGCCAGAGCAACCCACACCUCAUGAGUGAUCUCCAUAUCCACACCCUUGACAUGAGAAACAAGAUUGUUACCUUCAAAUUUCACGUUGGUGUAGAAAAGCCGAAUAAGAUCUGGAUAGAUGUUUCCUUUCAUCUCCAAGAACCUCUUCAAAAGUUGUUAUUUGAGAAGCCUCCUAACAUCAUCCAGCUUUUGACUCUUCAACCAGCCAAAAGAGACAACUUUUGGGUUAUUUAUCACUUUUCUACUUGUUUCAAAGCGAUAUCUCUCAAUCAAUUCAUUGUCUCCUGAAAACCAGCCCUCAAGACGUCCUCCUGACCUCACAACCCUUAUUUUAAUCCUUUUUUAUGUAGGAGGAGUGGAAUCCAUGAAAGCAGAAUGAGAAAAGGCACACACACAAAGGAGAGUAUGAGAUGCAGUAAGAGAUGAGCCAAUGGGUUAUUUUUGUGAAGGAAAACAGUUGUAGAGGGUUUUAUAGCAAAACAAAUUCCCUCUUUGAUCCUUUGGUUGAAGUGGGUUUUAGUCUUCAAGGUAAAAAUUUGUUCCAACUUUUGCACAGAACAAUGUCAGCACAGAGCAGAAAAACACAUGGUCAGGACAUGUGACUUUGACUAAACAUAAAAGGCACUUGAAUUUCCAAGAAAUGGAAUAUAUUCCUUUAUGACAAGAAGUAACUUCCUUCAGAACCAAAUCAGGCUUUCAUGACUGCUUUAUUGACUUAAAGACUCUUUAAGAUUUAAAUUUGCAAAAGAUAGAAUGCAUAAAGAAAUUAAAUCCAUUUAUGCAGUGCCGUCAGAGAAGAAAUAAUCGGCUGUUUCGAGAAAACAAUAUGUUGUUUUUCUGCAACAGCAACAAUGUAUAAAUUUUAAGCAGAAACUGAGAAGAGUUUAAAACAAAUGCAAUUGCUCAUAUGUAGAUGAAGAAUUUAAUAUGAAUUUAUAAUUGAAAAGCAGAGACAGGGAAGGUCUUAUCCUUUUGUUAUGAAGUUCCUUCAAUGAGUCAUUGUUUGUGAUCAAGAAUGUUUCUUUUGGCUUUCAAGACAUCUUGGACUGGUACAUACCCUUAGUUCAGUUCCAAACACACUUCUUUUCUUCCAAAAGCUUGAUCAGAUAACUCAAGACUUCAUGCUUCUUUUAGUAUCCCUGAUCAUAAUGAAUUCAAGCAACAAGAUUUGGUCCCCUUACAAAUGUGGGUCCUUUUGAUUCAUCUUUAUCAUUUGAAACCUCACACCCUUUGGGAAUCCAUUUCAAAAUACCUUUAGGAACAUAAUAUUUCCUAAUUUUACAGAAUCUAACUGAGUGGCCUCUCUUCAUGCAGUAAAAGCAUGUAACAACUGGUUGUUUAAAUCUUUCAAUCGGUUGUUUUUCUGGCAGCUUUGAAAAAGGCUUUGAAAUCCCAUUUUUCUUGUUUUGAAUAUAAAACCCCUAACCAGAUUUUCCAAAAACACAUUUUUGGGAUGUCAAGACAGUUUCAAAGUUGGAUUUACCCUUUGAAAGUUUAUCCACAAUUCUUACAAGAUAGUGGAUCUUACUCUCAAGAGUAUUACAAUUUUUACAAGUCUUGGAGUCACUCAAGUGAGAAGAAUUUUUGCAAUGCAUUUCAAGUUUUUCAAAAUCAAUUUUUGACUUUUCCAAUUCUUCUUCAAGAUUCUUGACUCUAUUUUCAAGCUAGUUAUUCAACCCUUUCAAUCGGUUGUUUGAGAAAGGCAAUCGGUUAGCUUCUUCAUGAGUUUCUUUAAAAGCUUGAAGUAAUUGGCUAUAAUUUUCAGCACUUAAGGAAGCACAAGAACUUACACUGCUUGAGCUACUUGAAUCAUUAUCUCCUUCUGCCAUUAAAUAUAGAUUGGCUUUUUCAUCUUCACUUGAUGAGGAGCUUGAUGAAGAGACUUCAUUUACAUCCCAAGCAAUAUAUGCUCUUUUUGAUUUCCCUUCCUUUUCCUUAUUGCUUGACUUCUUUUCCUUGCCUUCUUUAUUUGGGCAAUCAACUUUUAUAUGCCCUUGUUCUCCACAACCAAAACAAGUAUAAUUGUUAGAAUUGAAAUCACUAGUUUUCUUGUUUCCAUACCUUUCUUUGUUGGAUUCUUUGUUGCGAUUUCUCUUCAAGAAUUUGCUGAACUUUUUGGAUGACAAGCUAAGGUUUUCUUCCUCACUUUCAUCACUUGAAUCUUCCUUAUUCUUGUGCUUGACAGCUUUCAAGGCAAUGUUCCUUACAUGCUUGUCCUUACUUUCUUGAACAUUGAGUCUAUUCAUCUCCAACUCAUGUUCUCUAAGCUUUCCAAACAAGGAGGCCGUAGUCAAGGAUGCCAAGUCCUUUGAAUCAGAAAUUGUCGUGACUUUAGCUUCCCAAGAUCUAUCAAGACACUUGAGAAUCUUGAUGUUUAGCUCCUCUUUGUCAAAGGUUUUUCUAAGACUCAUUAGAUGGUUGAUGAUGUGAGUGAAUCUCUUUUGUACUUCAGCAAUUGAUUCUCCCUUGAGCAUUCUAAACAUCCCAUACUCUUGUAUUAGAGUAUGUUUCCUAGCUCUCUUCACAUAGUUUGUUCCUUCAUGGGUGACUUCUAGAGUAUCCCACAUUUCCUUAACCGAUGCACAUUGUGAGAUCCUGAAAAAUUGAUCAGAAUUCAAAGCAGAGGUUAUGAUAUUCUUGGCAAUACAAUCAAACUUGGCCUUUUUAUUUUCAGCAUCAGUCCAUUGGGACCAAGGUUUUUCAAUAGAAGAUCCAUCCUCUUCAAAUUUUGGAAUAAAAUGGCCAUUUUCAAUUGCAUAUCAAAUUCCUUUAUCAAGAGAUUCAACAAAGAUUUUCAUUCUAACUUUCCAAAACUGAUAAUUUAAACCACAAAACAAAGGUGGCCUGUUAAUUGAGGCACCCUCCCCAAAAGGUAGUUUUUCAGCCAUAGAAAAAAAAAAUUAGGAUCAAACUUGAAUAUAUUUCAAGUACCAAGCUCUUGAUGUCAAUUGUUAGAAUAUAUGGCCUUAAAGAAGAGGGGGGUGAAUUGAUUAAGAGAGGUUUUUGAAAAAAUUUCAAUGUUUAACAAAUUCUUUGUGUGAACCCAGAACAAAAAUCAGGUUAGCCAAGAAUAUAAGCACUAAAGACAGCAAAGCAACAGAAAAACAAUCGGUUGUUUCUUCAAAACAAUCGAUUGUUUAUACUAGAAAAGCUUAAAACAAAAUUUAAAUGAGUUUAGGGUAAGAGAGAGAUACACCAACAGUUUAUACUGGUUCACUCUUAAACCAAGAGCUACAUCCAGUCCCCAGAAAACCACUGCGUAAUCCACUAAGUAAUCAAACUAUAUUACAACACACAAACCACCAAAGUAGUGACCUUGAACCCUUCAAGAAACACACUCCCUUUGGCAAAACACACCUAGGGUAUUGAUCUUGACUACCUCAAGAGCACACAACACUCCUUGGCAACACAACACCAAAAAUACAGUAGGUUGAGAAGGGAUUACACUUGUUUUCAAUACAAACUGAAAUCAAUACAAUUGCAAUCCUAUUUCACUCUCUUUGAAAACCCAAAGCUUGAUGUUAAUGUUCAAAUCUUGAAAUCAACUUUGUCACAACUGAAAACUCAAAUUUGUUUCUCUUUCUUGUUUGAAAACAUAAAUAAACCAAUUAUAUUUUCCAAAGAUUAGUCAAAGCAAUUAAUGAAGGAACGUAUUCAGUUGGAAAUCAUUUAAAGCACAUUCAACAACCAAAACAAAAUUCUGUUAGGAUUUUCAAAGAAAUAAUCGGUUGAAACCACGAAUCAACCGAUUCUUUGGUUUGGCAGUUAAGUCAACCAACUAAAAUAGUUUUCAACCUUUUCAAAAACUCCUAAGAGUAAAACAACCGGUUGAUUCGAAAAAACAACAGGUUGUUUUUCACUUAGUUGGAAAAAUACUUUAUUUUCUAAAAGGUUUUAAUUCACAUCAGUUUUAGAUUCAACAAAGGAGUGGAUCACAUUCUAUUCUACCCAGAUCCUUCCCCAAACAUAGCAGCAACACAAGCCUUGCAUCAAAGACAUAGGAUUUGGAUUCUUCAAAGCACUUGAUCAUUCUUGAUCAACAGAUAGGUCCUCUCGGAUCACAUUGCACAUCGAACUCGGACAGCUCGACCACCUAACGCACCAUCCGACCCGCCACGUCAGGUUUUUGCAAGACCUUGUGGAUGGGAAGGUCGGUCAUCACGAUCACCGUGAAACUCUAAACAUAGUAGCGGAGCCUUCGUGCUGCAAAUACUACUGCUAGAGUUGCCUUCUCAAUGGCCUGAUAGCGCACCUCGAGCCCCUGCAACACUUUGCUAACAAAAUAUAUAGGCCUCUUAAUGCGAUCUUGCCCCUAGACUAUGACUGAGUUGACCGCUCAAUCUGUAAUAGCGAAGUAUAAGUGGAGGGGAGUACCUGGCAGCGGCUUGCACAGAACCGGCGAGCUGGCCAAGUACUCAUUCAGCUUGAGGAAUGCUUCCUCACACUCACCUGUCCACACAAAUCGGUUGUUCCUCCUUAAGCAUUUGAAAUAGGGACAGGGCGACCAUGUGUCCUGUUAGCUACUGUACCUCCUUCACCGAGAUCAGACUUCUCAUGGCUAUGAUCGCUGCACACUUCCUGGGGUUCGCCUCUAUUCCCCGCUCGGUGAGGAGAAACCCUAAGAACUUCCCUGCUUCCACCCCGAAUACGCAUUUUUCGGGAUUUAACUUCAAUUUAUACCUGGCUAUUAUGGUGAAUAGCUCUUCUAGAUCGACAAUGUGUUGGUCCUUUUCCUUGGAGGUGACGACCAUAUCAUCCACAUAUGCCUGCACAUUUCACCCUAUCAUAGGGGCGAGAUGGUGUCCAUCAGCCUCUGGUAGGUUGCACCAGCAUUUUUAAGCCCAAAGGGCAUCACCUUAUAGCAAUAGCUGGAGAGCUUUUUCAUGAAUGUUGUCUUGCAUUCGUCUCGGGGAUGCAUCCAGAUUUGGUUAUAUCCUGAGAAGGCAUCCAGAAAAUUGAGAAGUCUGCAGCCUGACGCGCUAUCUACCAAGGCGUUGAUACUGGGCAGCAGAUAUGAAUCCUUUGGACAGGCCUUGUUCAAAUCCGUAAAAUCAACACACAUCCUUCACUUCCCAUUGGCCUUCUUGACCAACACCACAUUUGCCAACCACCUAGGGUAUUGGAUCUCCCUUUUGUGGCCAGCACUCAAAAACUUUUUAGUUUCUUGCCUGAUGACCAGGCGUCUUUCUUCACUAAAAUUUCUCCCCCUCUGUAGGACAGGCUUGACCUUUGGAUCCAUCGUGAGAUGAUGGCAUAGGAAAUCAAGGUUGAUGUCGGGCAUGUCCGAGGAAGACCAUGCAAAGGCGUCCAGAUGUCGUGCUAUCACCUCGAUAAUCUGGUCCUGUAUUUCUUGGCUUAAAGAUUUGCCAAGCUUAAACUUCUUUCCCCCGAUCUCCCUUUCCAGCACCUCACCUGCAGGCUUAGGUCUCCUCUCCCGGGCUAUCUCUGCACGGGCGACCCCUUCUCCGUCUUGAGGCUGGCUGGUGAUCGAGCAUACCCCUCUCUUCGUCUUCAAGCUAUUCUUAUAGCAUUUCUUUGCCGCCUUUUGGUCGAACUUAAUGGUAAUUAUCGCUCCCUCUAGGGAAGGAAACUUCAUCUUCCUAUGCCUCGUCGAGGCCACUACUCUUAUCCUAUUCAUGGCAGGUCUGCCCAAGAGGAUGUUGCAAACUUAGGGAGCGUUGACGACGAGGUACCUGAUAUUGACGGUUCGGGAUGUGGUGCCGUCUGUGUAGGUCAUCCUUAGCUUUAUGUGCCCCCUUACUUCUACCUAGUCUCUGACGAAACCGUACAGACAGCCGUCGUAUGGUCUUAGCUGGUCGGGCGACAACUACAAUUUGUUGAAGGUCGACCAAAAUAUUACAUCGGUCGAGCUUCCUUGGUCAACGAGGACUCGGUGUACCCUUCUCCCUACCGUUACCACUGAAAUUACCACUGGGUCAUUAUCAUGUGGGACCACAUCCUGUAAAUCAGCCUUCGUGAAGUAGAGGUCGGGCUCAGGUGACUGAUCAGGUUACCGUGCUUCUACCGCCAGCACCUCUCUAGCAUACUUCUUUCGCUAGGAGGCGGUGCAUCCUCCCCCUGAGAAACCCCUAGAGAUCGUGUUGACCUCGCCAUGGACUGGCACUUCAUGUCCCUGAUCCCCUGCUGGGGUCACCACCGUUGAGGCUUCGUGACCUUCCUCUAGGUAUUCUUUCAGGAAGCCAUCCUUCAUCAAAUCAGCCAAUUGGUGUCCAAGUGCCAAACAGUUAUGCAUGCCAUGCCCAAAGCCCUUAUGGAACUCGCACCAAAUGCCCCUGCUUGGCCCCAAUUUCUUGUCACACUUUGGGGGUGGUUUUAGCUUGUCGGCCACUUCUGGGAUAGCGAUCAACUCCUUGAGGUUUAUUCUGAACUUGAGUCGACAAGGCAUGUCUCCCUUCGCUUGCGCCCUAGUCUAAUGCUUUUUCGGCUCGUAGGGCACAUGUAUUGCUAGUGAUCUCUUCUCCAUCGCAACUUCAUGUACCCUCAUGGGUUGAGCUCGACUCCUCUCCCGAGGUCUUUUCGGUCCAACACUUCCACAUUUUUCCGUUACCUCCUCCUCUGUGUCGAUGUGGGUGACAGCUCGACACCGGAUCUCGCUAUUUGUCUUUGGCCGACACCUUAUUAAAGAAUUGCUGAAUGGCCCUGACAGAAUUCCCCGCCUGAAGGCGUGCACCAUCAGAGCUUCAUCCUUGGUGUGGAGCUUUACCAUCAACACCCCGAACCGGUUUAGGAAGUUCUUCAGGGGCUCUCCUUGGUACUGUUUUACUUCGAAGAGGUCGAAAGAGAUAGGAUGUUGAGCUCGAUUGACUAUGAACUGCUCCUUGAACAAAGUAGAGAACUGAUCGAAAGAGGUUAUGUGUCUGUUUGGGAGUUUAAUGAACCAAUAUAAUGACAUGUCUGCGAGCAUCCCCAUGAACAGUUUGCAAUGCAUGGCAUCUAUUCCUCCGCAGUUGACUUUGGGAACAGGUUGUAACUCCGUCUUGAUUGACAUUAAUGCACAUAUAAAAAUCAUUCAUAUCAAUUCCUCACAUACAAAAUUAUUAAGAUUGUUUCCUAAAUAUCGAUUUCUUGCAUAUUUGUAAAAAUGUGUUAUCAUUACAAAUAGAUGUUAUAAAGCAAUUAACAUUUCAAAUUUAUUCCUAGCAUUCAGAUACGUUAAGCAUUAUCAUUUAGGUCAAAUGCUUAGAAGUACUUUCCAGUCAAAUCUAAUAAUCAAACUCAUGAAUAAAGAUUCAAACUUUAAGAAUAAAAUGAUAAUACCAAUCAUCAAUCAAGAAAAUAUUAUAAAUGAAUAUUACCUUAAUAUAUUAGACUUUGAACAGAUUACUCUUAAUCGCAAAGGAAAGACUUAGCCACUCAUAUUGACCAUUAGAAGCAUGAAAAACAAGUAAAGAAGAACCAAGGUGUUUCUCCUUGACAGUUGCCUCCUCCAAGGUUUUUUAUCUCUGAUUAUCCUCCCAAUGAUGUCUAUGGUUAUACAUCAUGUCUUCUAUUUAACCUAAUUAGGCUUGGAUUAAGUGGCAUCUCGACCAAUCGAGAUAUUGCUUUCUUAAGCGAGUUUCAGGAUAAAAAGCCCAACUUUACUGGAGUGAACUCGCUUAAGAGAGCCUUGGGCGAGUCUUGCGAGUUCCUCUGGAGUGAUCUUGCUUGGGUGAGAUUUCACUGCUCCAAGUUUGAAUUUUCAUCUUGUCUUUCACUUGUCCAUUUUCGUUUAGCCAUUUUAUCUCCAUUUUCCCCUAGAUUCUUGAAAUUAGCACAAACUUGGGAAUAAAUCAUUCUUAUUAAUCUCAUAAUCCAAAAAAUAUGUAAAGAGGUUAAAAUUCCUUAAUUAGAUAUUGAAUGAUAAUUUUAUUAACAAUUAAAGUCCACAAGUGUCUAUCUUUUAGUAUGAAAUAUUACUGAAUUAUGGCACUUAUCAACUCCCUCCAAUCUAAAAUCUUGUUUGUCCUAAAGUAAAGUAAAUGAAUAUAAAUAAAUCAUAUUUGAGUUCAAAUAUCAAAACAACUUUAUUUACUAAACAUCAGAUUAAAUUAGAAACUUUUGGUGCUUCCAACUUCAAAUACAAUAAGAUAUACAAAAUAUGCAAAAUAUGACACCCUAUAAAGACGGUUCCGAAAGAACAGUCGUAAGAGAGGCAGUGGCAUUGUUGUAAUUUUUUUUCAAUUUUUUGCUACUUUUAAUGACGGUUUUCUCCUAAACCGUCGUUAUAUAUGUGAUUGAUGGAGCUUCAUAGGGUGUCGUUAUAUGUUGGGUCUGGCACAAAUUUCAGCUACGCUACGCGGAUGGUCUCUCACUCUCCUCACUUCAUGUUCCUCUCAUCGCUCCCUUUCUCACCUCUCCGCACGUAGCUACUCCAUUCAUCUCUUCCUUCUACCUCACUCUCACUGAAUCUACCUCACUUCAUCUUCUUCCUCGCACAACGUCGUGCCUCUGCCUCAAACCCUCGCCCUUGAAUCGCGUUGCCGCUCUCCUACUUUCACCGCGUUGUCACUCUCCUUCCUCCCUCACUUCAUCAUUUCCUCCGCAUCUCCAUAGAAAUCAUGUGCCAACAACGAAUCGCGCCUCCGCACGCUCUUUGUUGCGCCGCUUCUCCUCCACGACACUACUCUCCAUGCCGUCGUGUCUCUUCCGUACCACUGCCCAUCCUUCUAAUUUGAUAAAGGUCAUGGUGGAGAAGGUCUUUUAUGGUGAUGUUGUAGUUCCUGUUCCAACAUCAGAGGUGACAAUUGUAGCAGAGGCAUUGCAUACUUUCGUUGCCUGGCUUAGACAUCUCGUCAGACCUAUGGACUCUAUGGUAUAUCUUUGCACUAAUAGGAUUACAUAUCAGAUAUAUUACAUUCUAAGUAAUUUAAUUAUUUGUUUGUUUGUUGAUGAGUAGUUGGAACCUAAGACAAAACUGUCUCUGCGAAAGAAGAAAAAAUUCUCCACUAAUGAUCUUAUGGCGUUGGUGGAAGUUGCUACAGCUUUACAUACAACUGUUGUUAAGGUUCCAUGGGAUGCUAAUGUUUUUGGAAGGCAUAGUGAUGUACCCUUGUACAUUCACAUGUCUGAUUUGUUGGACCUUGCAUCUGGAAAUCAAGAGAUUAACAUAACAGUUCUGCAAUUAUGGAUGAUGUAAGUUCAAAUAUUAAAAUAUUUAUACUUUUGAUUAAUUAAAUAUAUUAGUUCUAACUUAUUGAAAUUUAGGUAUAUUUGUGGAUUAUGCUUCAAUGAGGGGAAACAAGAUAUAUAUGGGUUUUUACACCCUCAACUCAUUCAAUCACUUAGAAAUAAGAAGUCAGAAACACAAACAUACAUCACCCCUGCCUUAAAGAAUGGAGGAAAAUGAAUUUAUUUUGCUCCGUACAUCCAUGAGUAAGUCCAUAUUUAUUAAAUAAGUUAUACUAAAUUAUUGAAAUAAGAGAAACUAAUUGAUUUGUUAUAUAAGCGUCAUUGGAAACUAUUGAUUAUAUCUGUUCAAGAUCAUACCGCUGCAUGGUUUUGCUCCUUGCAUAAGAAACCCCCUACCUAUUUUAAACACGUUAUAGAUAGGUACGACAAUUUCAUUUAACAUUUAUUAUUACUUAUAUAUUAUAUAAUGUUAUGUAUUCUAACAUGAAAUCUUCUUAUUUCAGUGCUUACUCUGGAUAUAACAUGUUAAGUGAGAGGGGAAGUGCAAAUGCACAAAAACUCACUUGGAUGUACCUUAAUUUAAAGUACAUAUGUUCACUCAAUUUAAUGUGUCUCAUUCAUUCAUUUAAUACAUUUAUUUUUACAUGCAGUCCAACAGAAAAUCUGAAAGUUAUGAGUGCAGUAACUAUGUUAUGCAGUGGAUGUCAACUAUUGGGGUCAGGUAAUACCUCAAUACAAAAACACUUUAAAACUCAGAGUUUAUUAACUAAUUAAAAAAAAUCUAAUGUCACAAUUUUUCAAUGACGAACAGUCGCUAUGUUUGGAAGCAUUGGAGUACGUAAGGACAACAUGGUCAAAGUAUUUUUUAACCGUAAGAUAGAUAAAUUAUUAGAAUGAGAUAAAACUUUUUCAUAUAUUAGCAAAACUUUUUGUAGAAUGUUAUAAUUUGUUGUAUGUAUUUUCCAUAUUUAAAUUAUGAUUUUAAAUUUUUUAAUUUUUUGGAAAUUUAAUAUUUUAUGCAGGUUUGAGGUGUAUAUAUAUAAAAUAAAACAUUUUUUAAAAAAAAAAAUACAUAUAACGACGGUUCCACGUGGAACCAUCUUUAAAAUGCUUUUUUUUAAAAGGGACACACUUCCUCUACCAUCGUUAAAAAUAUUUAAAAAAUAUAUAUUUACAAUAUAAGUAAUGAUGGUUGAGGAUUCGUCGUUAUAAUUUUUUUUAACGACGGUUCUCCAAUCGUCGUUAUAAAUGGUUUAUUUAUAAUGACACCUGUAAUAACAACGGUUCGGGAACCGUAUUUAUGUCCUUUUUAACCAUCAUUAUUGUACCUUUUUGUACUAGUGAAUCAACUUUCAAGAUAACAACUGAAACAAUGAAAUGACAAUUUAUCAAGGGAUUUUUUCCCAUACGUUCACAGGUAAGUGCUUCUCUCAAUUUCCACUUAAUCCUAACAAAUCAAUUGAUUUUAAUUUCACCUUCAUAUUGUUAGAAUAUAUGGCCUUAAAUAAGAGGGGGGUGAAUUGUUUAUAAAAGAUUUUCGAAAAUUUUUGAAGGUUUAAUGAAACUCAGUGAAGAAAUCUAGAAGAGAAAUCAAGUUAGCCAAGAACACAAUCUGUUUUAAAGUGAAACACUGAAAAACAAUUGGUUGUUUAUUCGAAUCAAUCGGUUGUUUAUAUCAGUUAAAACUUAAACAACUUAAAAAUAGAAUUUAAAGGAGUUCAGAGAAAGAGAAAUGCACACAAGUAGUUUAUACUGGUUCACUCUUACAACAAGAGUUACAUCCAAUUCCCAGAAACCACUGGGUAAUCCACUAAGCAAUCAAAACAAAUUACAAAACACCACACACCAAAAUAGUGACCUUGAACCCCUCAAGAAAUACAUUACCUUUGGCAAACCACACCAAGAGUAUUGAUCUUGAACACCUCAAGAACACAACACUCCUUGGCAAUACAACAACAAAAAUACAAAAGAUAAAGAAAGGAUUACACCUGAUCAAAGUUCAAUUGAAAAGAAUACAAUUACACCUGAUCAAAGUUCAAUUGAAAAGAAUACAAUUGCAAUCCUAUUUCACUCUCACUUGAAAAUUCAAAGCUUGAUGUGAAUCUUAAAAACUUGAGAUCAAAUUUGUCAAACUGAAUUUCUCAAAAUUGUUUCUUACUCUUCAGAAACAUAUAACAAACUAUUUAUAUUUUCCAAAGAUUGGUCAAAACAUUUAAUGAAGGAGCAUAUUCAAUUAGAAAUCAUUUAAGACAGAUUCACCAUUCAAAACUGAAUUUUGUAAGGAUUUUCAAAGAAACAAUCGGUUGAAACCACGAAACAACCGAUUGAUUUGGUUUAACAGUUAAGUCAACCAAGUCAAACAACUUUCAACCUUUUUCAAAACCUCUAAGAACAAAACAACCGGUUGAUUCGAGAAAACAACAACUUGUUUUUCACUUAGUUGAAAAAAAAAAUUCAAAAAGGUUUCAAUUCACAUCAGUUUUAAAUUCAACAAAAGAGUGGAUUACACUUUAUUCUACCCUAAUCCCACCCACACAUAGCAUCAACACCAACCUUUCAUCAAACACCUUGGAUUUGGAUUCUUCAAAGCUCUUGAUCACUCUUGAUCAACAAUCUCCCCCUAUUUGAUGAAGACAAAUCCCUGGUUGCUUGUGUUGAUCUUGUUUGAAUCUGACACAGCACCUGUAAAACAGAAAUCAUGCAAUCCAGAACAUCUCUAAUAGCAGGUUAUAAUGAUAUAUCAACUAGUUUUUCUACAUAACCACAAGAGUAGAAAAACUAGCCAUAAACUAUGCCAAAAACAUCAAAAUUGCAACGCCAAAUCAAACAACAUAUGCUGCAGAAUUUAAAGGCACUUGAAUUUCCAAGAUAUGGAAUAUAUUCUUUUUAUGACAAGAAGUAACCUCCUCCUGAACCAAAUCAGACUCAUAUGACUGCUUCAUUGACUCAUAAUUCUUUUAAGAUUGAAAUCUGAAAAAGAUAGAAAGCAUAAAGAAAUUAAAUCAAUUUUAUGCAGAGCUGUCAGAGGAGAAACAAUCGGUUGUUUCGAGAAAACAAUCGGUUGUUUUUCUGAAACAACAACUAAAUAGAAUUUUUAAAAGCAAAGAAGAAUCAAAAUGUAAUUGCUCCACAUAUAUCACAAUUUGAUGAAGAUUUAACACAUAUUAAGAAAAGAAAAACAACAUAAACAAAGAAAGCCUUAUCCUUUUGUCAUAAAGUCCCUUCAAUGAGUCAUUGUUCAUGAUUAAGAAAACUUAUUUUGGCUUUUAAGAAGACUUAAGCUGGUACAGAAUCCUCAGUUCAAUUCCAGAAAGAAUCCUUUCCUUCCAAAAGCUUGAUUUGAUGACUCAAGAGUCCCUACUUGUCUUAGUAUUCCUACAACACAAAAAAUUCAAGAAACAAGAUUUGGGUCCUUAUGAUUUAUAUUUAUCACUGGAAACUUCAGAAUCUUUGGGAAUCCAUCUUAUAAUACCUUUAGGAACAUAAUAUUUCCUAAUUUUACAGAAUCUAACAGAGUGGCCUCUCUUCAUGCAAUAAAAACAUGUAACAACCGGUUGUUUCGAUUUUUCAAUCGGUUAUUUUUCUGGCACUUUUGAAAAAGGCUUUGAAAUCCCAUUUUUCUUGCUUUGAGGAUUAAACCCCAAACCAGAUUUUCCAGAAACACAUUUUUGGGAUGCCAAGACAGUUUCAAAGUUAUAUUUACCCUUUGAAAGUGUAUCCACAGUUCUUACAAGAUAGUGGACUUUACUCUCAAGAGUUUUACAAUUUUCACAAGCUUUUGAGUGACACAUGCAAGAAGAAUUCUUGCAAUGCAAUUCAAGAUUUUCAAAAUCAGUUUUUGAAUUUUCCAAUUCUUCUUCAAGUGUCUUGACUCUAUUUUCAAACCAAUUAUUCAACCCUUUCAACCGGUUGUUCAAGAGAGCCAAUCGGUUAGCUUCCUCAUGAGUUUCUUUAAAAGCUUGAAGCAAUUGACUAUAGUUUUCAGCAUUUAAAGAGGCACAAGAACUUACACUGCUUGAAUCAUCUUUUCUCUCUGCCAUCAAACACAGAUUGGCUUUUUCAUCUUCACUUGAUGAGGAGACUUCAUUUUCAUCCCAAGCAAUUGGCCUUUUUUGAUUUCUCUUUCUUGCUUGACUUUUUUUCCUUGCCUUCUUUAUUUGGGCAUUCAACUUUCAUAUGCCCUUGUUCUCCACAACCAAAACAAAUAUAAUUGUUAGGAGUAAAAUCACUAGUUUUCUUGUUUCCAUACCUUUCUUUGUUGGAUUCUUUGUUGCGGUUUCUCUUCAAGAAUUUGCUGAACUUUUUGGACAGCAAACUAAGAGUUUCUCCCUCACUUUCAUCACUUGAGUCUUGCUUAUUUUUGUUCUUGGCAACUUUCAAGGCUAUGUUCCUUACAUGCUUGUCUUCACUUUCUUGAACAUUGAGUCUAUUCAUCUCUAACUCAUGUUCUCUAAGCUUUCCAAAUAAGGAGGUUGUGGUUAAGGAUGUCAAAUCCUUAGACUCAAAGAUGGAAAAAUUUUUGGUUUCCAAGAUCUAUCAAGACACUUUAGAAUCUUGAUGCUCAACUCCUCCUUGUCAAAAGUUUUUCCAAGACUCAUUAGAUAAUUGACUAUGUGGGUGAAUCUCUUUUGCACUUCAACAAUUGAUUCUCCUUUGAGCAUUCUGAACAUCUCAUACUCUUGUAUUAGAGUAUGUUUCCUUGCCCUUUUCAUAUCAUUUGUCCCUUCAGGGGUGACCUCUAGAGUAUCCCACAUUUCCUUAUCCGCCGAUGCACAUUAUGAGAUACUGAAAAAUUCAUCAGAGUUCAAAGCAGAGGUUAUGAUAUUCUUGGCAAUGCAAUCAAACUUGGCCUUUUUAUUUUCAGCAUCAGUCCAUUGGGACCAAGGUUUUUCAAUAGAAGCACCUUCCUUUUCAAAUUUUGGAAUAAGAGGUUCAUUCUCAAUUGCAUCCCAAAUCCCUUUAUCAAGAGAUUCAACAAAGAUUUUCAUUCUAACCUUUUAAAACUAAUAGUUCAAACCACAAAACAAAGGUGGCCUGUUAAUUGAGGCACCCUCCCCAAAACGUAGUUUUUCAGCCAUAGAAAAAAGGAUUUAGGAUUGAAAACUUGAGUAACUACAAGAACUUAGCUCUUGAUGUCAAUUGUUAGGAUAUAUGACCUUAAACAAGACGGGGGGAAUUGUUUAUAAAAGAUUUUCGAAAACUUUUGAAGGUUUAAUGAAACUCAGUGAAGAAAUCUAGAAGAGGAACCAAGUUAGCCAAGAACACAGUCUAUUUUAAAGUGAAACACAGAAAAACAAUCGGUUGUUUCUUCGAAUCAAUCGGUUGUUUAUACCAGUUAAAACUCAAACAACUUAAAAACAAAAUUUAAAGGAGUUUAGAGAAAGAGAAAUGCACACAAGCAGUUUAUACUGGUUCACUCUUACAACAAGAGCUACGUCCAGUUCCCAGAAACUACUGGGUAAUCCACUAAGCAAUCAAACCAGAUUAAAAAACACCACACACCAAAGUAGUGACCUUGAACCCCUCAAGAAACACACUACAUUUGGCAAACCACACCAAGAGUAUUGAUCUUGAACACCUCAAGAACACACAACACUCUUUGACAAUACAACAGAAAUGCAGAAGAUUCAGAAAGGAUUACACCAGAUCAAAGUUCAACUGAAAAGAAUACAAUUGCAAACCUAUUCCACUCUCACUUGAAAAUCCAAAGCUUGAUUUGAAUCUUGAAAACUUGAGAUCAAAUCUGUCAAACUGAAUUUCUCAAAACUGUUUCUUACUCUUCAGAAACAUAUAACAAACUAUUUAUAUUUUCCAAAGAUUGGUCAAAACAUUUAAUGAAGGAGUGUAUUCAGUUAGAAAUCAUUUAAGACAGAUUCACCAUUCAAAACUGAAUUCUGUUAGUUCAAAGAAACAAUCGGUUGAAACCACGAAACAACCGAUUGAUUUGGUUUAACAGUUAAGUCAACCAAGUCAAACAGCUUUCAACCUUUUUCAAAACCUCUAAGAGCAAAACAAUCGAUUGAUUUGACAAAACAACAGGUUGUUUUUCACUUAGUCGGAAACACAUUUAAUUUUAAAAGGUUUCAAUUCACAUCAAUUUUAGAUUCAACAAAAGAGUGGAUCACACUUUAUUCCACCCAAAUCCCAUCCACACACAGCAUCAACACCAACCUUUCUUUAAACACUUUAGAUUUGGAUUCUUCAAAGCUCUUGAUCACUUUUGAUCAACACAUAUCACAAUCACAUUAGAACAUGAAUAUUAAGGUCUUUUUCAGGGUUAUAAUGGGAUUGAGCUUUCAAUGAAUAUUGGUUUUUCAUAUAAGAAAAUACACAAUUAAAAGAAAAACAACAUACCUACAAUGCAUAUGUGUUAUCUAAUCACUAACUUCUUUUGAGUUUAAUACUUUUCCCCAUUUUCUUUACUUAUUCAUGAUUUCAACUUUUUUUUUUCUAAGAGAAUAGAAAUAGAUUAUUCCUAUUUCUAACCAAAUGAAUUAUUUAAACUUAUAUUAUUCAAACAACUGAAACCAACCAUUCCUUUUUUUCUAUAUAUAAAUUGCAUUUAUGUUCUCCUUCCUUAAACAUGUCAACAGGUAGGAAAAUAUAUUAGUUAAGGUUCAGGGUGCAAUAAUAAUAACAAAUAUUCUUGGCUCAAAAAGGUUAUCACAGAGAUAUAAUCAAUUUAAAUAAAGGUUGGCUAAAUGACUCUAGCUUUCUAAUUAAUACAAAUGCCUUAAUCAUUUUCAUGCUCUUUUAUGAUGUAACAUAAAAUAAAAAAAUCAAGCAACCAUAACUGUCAUUCAUCAGUGAAACUCUCAAACUAUUUAAGAUUCACACACUUACUUGGCUUAAUUAGUCUAAUUCCUUUUUGCUUGUCAUUCUCUAUUUCAACUAAUCAUCCUAUUUAAUUUUUAUGUACCAUAAUCUAAACUAAAUUGGAAUAUGGAUUCAACACAUUUUCUUUUCCAACCUGUGUCUAUAUCAUUUCAUUAUUCUAAUCUUAAACACAAAUUUUGAUUAAUAAUUUUCCCACAAUUCAAAUUAAUAUUCCAAUUCUUACAAUAAUAUUUAAGAAUAAUGUAAACUAGAAAAACAACUCAACAAAUAAAAUAAAACUAAAAAUAACUCAACAUAUAAAAUAAAAUUUAGAAACAAAAUAAGCAAAUUAAACAAACUUAAAGGAAAUAACUAUAAAGAUAAAACCAUGUUUUGUGCUCAAUCAUCUCUUCUUAGCAACUCAUCCAACUAUGUGUUGAAAUCUUAAUAUACAGUCGUAGAUGGUCCUGCUUCAUCUACUUGAAUUGCCCCCCGAAGAAAUAAUACUUAUCUCCAAACCAUGCAAAUAAGCUCCAAAGUGAUCUGCAGGCAUAAAUUCUCAAAAUUUAUGUUAAAACAUUACAGAAAAUCCUUUUAUCAAAACUGAACUAUCAAUUUUAAUGGAUUAAAAAAUUUAUUUAAUAUGUUGAUUUCACUUAAGGUGAAAAUAAUGAAUUAUUUCAAAUUUUCAAUUUUUUAAAACCAUUCCGGAUAAUAACAUCCUUAAAACCAAGAGAUUUCAAUAAGCUAAAAACUAAUUAUAACAGAUUAAAAAAAUCUUUACAAAACUACUUGGGAUUUUAAAUAUAAUUUGAACAAAUUGAUUUCAUAAAAUAAUCAAUUGAAAUAUGUUGGGUUUAAUAGUGCCAAAGUUCAAGAGGGGGGGGUGAAUUGACCUUUUAAAACUUUCUCGCAGAAACAAUGUUUAACUCAGUUUUACAGAAAAUAAAUCGAUUUAUGUGAAAAUGAACAGAUUUAUUUCAGCACUGUUUUUGUUUGAAACGCUUUUAAUACAACAAUAUUAACCACAAGACUAUGCAGAUAGAUUUUCCAUAUGCAUACACACAGAUAUCAGAUUGAAAAACAGUGAAAUACAAAACAGCAAGUUUCAAUUUCCAGUAAGUGAUUAAGGUUCAAUUGAUAGCAUGCUAAUUAAUUGAGUGACCUUUGCAAACAACCUGUUCCAGUGGCUUUUAACAGACUAUGAGUGUUCUUCUUGAUGUCAAGCAAUUUUCCAGAAAUUAAGAACAAUGAAUCACAGAACAGCAAGCUUCAACUUUAAGCAAUUGUUUAAGGUUCAAUUAAUAGCUUUGACAGUUUCUUGGGCAACCUAUCACAGCCAAUCUGUUCCAGUAACUUUUAGCAGAUUUUAUAUGUUCUUAUCAGAUUAAGACAACUUUUUCAGAAAUCAAGAACAGUAUGCACAGUGCCCAGAAAGAACAGAUUUAUUUUCAAUUGAACAGAUUUAUUUCUUUGCUGUUUUAUCAAUUAUGCAGAAACGAAAUUGCAGAGAGUGAGAGAGAAUGAACACAAGCAAUUAUACUGGUUCACUCAACUGAGCUACAUCCAGUCUUCACCAACAACAGGUGGAAAUCACUAACACACAGUACAACCAAGAACAAUUCCCACUGUUCUUGAAACCUACAAGAACUUAGGUACUCUUGCUGAAAAAACCUAUUUCAGCAUACACACACACCCACUCUUCAAGAACACCUACCAAGAAGAGUGUUCAACCAAACUAUUACAAGAAAGAGAUGUGAAACGACUACACCUGAUUGAGGAUACACAGAUCUGCCUUAAACCAGUAGGCAAGAUUGCUAGAACAGUAGCUGCACCUCACACCAAGCUUUUGGAACCAAACCAAGAACAAGCACUUUGUGAUUUUUGAAUCUUUGAAGAACAAAUGCUAAUUCUUUGUAAACACUUAACUCUCUGCUGUCAAAACUUGUUUUUGCAAAUGUAUGAAUUGUUUGAAUUGUUAUUAAACUCAGAAACAAGUUUGCAUUUUAUAGAAAACCAACUUAUAACAGAUUUUUGAAAAACAGUUAAAGCUGUUAUAAAAUGAACAGAUUGAAAAUAAAAUGAACAGAUUUAUUUUCAAAAAGCAGUUAGAGAAUUUGUUAAGUGAGGAGACUUAGUCAACCAUUCUGGUGCAGAGAUAAAACUGAAAAACGUUUAAGCUUGACAUGGCACCAGAGACAAAAAGAAUCUAUUCAUUUACAGAUGAACAGAUUUAUUUUUCAAAACGAAAACAGAGAAAGUUUAACAAUUUAAAACUCAGUCGUUUUGAAAAGAAGAAGACUUAGUCAAAAUAUCUGAUGCACAAAAUCUAAUUUUUACAAGACUUUAGCCAAGGCAUCAGUGAAGAAAAAUGAAUCUGUUUAUUUAGAAAAGAACAAAUUUAUUUUUAUGCAGUAAACGUGUUUUUGUGUAAAACAUGUGAAAAAUAGUUUAAGAAAACUUAUGCUUGUUCUUAUCACAUGGCCAGUGGUUAUGAGGUGAGUUACCCAGCAAAAAGCCCACUCUUAGACAACCUCUAAGCACCACCUAAGACAUACUUAAAGCAAAGCAAAAUACAAAUGAAAUGUACAUAUAAGACUUCAUCAAACACUACAUAUAAGUUCAUCAAACACAAUCUUGAAGGGGCAGCAACCAUCUUCAACAAAAUAUUCACUCCAAUCUUUAAAGAGGUUAAGAAUUUUUAACAGAAUAAAAAUAUCAUUUAGAUCCAUUGAAAUUAUCUUAAUACGAACAAUAAGUUCCAAAUAGUCUGAAAACAUUCUGAAAUUAUUCUUGGAUUAUGUGGAUCAUUAACCUUGGUAAUCGGAAAAAUACAGACACAUAAACUCACAGACACACACUAUGUAAUCUAAGUCUUCUCUUCAAACUUGGAUUCAUCAAAUAACUCAUCUUCAAUUGUACCUGCAUAUGAGUGCUUUGAGCAUAUCUUGUUUAGAUUCAUAAAGUCUGCGCACAUUCGCCAUUUGACGCUCACCUUUUUUUACCAUGACCACAUUAGCUAAUCACUCUGUGGUACAAUCCAAGUAGACAAGAAGAUGACCAAGGACUCAAGAGACCAUUCACACUAUGAGCAGUCAUCUCAACAAUCAAGUCAAGACCCCACCAAAGAUCUAAUGGACCUCACCAGAAGAAGAACUGGGCAUAGACAUGUCGUAAAUAAUUUGGGGUCACUUUAGGGGUCCAAAUAACAAGAUAGGCUAUAGUAGGUUCAUAUAGCAUAAAAGGGAGUGUUCUUAGCGAAAUUGGCUUAUAUUAAGCCCACUUUUCAAGACAAGGCAUCUAGGUUUAGGAAGGUUGCCCUACCUUCUAGAAAACCUAGCCAAAGGGGUGGUUUUGACUUUAGUCAACCUCCCUUGGCCGCCCCUUUUCAUGCCCAUUAUACCCUUGUUUCAUCUUGUUUUCCAAGGCACCCAUUGUUAAAAAUAGGGUGUCUUGCCUCAUGUUAUGACCCAUUUAAAAUUUCAAAUAGAAAGGAAACUCUGCACAAAUUGUGAGUGAGAUUUGUGUUCUCUCAACUUUGGUCUUAUCUUGUGAGAGUGAGAGCUCUUCAAGUGGCGACCCUCAUCACUUAUCUUGGAGAUCCCACACCUCCAAGUGGCGUGUUCAUUCAUUCCCUUCACCAUAAGCUUUCCUAUCCUUCAUCUUUUCUUCCAUUUUCGAUUACACCAUUUAUCCUUGUGUUUAUGUUCUUGUUUUGCUUCCAUUUUCAAUUCGGUCUCCUUCAUUAUAUUUGCUUCCAUUUGUGUUCUUUCAUUUUCGCAAAGCAUCAUCAUCUUCACCAUAUCUUGUGUUUUCCUUUUUGCCUUUGGAAGUGAACAUUCACACUUAACCACUUGGUUAAGUUCGUGUCCAGUGGGGAUCUUCCCUAGGUCUCACCCUAUAAUUGCUAAAAUUCAAACCAUGAACAAAGUGCCACCAUUAAAAUGGACAAACCUAAAAUCAACUCACAUCACUCUGGAUAUUAGAUUUCCCGAAUAUGCUCACACUAAAAGAAAAUCAUUAAAUAGAUAGAGACAAAAAUUCAUUAGUUACUAUAUUGACUAAAUUAGAUACUAUGUUAGAGAUUAAACAAAAUUUUGAUAUCUAAAGUAGUCUCUAUUAUUAAUAAAAAUCAUAAACUACUUUCUAAAUUGGUAUCUAAUUAGCUACCAAGGUAUCUACAGUGGUAUCAAAUUAACUGCUAGUAUCUAAAACUUUGGUUGUUAAUUAGAUACUAAUUUAGAAACUAGUUUAUAAAUUUUAUUAAUAAUAGAAAUUAAUUUAGAUGCAAAUAAGUUUUUAGUCUCUAAAGUAGUAUCUAAUUUAGUCAAUAUAGUAACUAAUUACUUUUGGUAUCUAAAAUUUAUUUAUAUUUAAUGAUUUCCUUAUAGUGUCACCCACUAGUAGUUUAUGAUAUUCUUCUUUGAUUACCUGUCUUUUUUCUUCACAAAUUUCCUUCUUCUCUAAAUAAUUGGCUUCACCCUCGGUUGACAACUAAAAGAAUGGCAUAAGAAGUCGAUAUCUAUACUAGGAAUUUCAAAGGUCGUCCAGAAAAAGAACUAUAAGUUUGCUUUUAUCAAAUUUAUCAAUUUACUCUCGACUUGUUUGUGCAAGGCUCUGCCAAUUUUUAUCUUCUGGCCCUUCCUAAUGUUCGUCAUCUCCCACUAGUUGCGGCCUCAAAUCUUUGUACAUGAUUCAUGGUUCAAGGUCUAAAUUUUUUAUAUCGAAUGAGUAGGUUGUUGAGUAAGCAUUUUGACACAUGUGCAAACUAUUCGCGUGAAACUUCCAGGUCGUCCUUUAAUAUACCUUUAAUGUCACAAUGUUUCCUUUAGAAGCUGGGAACUUGACUUUGAAAUGUAUGAAAGACACUAAUGCUCCUAGUUUAUUCAAGAAAGGUUUCCCAAGGAGCAGAUUAUAAGUGUAAGGACCUUUAACUACAAUAUAUCUCACCAUAAUAGUACUUAUUGACUCUUCAUCGGUAAAGGUGGUUUGGAGAUCAACAUAUCCCCACACUUCUACUUGAACUGCUAAAAAUCUGACCAAAACACCAUCAGAUGACUUGAGUUGAUCUGAUACAGUCAUUCUUAAGUGUUGAAUGGAGAUUGAUGGAAGGCAGCGAAAGACUUGUAAAUUUGUGGAGGGAGCACAAAAUGGCUAUAGAGGUUCUUGGUUUGGGCAUGAGUUUACAAGGUUGAUGACUAUUUUACAACAAGUGUACCGUGUCAGAAGUAAUAAAUACCUAAGGAUGAAUAUUGAACUCACAAGGAACAUUUCCAAAUCUCAAGUAUAAUAUUCACUAAAUAUAAGAAAAUAUAUAAAAGUUUUUUGGAAAGGUUGUUUGUAUGGUGAAUUUGCAAGAAAUUAAAUAAAGAAAAGUAAAAGAGUUGUAUGAAUCAAUUGGGGUUCAUCCUUCUCACUCGUCUAUAUUUUUCAAAAGAAUAUAAUAUUCAAUCUUGAUUGAUAUUGAUGCAUAUAUAAAAAUCAUUCAUAUUGAUUCCUCGCAUAAAAAUUAUUAAGAGAGACUCCUAAAUAUCGAUUCCUCGCAUAUUUAUAAAAUUCCUUAUCAUUACGAACAAAUGUUAUAAAACAAUUAACAUUUCAAAUCUAUUCCUAGUAUUCAAAUAUGUUAAGCAUUAUCAUUUAGGUCAGAUUCUUAGAAGUACUUUCCAGUCAAAUUUAAGGAUCAAAAUCAUGAAUAAUUCAAUCUUUAAGAAUAAAAUGAUAAUACCAAUCAUCAAUCAAGAAUUGAAAUGUUAAUGGUUUCUAAAAAAAUAACUUAAACAAUAUGUUUAGUUUAUUUCAUAUACGAUUUGAUAACAUAUACCUAUAUUUGUUCAUAUACACAAUACAUUCAUAGUAUAUUACCACACAAAUAACAUGUACAAGAGUAUGUUAUCAAAAUAAAUUAUCUUAACAAGACAACUUUAUUCAAGUUAAUUAUCACUAUAAAUUCACAAGUCAAAUCAAUUCAUCAUCUUAUCAUCAACUACAUGCAUACACACAUACAAACAAACACACGUACACACACAUACCACACAUGGAUCCAUGCAUUCAAUGAUAUUUAUCAAGGAAUGUCUCAUACGGAAAACUCAUAAUAAGCAUUCACUAGUAGAGACACUACAAGAAAAAAUAGUUUUAACGAAGGUUUAUUUUUACAUUAUCAAGGGUUAAAACCCCUAUUAAGUCAUUUACCCAAGGUUGCAGUUUGCCCCGUUAAACCAUCCCUGGGGAACGUAUUUCCCGGGGUAUUUUUAAACCUCAAGAAAAGUCUUUCAAAACCCUUACUAAAUAUCAUGGGUUUAAGAACCUCCGUAAAAUACCAUGGGUUUCAAAACCUCUAUUAAGUAUCAUAGGUUUCAAAACCUCCGUAAAACACCAUGGGUCUCAAAACCUCCAUAACCAUGGGUUUCAAAACCUUCGUUAAAUUCUAUGGGUUUAAGAACCUCCGUAAAAUACCAUGAGUUUCAAAAUUUCCGUAAAAUGACUUGUCGUUUGAAAUAACCUUCAACCCCAUUUUCCACCAUCCACUACAAAAAAAAUCACGUUUAGCGACCACCAAAUUCGGUCACUAAAAGCACUAUAAUUGGUGGCUAAACAUAUUUGCGACCGAAACAGUCACCAAAUAAAGAUGGAAGCGAAAACCCUAGUCGCAAAGCCUUUAGCGACCGAAUUAUAAAGUGGUCGCUAAUUUGCAACCGAAAUUUCGGUGGCUAAAUCGGUCAUAGAAAAUUUGGUCAUCAAAAUUCAGAAACCAAAUUAGCAACCGAUAUUUCAGUGGCUAAAUCGGUUGCAGAAAAUUUGGUCACCAAAAUUCGGAAAUCAAAUUAGCGACCAAACUUUUGUAAACAAAUCGGUGGCUAAAUUGGUGGCUGAAAUAGAAGGUGAUAGUGACCACCAUUUUCGGUCGCUAGUGGAUUAAUUAAAAAAAAAACUUUUGGUGGCUAAUUCGGUGGCUAAAUGGAGACCCUAUAACAACAUAUUUGAUUUCGAUGGCUAAAUAUUUUUUUUAAUUACAGCAAUCGAUUCUAUUUCAGUAGCUAAAAAACAACUUUGUAGAUGUAGCCACCAAGUCGGUUUCGAUGACUAUUUUUUAUGUAUUAUUAAUAUCUAUUUAAACUAGUAUUUUGACCAUUUUAUAAAAAAAUUCAAAUAUGCUUAUAGAUACUUAAAAUUGUGGGAAGCUAAAUAGGAAUGAACUUCAAAUACAUAAUUUAAGAAAUGAAAUCAAAUUGAUUAUUGUUAAAUAUAUAUAUAUAUAUAUAUAUAUAUAUAUAUAUAUAUAUUUGUUGUAGUAAGAAGUAAUUAAGGAAUUAAAAUGUUUAAAAAUACAAGUAUUCGGUUUUAAUGUUAAGUUUUGUAAUAACUAAAAUCAUGUCAAGUCUUCAUGUUUCAAUGGAUCAAAGGUUAUGCAAUGUGACGUAACAACAACACUAAAAUAGUAUUAAUAAAUCCAGGUUCCAUAUUUUUAUACAAACAAGAAAGAGAAACCUAAUUUGGAUGAUGAAGGAUUACAGUGUCUUUGUAUAUAAAAUGAACCAAGGCCUAAUAGACGCAAGAAAAUAAUUAGAUAAUGAAGAAAAAUGGUAUGAGAUUACACAUUAAAACUGAACUAAGUAGCAAUGCUACCUUGAAAACUCUAGGCUCCAUGUCAUUGAGAACUAUCACCCUAUCAUCUUUCCCUAACCCAUUGGAAAACAACAGGAAAAAUAAAACUGGAUGCCUCACACUAACAACAUUCUUCAACAAAAAUAAUGCAGGUGCCUUGUACUUCUCAAACAUAAGCUUUGUUGUCCUGCAAUAAUAAAAUCCAAAAUAUACGAACUGACACUUUAAGAUGAGCUCAUAAUUCUAGACAAUAAAUUAUAAUAAGAAUACAUUUCUCUCUGCUAUUGAGAGUUUGAAGAAGGCUCUACAAGGAUCAUAGGAUGCUCUUUAGGAUCAAUAAGUAGGCAAUCCCUACCAAAAACAGAAAGCAUGGUCGAUCAAUAGGCACUCUCUACCAGAAAAAGAAUGUGAACCAGUGACAAAUAAAAUAAUAUGUGGAUUUUAUAGUGACCAUGCAUGAAACUUGUUUUAAAUCAUGCUAUUUAAUUAGAACCAUUUGUCUGGACACCCCAAGGUAAAAAUUGAAGCAACAAUUACCCUAUUAACAUUCUAGGGUAGGUUAAAAAUUCAUUACAAUCUUAAAAUGCAACAAUAAAAGAAUAGUAAUGCAUAUUAUAGAAUUUGGCACAUGCAGAAUUAUAUACAUGAAUAGAGUCAUAGUAGCUGGGAGGAUGAAACUAGCCUAAGGGGGUACUGUUGCUCCCCCAUGGCAUGGACCAGCAGGUUUGAGAUCUAGAACUACAGAAAAUAAGGUCUGCAGAUCAUGUAAUAUGAAGCAUGGCCUCAGUAGGAUGGAAGGGGAAAUGUGUGUGAAGCAAUUACCAAGCCAAUGUUAAAGCAGAAUAUAAACUUAUUGAAUGAGGGGUGUCGUGCAAUAGGGAUGCAAAACCUAUACAUGCUUCAAAAUGAAAUGAGAGCAAUCAAAACUACAUCUAGAAGAAAAAAAACAUUAUUGUUGAAAAUAACCAUUACAUGGAAAUUAGCCUUACCUUUAGUUGUCUCUGCUGGAAGAACAAUUUAAUAUUGACAAGGGUCUAAAUCUACAACUACAACAAAGAAAUUAAAAAUAAAAAAAAAGAACCCAGGUAGCAAAAUUGAAGUGAAUCAGGAAAGCAUGAGAGUAAUUGUAUUAGGUUUAACCUAUGAAGCUAUAAUGGGAAAUAGUUGGUAAGAAAACCCAGAUGAUGCAAUUGAAAGGUGUAAGCAGAGAAAAUGUCACUUGGCAGCAAUGUUCAUAUUCAAUAUAGUUUAUAAUAGUCAUAGAUUAAAUAAUGUGAAUGGAAUCAGAAGCAAAGAAUGGUGGCAGAGUAAACUUGCUUCUAAAUGCAAGGUUUAGACAAUCCAAUUAAAGCUAACACACCAAUGUCUAUAAAAAAAUUCAUUAUUAUUAAGAAAACUAAACAUGAAAUAAAGCUUCAACUAUUAUCUAUGUCAUUCCUUAUCAAUUAUAGGAGCAUACGAUCCCAAAACUAUUGUCGCUGGUAAAGUUUGUGAUACUUUAGUUAUAGUUAUAUUACAAAACCAAAGCAACACUAGAUAAUAAUAACUAAAAAUAUACGAGAAACUAAAAUUAAAAUUAAAAAAAAUAUAUAUUAACUAAACCAAGAUGUUGAAAAUAUAAUUAUUAUACAAGAACAAACACUUUAGAAUUUAACUUGAAUACCUGCAAGUUCAUAUACGAAUUAAUAGAAACCAAAUAACCUGAAGAAAAAAAAAACCAGUGAAGACAAUCAACAAAAUGAAAUCCAUGCAGUAUUUGACCACCUUAGGAAACUGCAAGGAAGCAUUUAGAAAUGAAAUAACAAUAGAGAAAAUGAUCCAUAACAAAUCAUCAUACCCUUGUACUCCAUUCUCCACUUGAGUUUCACAAUUACAGGCUUCCUGGUCAAAUUAUUCAAGACAGGUUUGGGAUUAACUGGUAUAGUCUGCAAAACACGAGGUAAAAAAUAAACUUACAAAAAUUAGAAAAUAAAGCACAAUCAAUCACACGCUGUGAUCUUUUAUACUCAAAGAACAUUGGCUAGUUCUAGAUCUACUUCCACUAAAACUCUUUCAUUCCGAUUAAACAUCAAAAAAAUGCACAACAAUUCAGAAAAUGGAGAUCGGAGAUCUAGGGCAUGAAAAAUGGGGAAAAUGAAAAGCAAUUUUAAGAAACCAAAUCGGGGCAAAUUGAAAACGAAUACCAAAUAAGAGCUUCGAUUGAGAUGAUUGAGCUUCGAUUGAGAGAUGAAGAUUAGAAUAUAUGGAGAUGAAGAGCAAACAACUACUGUGUGUAUAAAAACCACGAAACUUUAUAAGUAUGUGAAAAACUGCGGGAAGUGUGUAAGAAUAUGAGAGUGUGUCACAGAUUUGCGUCAUUCUCGUUCGCGAUGCAGAGGCCCUAGAAAGAGAGAGAGAGGUGGGGGAGCAAUGUAGCGAAAACCUAAAUUGUUGGCGUUCAUCGUCAUCGUCGUUGGCGGCAGUCUAAGAAGCCAUGACCUGAGCGAGGCGCUGAGCAGCGGCUUUGCCUGCAACAUUCUGAGUCCUUUUGACGGUUGAAAUUCGAGUUGCAGUGAGGGUGAGUGAGGAAGAACAAGAAUGGCCAUUUCCUUUUUCUUUUUCUUUUUUUUUUAUUAUUAUUAUUAUUAUUAGUAUUAGUAUUAGUAAAAGACACAUUUAUAUUUAGCCACCAAAAAAAAUCGGUGACUAAAAAAUAAACAUAUUUGGUGGCUGAUUCGGUAGAAAAAAUAAACCGUUACAUUUAGCGACCAAAAGAAAAUCGGUGGCUAAAAUAUAAACAUAUUUGGUAGCUGAUUCGGUGGCAGAAAUAAACAAUUACUUUUAGCGACCAAAAGAAAAUCGGUGGCUAAAAUAUAAACAUAUUGGGUGGCUAAUUCGGUGGCAGAAAAUAAGCAAUUAUAUUUAGCGACCGAAAGAAAAUCAGUGGCUAAAAAAUAAACAUAUUCGGUCGCUAAUUUGGUCGCAGAUAUAUUUUUCCCAAUUUAUUCAAAACAGCCACCACUUUAGCGACCGAUGGUUUUGUGACUCUCAUGUUCGGUCGCUGAUUCGGUCGCAAAACUAACUAACAUCAUUACAAUUCAUUCGGUCACUGUUUCGGUCGCAGAUUUGACACUGAAGGUAUUUGGUGGCUAUUUCGGUCGUAAAUUGCAACUACUUAUUUUCGGUCGCUAAAUUCGGUGACUAAAUAGUUAUUUUCUUGUAGUGAUCUCUAACGGUCCUUCUAACUUCUCUCUUCCAUCGUAGACACACUACUCUCCGGCACAGGCUUAAUGAUCGCCAACGACAAUCCUAACAAGGAAUCACAAUUCAGUCACACUUAUGUUUAUUAUAUCUAAGGACAAGAAACACUAAAUAAAGCAUUAUCUUCUUCUUACCCCAAUAUUGCUUCUUCGAUCACCUUACUACCCCAACUCAUGUCACAAGCCACUGUUACCUAGCUCGACAACAACUAAUGUUUAUCACUUCUUUAUAUAUCAUAAAUAAUUGCAUUAUUUGUUAGAUGUUGACUUCAAAGUCAUGUGUGUUCUUGGCUACGAGGGCUUCAAAGUCUGUAAGAACAUAUUGUGAGGAGAAAUUAACUUUAUCAAUUCUCAAUUUCACAGUGAAUUAAUUAUUGGAUGAAUUUUAAAAUAAAGGUCUUAAUCUAAAAUAUUUCAAAAUUAUGAGAAUUAUAUAUUGACAAUUAUAACUAAAACUAACAUUACAGAUAAAAUAUACAUACAUCAAAAGCUAAAACAAAAUAAGUCAAAUUUUUUGAAGUAUGAGUUCGUAACAAAAAAAACUAGGAAUUAUAUAAACCAAAUACCAUAAAUCAUAAGAAAUAUGCAAAUACUGUUAAAAUACUUAUUAUCCAAGAUUAUUUUGCUGAAUUUUUAAAAUAAAUAUUUGAAACUUUAGAAAACUUAUUUGUAAUGUAAAGUUACAUUUUCAAAAUUUUAGAGAAUUUAGUUAUAAAAUUUAUAAAUAUAUUAAAACUAUAUAGUUUUCCAUUAUUUAUUUAUAAAUAGAUUUAGUUAUAUUUAUUUAUUGAAGUUCGAAAAUAAUGGAGUGUUUUCUUGAAGUUCAACAAUAAAUCUUUGAAAUUUAACAAAUGUUAAAAAAACAUCCGUUAUUUUUUUGAGAUUUUAAAUAUAAACCUUGAAAUCAAUUAAAUCUCAGUUAAUUAAAUCAAUUCAUUGGAUUAUUUAAACUUCGCUAAAUAACCUCCAUUAAAACCUUUUUUUUUCUUGUAGUGAGACUAUAUGAAUCAAGGUAAGUUUAAGGUAUAGGCAUAUCCAAAACUCAUAAAAGGUGUUUUGACGAUACAAUAAACUUCCCUCCAACUUCUUACCACUUGUGGAUGGAGUUCCUUACUCCUUCCAUAAGUUCUUCGGUUGAAGAUGGUUUGAAUGUGGAGAAUGGAUGAAAAAGAAAUAAUUGAAUAAAAAUGGUAAGAAAUGAAUGAGUUUGGGUGUGAAUUAUGAGAAUGGUGCUAGGAAGGAGGUUAGGCCAAUCUUCUAUCUAAUUUUCUAAGGCUUUUAAACUUAAGAAUGAGAGCAAAAGAAAAAUGAGACUUGAGAGAAACCAUAUAGGCAUAAAUUUAUUAAUCAAAUCAAGUCUUAUGUUUAUAAUAGAAGAACUCUUUAUUUAUAAAGCCAAAAUUGACUAAUGGAACAAAAAACUCUUCAUUCAUGGAGUGAUAUGUGACACCUAAAAACUAUUCAUUCAUGGGUUGCCAUGUGGCAAUAUAUGUAUCCCAAAGCUCUCCAUUCAAGAUGUGACAAGUGGCAUAAGGAGGAGAUGAAGGCAAGCAUGAGGUGCCUAAGUCAUCAUGAAGGACAAGGAAGAGUCGCUUUGGAAAAAGGAAGGGAAGGGCUUCUUGUAGGUGUCCAAGUGGCGCCUAUGUGUAUGUCAAGUAGAUUUCCCUUCAAGCUCUAAGGGCCCAAAAAGUGUAAUAUAGAAUUUUAAAGAUAGAAAUAGAAAUUUCUAAUUACUCUACAAAUUUACAAGACUUUUAGAAAGAAAAUCUUCUAUUAAACAAUUGUUCUCUUCUGGCCUAAAGAUUUUGGGGGUGGGAUGGUCCUCCAUCACUUGAUGUUUUAGUUUACACGACUUGGACUAUCAAUGAAUGUAACAACAUAAUUUCUUGCUUAAUACAAAAAUUCAAACAAUGGUUCACAAAUCAUCUCAGAUGUGUGACCCUAAAUUCAUACAUUUCUCAUCAUUCUCAACAACAUUUUUUGUAUACAACAUAAUUCAUUUAAACAACACCAUAAAUCAAUUCAAUGUACAAUUAUAUAUUAUAUUUACAUUUAUAUUUAACAUUCAUAUUCAAUCAAUUAACAUAAACAUAAAUUAAGAAAAAAAAAUUGUUUGAGUGAAAAAUCAUUCACUUAAGCGAAAUAGGACCAAGAGCAAAGGUUGAGUUUGUACUCUAUUUUUGCUUGAGUGAAAAUAUCAAAAACUCAAUUGUAUUCAAUAGGACCAAACGGACCAAACUGUUUCCAAAAUUUUACUCAAAAUCAUUAUAAAAAGUUCAACUUUUAAAGAAAUUAAAAUGGUCAUCACAACUAUAAUUUGCUUAGUUACCAUACUCUACUGAUUUCAAUUCAACCUUGAUCAUUCAAAUUUAAUAUAAUCUCCAUCCACAUUGAAUACUAAACCUAAACUCACACUAAUACCUGAAAACUAUGGGAACUAACUUUACUCCUUUGAACUAUAUUUAAAAACCAAUUUAAGAAACUUCAUACCUUAACAUGCACAAUUUAACCACUCUAUCAACAUCUUAACACAAGUAAUGAGUUCAGGGUGUUAUAGAUCAAACACCCAUUAACUCAAAACUCACAAUUGCACCCAACUUAAACUCAAGAUAACAAUUCUUAUUCCAAACACAACAAAAGAAUUCACUUUAACUUUAAAGUCAAUUAACAAAGAAAUCUUCAAUUUAACAUGCAUUUGAAUUCUACUUCAAAAUCUAAAUAUGAAAUUGUAACAAAACAAUUAUUUUACUAAAUUCUCACAACUAAACUAAAUCAUGUUUCAAAUUCAUUAUCAAAAUAUCUCUAAGGAUAAUUUUCAUUACUUAUAAUUCCAUGCUUCCAAGUAAGUUCUAGCUAAAAGAGAAGAAUCACUUAAAAUCUAGAAACAACAAAUUAUUCAAAUAUAACAAAAAUUCAAUACAAAUUUUAUAGUUAAGAUUAUCACUUUUCUCAACCCACCAAGAUUCAUGAAAAAAUCUAAAAGAAAAAAAAAUAAUAAAGAAUUUUCAAAAUCAAAUAGUUACUUACUUUAAUUAAAAAACCGACUCAAAAGAAAAAAUUAUAGGAACCAAAAUUAAAAAUUUAUAAUUUUCUAAAUAGUAAAAGCAUAUUUAAUUUUGUUAAAUUUCAUAUUUAAAUUUCUAAAAUAUACUUUGCUACAAACAAAUGAAAUAAAUAAAUGAAAUUAUUACAUUUAGUAUGUUUAUUAUAUUUCAUAAGAUCAAUCAUGAUUACACGGUAUAUUCAAGAUUUUUUAUUAUGGUAUUUUCAGAAGAAAAAAAUAUAGAGUACUAAAAAUAAAGAUAAUUUUACACUGGUUAGUUACAAAUAUUAAUAAAUUAAUUGAGUCUUAUAAUAAUUACCUUAAAAUUUAUACCAGUAGUAACUUAUAACUAAAUGCCAAUAUAAAUACAAUAUCAUCUUAUUGAACUCUUAUUUAUUUUAUUCUUUAAGAUUGAUGAAAAGUUUAUCUUUUACAAACCUUUUGUGCAUGCAUAAUAAAAAAAAUCAUUGAUCUAACCGUUAUGGGUGACAUUUAUUAUAAAGGACAAUGCUAUGCUCAUAUCAUAUAUUCAUAUAUGCCCUCGUGAACUUGCUUUUCCCUUUUUCCUUUUUAACUACACUCGUGAGUCUAUUAAGCAUUGGAUUAAACUAUGGUGACGUGUAUUUCAUUGAAAUGCAUAUCUUAAAAUCGUAAAGAUUUUUAUCUCAUGAUAAAUUAUGGUACAAUUAAAAGUUAUUGACUAAAUGUUCCCAAAGUGAAGGACAAUGUACCCAUGAAUUUUCGAUUUUUGUUUAUCUUAUAAACGAGGUAUUCUAAUUAAGAGAUAAGAGAAAAAAAAAUGUAUUUUUAAAAUUUGAAUACGAUAACAUCAUUUUUAAUAUUUUGAAAUUCUUAAAACUAAAAAUCUCUCUUAAGAGAAGUAUUUAUUUAUUUUCUUGAACAAUAUUUACACAAAAUUUAUUAAAUAAUGUAAUUUCGAUUUCUAAUUCAGUAAUUUAAUUUUUCAUUAUUUUAAUAAUUUUUCCCGAUAAUAGAAAUAAAGUGUAUAAAAGAAGUGUAUUUUUGUCCCAAUUAAUGUAGGGAGACUUUUACGUUUUUUUGUUUUUUUAUUUGAAAUUUCAAUCGAUGAAAAGAAUGAAAAAUAUAAUUAAGUAUAUGUUUCCGUAAAGAUCUGGUGAAAAUAUGUACUAACUAAUCAUUCGAAUUAACAAACACAAUCUUAAUGUCUUCUGAUAUCUCGAAUGAAAUGAAAAUCAAUCUCAAUAUGCUUGAUCUUUUUAUAAAAGAAGAAAUUUGAGCUAAUAUGAAGAGUAACUUGAUUAUCACAUAUGAGUGUCAUCUGAGUGAUCUCUCCAAAUUACAAUUGUUUAAGUAACUAUUUAAGCCAAAUAAACUCACAAGUAGCUGAAGUCAUAACUUUAUAUUUUGCUUCAGCACUAGAUCUUGUCACAACAUUUUGUUUCUUGAUCUUCCAAGAAAUCAAAUUAUCACAAAUAGAAACACAAUAUUCGAAAGUUGAUCUUCUACCAAAUAAAAAUCUUGCCCAAUCAACAUCUGAAUAACAUACAACUCUAGUAUGAUUAUUGUGACCAUAUAACAAGAAUUUUCUAGAAGAAUCUUUAAUGUACUUCAAUAUAUAAAUGACUGCAUUCCAAUGAUCAACACAUGGGAAAUUAAAAAGAAUUGACUCAUCACACUAACUCCAAAUGAAAUAUCAGGAGGAGUAACAAUAAAAUGGUUCAAUUUUUCAACUAGUAUUUUCUACUUCACAGGAUCUGAGAGAGGCUCCCCGUGACUAGGUAGGAGUUUGACAUUAGGAUCCAUAUGUUGUUUUAUUUGAGAGAUAUCAUGGUGAUCACUGCUUGUAAGAACAAUAUUAUCAACAUGUACUACUAGAUAGAUACACCAACACUUGAGUAACACUAAAACAAUUAAUGAUCUACAUCACUACUUGUCAUACCAAAUUGUUGAACAACAUUACUAAACUUUCCAAACCAGACCCUAUGCGAGUGCUUGAGGCCAUAUAAAGUUUUGUGAAGAUAACAUACCAAUCCAGAAGACUCCCCUUAAGCAACAAAACCAAGAUGUUGCUUUAUAUAAGUUUCUUUCUGCAAAUCCCCAUUACGAAAAACAUUUUUGAAAUCAAGUUGAUAAAGAGGUCAUCUUUGAAAAGCUUUCAUGGCUAUGAAUAAACUAACAGAAAACCAUCUUUGCCACUAGAGAAAAAUGUAUCACCAUAGUCCAAACAAAAAAAUUGUGUAUAACCUUUAGCCACAAGAUAAGCUUUGAGACAAUCAAUAGUACCAUUAGGACCAACUUUGAUAGCAAAAACCCAUAUGCAACCAAUAAUAGAUUUCCCAUAAGGUAAAGGAACAAGUUCCCAAGUUCCACUAGUCUGAAGAACACUUUUUCAUCAAUCAUUGUUUGAUGCCAACCAGGAUGAGCUAAGGCAAGUAUAAAGAGUUUGAGAUAGUCGAUGGUAGCUUAAAGUAGUAUAAUGUGGAGAGUGAUUAUGGGUAGAACUUAUAACUUUAUGGAUGAUAAUUAGGAGAUUAGGUUCAACUAUUGGAGACAGAGGGGCGAAGGAGUUGGCACUGGAAGAGAGUCAUUUAGUGGACGAUAAGAAGUGUGAUAACAACUGUAAACUUGAAGAGGUGGUGGAGAAGGAGAAUCUUUAAGUACACUAGACACAACAAAAGGACCAAAGAACAUUGGAAUAUGUACUUGGUCAGAUGAACACACAUGUGGAGAAGAUAAAUACUUAAAAUGCAAAAAAGACUCGAUGAAGGUGACAUCUGCAGAAAUGAAAUAGCGGUUAAGAGAGGGUGAGAAACAUUUAUAUCCCUUUUUAGAUCUAAUGAACCCUAAAAGGACACAUUUGUGUGAUGUAGCAGAUAAUUUAUCAAGACCAUGACAAAAACUGUGAACAAAACAUGUAGACCCAAAAACUUUAAGUGGUUAGGGAUGAAGAAGUUCAUGAGAAAAUAGAAUAUAAUAAGAAAUUUUAUUCUCUAAAAAUGAAGAUGAGAUACCAUUAAUUAGAUAACAUGCACUAAAAGAGAUUGUCUUAAUGUAUCAAAUGAAGGAGUACUAGAUGAAGUAGGUAAACAAUAGAUGUUUGAGAUGAAGCAUUAGAAGAGACUAUAAAUGAAGAUUAGAGACAAAAGAAAAAACUCUAAAAUUCAAAUGGACUUCGACCUACAAGACAAAGUCAAGUUCAUAACAAGAAUGACGUGGUGAUCCUAUCGAUGCGACAAUGUUGUGGCAGAACAAAGACGAUAGUGAAAACAACUCUAGUGAGCAGUGAGUUCAUCAAGAAGGCAAAAAUAUUAACUUACCUCUAAAUACCAUAUUAAAAAAAACAGGAUAAAUAUCUUGUGUAAAAUACACACAUAGAGUUGUUUAUUUAUAAAUGAAAAUAAUAACAUAAUAGCAUAACAAUAACAUAAAUUAUAAUUCAACAAAAAUAUUUAACUUCUAUAUGACCUAUUACUAACCUUACAUUGUAUUUAAAGAAAAAAAGUUACAAAAAUCUAUGUGAUGUAUCAUUUUAAUAGUACUAAAGAGAAAAUACAACCAAAAUUAUUUUCAUUAUGGAUAAAUAAUUUAUGAAAAUCUUAUUAUGAUGAUGAAUCUCGUAACACUUGUUUAUUCUUAAGAAUGAGAGAAAUCUUUAAAACAAUAUUUUAAAAUUCUAAAUUAAGAGAUAAUAUAAAAGUUAUUUAGUCAUAACCAUUUCUUUGUCAUUUUCUAAAAAGCUUAAAAGGGUUUAGAAAAAAAUAAUAUUUAAUACAUGCUUUUGGAAAGAAAAUAACCAAAUAAUAUUGGCUUUGAUACCAAUAUACUUGAUGAAAAAACAUAUAUGUAACGAAGAUUUUUUUUAAAAGACUUGAUGAUUUUAAUCAAAUGGAAAAGAAGAAAGUGUUUCCUGGUUUAAUAUAUUAGGAGCUAUAACAGCGAGAUUUGAUUAUUUUAUAAACAAGAUAAUCGAGUUUCACACAUGAUACUCAAAUUGUUUUUUUUUAUAUGAAAAUAGAUUCACUAAAAUAGAAAAAAUUAAGUCACUUAAAUAUAAAUAGUUAGUUGGAAAUCUCUGUUAAUUUAAUGGAUAAUAACCAAUGAAUCUUGAUAAUUGAUCCAUUAAAUAUAUUUAAUAAUGGUCAUUCCAAAGUCUUAAAAUUAUAUCUCUCUUAAAAAGCUAUAACUAUGAAGUCCAACCUUAAAAGUUGAAGAUGGUAAGCUAUCUUGAAAAUAUGAUAAAAAUUAAUUAUCUUAUCUUUGUAGGAAAAAAUUUUCCUUUCAUUGGAACUUGUGAAAAAGAGAAAUGCAAGUAAAGAAAAAUAAUAACAUAAAGAGAAAUAAAAGAAUAAAUAUUCAUCAUAGUCUAAGAUUAAAAAUUAUAAAGAAUUAGUUAUGAUUUUUUCAAUAAUAAUAAAUAUGACAUGUAAUUCAAAUUAGUUAAUUGAAUUUUUCUAUAAAAUUUAUAACAUAUAUUAUUAGACGUGUGAGACUUCUCACAUAUAACUAUAUAGUUUUAUCUAAACCAUAAAUAUGAUUUAACAUCUCGAUAAAAAAAAAUACCUCGGUAAAGUUAAAUUAAAAAGCAAUGAAGGAGAGCUAAAAAUGAACUAUUUUAAAAUUAAUAAAAUAUUAUUAACUUGUCAAAUUUUGCCACGUCCAUAAAAGCUAGUUCUUAAAGUGGCAUGCUUUGGAAUGGUCCUCCACAGGGACCAGCGUCAUCCACAAACGCCAUUUAUUAUUUUUUAGUAAUGCCAAACAUCGUGCAAUGCAUUGCUUUGUUUACAUUAUAAUAAUCAUUGUUCUAAUAUUUUGCAACUUUAUAAAAGUGGACGAUGACGACGAAAUUACGUGGAAGAGAAGGACAUAUAUCUUAAACAUAUUAAUUAAGAAGUUAUUAAAUACGAUUUAAGUAUAAAAAGAAUACAAUAUGAAUAUGUUAAUAACAUUUAAUAUUUUUAGCUAAUUAGUAAAGAUAAUUUUAGAAAGUAAUAAAUAUUAAAUUUUUAAGUUAUAUUAAGUGUACAAAUUAGUGUUUUAAUUAUGUAGUCAUUCAUUUAUACAUUUUAUAAUGUCAUUAUUAUUAUUUUAAUUUUCGUUUACUUUUCUCUAAUUUUUUGAAAAUCAUUCUCAUUUUUUUUUUCGAUGAAAGAGUACUAGUGAGAUAGUGGUAAGCAGAAUUGAUUUUCACAAAUCAGAAUUAAGUUUUUCUCUUUUUAAUAUCUCAACUUUUUUAUGGUUUAAUUGCAUAUGGAGUUUUAGUCGAAAACACGAAUGUCUGGUAGCAUAGGUUCAUGUUGAUAUCUUUAAUUUGUAAAUCAAACAUCAUGAAUACAAGUUAUAUUUUCUCUACUUUUUUUCAUAGUUUUUUUAGCAAUUCUAUAAAAAAAACACACACACACAAAAGGUAAGGCAACUGACAAAUUUACUUUAUAUUUAUUUAAAAAUUGAGUUGAAAUUAGAUUUCGAGUUAAAGCUCAAACGUGUUAAAAUGAUUUGAGAUUAAAAGUAUAAUUUGAUAUUAAAAUUGUUAAUAAAUAUUAAAUAAUUAAAACUUAAAACUUAAUAUCUCAUUAAACCGUUGAUAAGAUUUGAACAGUUAUACCUUGUAAAUUGAUAGUUUUAGUGAAUCAGGAUUUUUAACAUUAAACCUUUAACAAACUUUAACUUUUGAUUUCAGAAUUUUUUUUUGAUUGUUAGAUUAUAUAUAUUUACUUUAAAAGAUUUUUCAAAUAAAAAAAACUAUGGAAGCUGGAGCAACAACAAAAGUUGGCAAAGUAACUAAACUACAUUGGUAACCAUACAUACACACAUUUUAUUAUACUAUAUAAAAUUAAUAACGGAUGUCUCUCAUAUGUUCAAAUAACAACAAUAAUAAAAUAAAAUUUCAAAUUCCAAAAACAAAAAAUAAUACUAAUAGCAUGUUUGGUUUUCUAACCAAGAAUGGUACUAAGAGCAGCACCGACCAGAAUGGUUAGUGAGUACACUCCGAAACGCGAUUUCGACAUAGAUGACGCGCCGUUUGGCCGGGACGGCGUCGUUUCGUUUGAGGACGAUCCCGGCGAAGACGAUGAAGACGGGCUUGUUGCUGCCGGUGUUGAUUCUGAAGGAGGAGACGACAAUGGUGGCGACGGUGUAGUAGCCGGAGCGAAGGGGGAAGGUGGGUAUGAUGGAGGGAUGGUGGAUGGAUAGGGUGAUAGGGAAGGUGGGGAAGGUGGGGAUGAAGAUGAUGGAGGUUGGGUGACAGGGGAAUUGGAAUUUGGAGUUGGGGCAUAGGGGUAGGGUGAUUGAGAUGUUGGGGAAGGAGUGUUUGGAGGUGACGGAAUGUAGGGAGGUUGGGAAAUGGGAGAAGGAGUGGUGGAUGGUGGUGUGGAAAUGUAAGAAGGUGGCUGGGAUAUUGGGGAAGGAGUGGUGGAUGGUGGUGUGGAAAUGUAAGGUGGCUGGGAUAUUGGGGAAGGAGUGGUGUUUGGAGGUGAUGGGAUGUAAGGAGGCUGAGAUAUUGGGGAAGGAGUGUUUGGAGGUGAUGGGGUGUAAGGAGGCUGGGAAGUAGGAGAAGGAGUAUUGGGUUGUGGAGGCACAUAAGGUGACUGAGAAAAGGGUGAUGGGGUUAUUGGAACAAAGGGUGGUUGAUGAUGAGGGGAAGGGGUGUUUGGAGGUAGAGGAGCAUGGGGUGGAUGGUUAUUAGGGGAAGGAGCAUAAGUGGGAGAAGGUGUGUUGGGAGGUAUGGGAGCAUAGGGUGGUUGAGCUUUGGGAGGAAAGGGAAGAUUAGUAGGAGGUGAAGGUGCUUCUGGAGGAGUAUAAACAGGGGGAGGAGUUUGAUGAGGUGGAUAAGGAGCUUUUGGAGGAGAAUAUGGAGGAGGCUCUCUCACAGCCAACACCACAAUAAUAAGUUUCUGACCCUUCUCACAAUUAUAAUCUUUUCCACUGAUGAAAUAAAAGGGACCCGAACGAUCAAACUGAAACUGGGAGGCACCAUCCUCAAACUUCUUGAUCGGGUUCUUCUUGUUACAUUUCUCAUAAUCCUCUUUGUUCACCACCAAAACCGAGUCCGAUCCCUUCUUGUACUUAAAAACUAUGAACAGGAAAAAACAUACAAGUUAAAAGCAUUCAUUCAGAAGGCAGAAAAAAAACUGGAAAGCUUUAGAAUGAAAAUGAACUGACCAAGAGUGUCACUGACUUGGAACCUCAUCCUUUCAGCCCAGUGAUUGUAAUUCUCAGAAGGGUACAAAAGCCACCCAUCUUUUCCACCAACGUUGAAGGUGUAUGCCUGAGACCCCGAGAGGAGACUGAAAAGAAACGACAAGAGACAAAAAACACUAAUCCGAAGCUCCAUGUUGCAGAGAGAGAGAGGAGAGAGAGAAGGAAGAGAGGUGUAGAAAGAAGUGAUGAAAUGGAUUGAUAUAAAGAAAGUGUUGUCCUUGGUUACCGUUGUUGGGGUGCUUGUAGUGUAGGACCAGCGAAGCGUGUUAAACGCGGUGGGGGGGUUUACGUGGGAAGACUAAGACUUACAUGUGGGCAAAUGAUAGAGAAAGAGAAAUUAAAGUUUGAGAAAGUUUGUUUAAUAUAAUAAUAUAUAAUAUGCAGCUACGUGCCACACUUCCCAGCACUGCCAUCUAUCACCAUUCGGACUCAUUUUAUUUUGAAAUUUCCAACCUCACCGAUGCUAUAUGCUUUCUACACAUUAAAAUGUUUCAAAAACAAUAAUAAUAGAAAGAAAACCAAAUCACGGAACUCUAUUGUUUCUGGUAUAUCCAUAUGCUACACUAUUCCGAUUCUCAUUUCAGACCCAUUAAUAAUUCUGCUAUUCCAUGCUUAGAUUGUUCCAAAUCAUAUACUGUAUCAAACAGAGACAGGGACAAAUUUUAAUAGGUUCUUGCUGAUUAACAAAUAUUAAAUUGUUCUCUAUCUUUUGUUCACAUAUAACCUGUGAAGAAUAAAUAGACGGAUUUUAAUUUUUUUCAUAAAGAUUAAAUAUGAAAAUGGUGUGUGUCUGCUUUGAGAGAGAUUAGCAACUAUUGGAAGAGCAUUUGGAUCGUCAAUCUACAGUUAUGCCUUUGGUCCACAAUGACUAUAAUAAAAUUUGAUUUAUUUAAGAAAGAGUAAACGAUAAUUAAGUUUCCAAAGAAAUUAAAUAUUAUUUUAAUUUCACUGUAUUUUAUUAUUAAGUUUUACAAAAUUAUUUUAUUAAUAAAAAAUAUCUUAAAGACCAAUUCCACAUGAACUUAGAUAUUAUUUUAUCAUAAAACUACAGUUUUCUGGAUCAAUUUGAAAAAGUAAUAAAAAUUUAUACUUUUUCAAUAAUUUUAGGUAUAAGUAUCUUGUCAUAUCAGUUAGAAAUGUUAGAAAUGGUCAUGAAAAAAAUAUUAUUAAAAAAAUAUAAAAUAUUAAGUUGAACGUUUAAAUAUGUUUUUUUUAUGUAUUUUUACUUAAAAAUAGCUUCUUUUUAGUUUAAAUUUUUAGAAUUUUUAGUUAUUUGUAAUAAGGGGACUAGAAUAAGUUUUUAUUAAUAUUUUUUUAUAUAAUAAUAAGUUAGUAUGAAAAUAUUUUAUCAUUCUGAUACAUAUUAAAAAUCUAUUCUGAUACGUAUUAAAAACCGGUUUAUCAUGUAGAAAAAAAUAUGAUAAAAGAUUAAUUUCAAUAGUUUCUUUAUUAUAAUAGUCUAAAAUUUAGAAUAGAAAAUAAAAAUUUCUGUGAAAUAAAAGUACAUUUAAUCCUUAAAUUUAUAAAGUUUUUAAUUAAUAAAAUAUAAUUUUAAAAUUAGUUUUUAUUAUUUAAAAUUAAAGGCAAAAUUAGUCAUUUACUAGUUAAGAAAUAAACCUCUAGUCGUCAUCCUUUGUUUUUUUUUUAGUCAAAACGUAUGCUUUGUUUUGCUUUUUCAUAGACUGUUUGGUACGUGAAAUUGACUACCCAGUUAGGAGUUAAUCAUCACAUCCACUUUACAUCAUGUUUUGCUUUUAUUAACAUUUUUAUUAAGUGAUUAGGUUUUUUCAUUAGAUUAGAUGACAAGUGUAAAGUAUUUAAAAUUUGUAUGAAUAACUAAUUUCUAUCAUUUACCCACUUUUAGAAUUUUAGUAGAAUAUACAAGUAUUACUUAAUAAAAAUAUUUUAUAUUAAAAAAAAUCUAUAGUUUUAAAAAUUGGAUUCCUUUUAUAAGAAAACAUUAAAGCCAAACACACCUUAAUUAUUACAUUUUGUGGAUGAAUGUUGACCUAUUUAAAAUUUGUAUGAAUAACUAAUUUCUAUCAUUUACCCACUUUUAGAAUUUUAGUAGAAUAUACGAGUAUUACUUAAUAAAAUUAUUUUAUAUUAAAAAAAAUUCUACAGUUUUAAAAAUUGGAUUCCUUUUAUAAGAAAACAUUAAAGCCAAACACACCUAAUUAUUUCAUUUUGUGGAUGAAUGUUGACCUAUUUAAAAUUUGUAUUAAUAACUAAUUUCUAUCAUAUACCCACUUUUAGAAUUUUAGUAGAAUAUACGAGUAUUACUUACUUAAACUAUUUUAUAUUAAAAAAAAGUCUAUAGUUUUAAAAAUUGAAUUUCUUUUAUAAGAAAACAUUAAAGCCAAACACACCUUAAUUAUUACAUUGUGUGGAUAAAUGUUGACCUAUUUAAAAUUUGUAUUAAUAACUAAUUUCUAUCAUAUACCCACUUUUAGAAUUUUAGCAGAAUAUGCGAGUAUUACUUAAUUAAAUUAUUUUAUAUUAAAAAAUAGUUAUAGUUUUAAAAAUUGGAUUCCUUUUAUAAGAAAAUAUUAAAGCCAAACUCACCUUAAUUAUUACAUUUUGUGGAUGAUUGUUGACCUAGAGAAAGCCAUUAGAAUCCCAUCUAAUCUUGUACUUGGAAUUUAUUGGUGAAGAGUAGAAAUUUCCGAUAUCUGAAUAACAUUAUUGUUUGGUACAAUAACGUUACCAUAUUUUAAAUUAGUAUAUAUGAUGGGACAUGAACACUUAUUUCCUCUAAAAUCUUUAUUUUAAAAAAUCUCCAAGUAAAUUACUAAAAUGACAUCAUUUUUCAUUGAAACUCAAAUAUGCCUUUCAAAUAUCAUUCACAUUUUGUUCCUAUCUUAAAUAAUCUUUUCCAUUUAUACAAUGUGUGAUAUCACUCACUUAUCUUAUUUAAUUAACAUCUAGGUACUUAAUAGUAUACUACUAAUUAAAACGCGUCACUUUACCGUUAGUAUUUAAUAUUAGGUUAUAGGCAUGCUAAGAAUGAUUAUAAGUGUAUUAUUAAUAUUAACUCUCCCUCCCUAAUAUGGCUGUAUCAUUUCUUCCUCUCAUUGAUUGUUUAUUCAAUAUCAAUCUUGUACUCUCUUUUCUUAUAUUUUUUAGUAAAAAUAAACAUAAAACAUUUAUUUUAAUUGUCACAAAUUUGUGUAUUUUAAAAUGAGUUAUAUAGUAAUGCAUUCACAUUAUACAAUAAUUUUAUUUUAUCAUAUAAUAUUAAAUAAAUAAUAACUCUUAAUAAUUUCUAAAAUAGAUAUUGAUAAUUUCAUUUUAUCAUAAAAUGGUUGUUUAUAGUGAUUUACUAUUCACAGACAACCGAGAAUAUGGGGUAAAAUGGGAGAAUGAAGGGAAGGUCAAGAAAAAUUAGUUAAUGUGAUUUUUUCAAUUUUACCAUUUUUUUAUAUAUUAAUUAUUACAUAAAUUUAAUUAACAUUAAUAUUUUAAUAAAAUAAUAAUAAUUAAUAAAAUUUGAUGGAGGUGUGCCUUCAUCCGUAGCUUUUCUUUGGUGGAAUUGGCGGAAACAUUCAUGGAAGAAGACGAGCAAGGAACUCAUGAAGAGUGGUGGACUCCUUGAAGGUGCAUGCUAGGUGUGGAGAGUGAGUGGUGAGGCCAUCUCACUUGGCAAAGAUGAAGAAUGAAGAUUAAAAUGUCUAUCCUAGAGAGGUAGGAGACAAGAAGCAAAAUUGGCACAAUUUUGGCAGCAAUUUGCUCGAGAAUAAUCUUGCUAUUUCAUGACCCAAACACCUCCUUAUAUAGGAUUGGAGGGUCAGAAUUGGAAGAGUCAAAUACAAAUGAAAUACAAACUAAAUAAAAUGUGAUGCAUUUGGCGCCUAAUUUGAGACUUAGCACAUGGAGCAUGUGAUGGAAAGCUUUUAAGCACAUGGAACAUGUGCUUUCUUCUCCAAGGCUUAGUCAUAACCGACCUUGGUUAAUUUAGGUGUUCAAAGAACCCUAAUUUAACCAAGGUUGGUUUUUAGGUACCAAAUUUCACCUAAAAAGAAAUUACAAGUAAAAUUUCCUAUUUUACUUUAACAAAAUUAAAUCCUACUUCUUACACUAGAGUUUAUGGCAUUUUAAACACGUACAAGAAGGUUUCUCUGCCAUCAGUAGCAGUAUUUCAAUCAUUUUGAUCCUUCUUGGCCAUGACUCUAGUGGUAGGCCCAAAUCUUCUCUUUGUUGGGCUUGCACUUGGACUUGUCCUUGGGCCUCUUCCAUCAUCCCCUCCCUCUUGAAAAGGAUUUGUCCUCAAAUCCAAUGCUUCUAUUUCUUCUUCUUCAUUACUUCCUACAAAAGGCAUUAAGUCCACAACAUUAAAAGUAUGAUGAACUCCAUAUUCUUUUGGUAAAUCAAGAAUAUAUGCAUUGUUGUUGAUUCUUUUGAGGACUUGGAAGGGUUCGUCACCUUGGGGACUAAGUUUGGACUUCCUCUUAGUUGGAAAUCUAUCUUUCCUAAGAUGAAACCAAAUUAAAUCUCCUUCUUCAAAAAUUAUCUCUCUCUUCCCCUUAUUGUUAUGUUUUGUAUAUUUCUCAGUUUGCUGAUGUAUUUGUUCUUUAACCCUCUCAUGCAUUUUCUUAACAAAUUCAGCUUUUAUUACUCAUUCCUUAUGCACAAAUUCUUGUGGAUUAGGAAGGGGCAACAAAUCUAAAGGAGUAAGAGGAUUAAAUCCAUAAACAACCUCAAAUGGAGAAAUAUUAGUAGUUUUAUUAACUACUCUAUUGUAUGCAAACUCAAUAUGAGAAAGAUACUCAUCCCAAGAUUUAUGGUUGCCUUUCAUGACUGCCCUAAGCAUAGUACCAAGAGAUCGAUUUACAACUUCGGUUUGUCCAUCCGUUUGAGGAUGACAAGAAGUUGAAAAUUCAAUUUGGUUUCAAGUCUUGCCCAAAGGGUUCUCCAAAAAUGGCUUAUAAAUUUUGGAUAUCUAUCGGAGACUAUGCUUCUAGGUAGUCCAUGAAGUCUUACCACAUCUCUAAAGAAAAGUCUAGAGAUAUUAUUUGCAUCAUCCACUUUGUGACAUGGUAUAAAAUGUGCCAUUUUACUAAAACGAUCCACAACCACAAAAAUGGAAUCAGAACCUCUUGCAGUCUUAGGAAGUCCAAGAAUAAAAUCCAUACUAAUGUCUUCCCAUGGAGCACUUGCAAAAGGUAAAGGAGUAUAGAGUCCAUGAGGAAUUGUUUUAGACUUAUCUUUUAAACAUGAUAUACAUCUAAAACAAUGUCUUUGGACGUCUCUUAUCAUAUGUGGCCAAAAGAAUUUUCCUUUUAAAAGCUCUAGAGUCUUAUCAACUCCAAAAUGGCCCAUGAGACCUCCUUCAUGAGAUUCUUUUACAAGAAGUUUUCUAUGUGUUCCUUGAGGUAUACAAAGUUUUCCUUCUUUAAAAAGAUACCCCUCAGACACAAAAUCCUCCUUUUUCUCUAUGUUCUCAUUUAACAAAGAUGGAUGUAAAAUCAUGAUCUUCUUUGUAGAGUUCAAUUAUGUUUUCAAAUCCAAGAAUUUGGGCUCCAAGUUUUGAAAACAGGGCAUGUCUCCUUGAGAGAGCAUCGACCAUAAUGUUUGUACUACCCUUCUUGUAUUUGAUAACAUAAGGAAAUUGUUCAAGAAGUUUCAUCCAUUUUGCAUGUCGUUUGUUCAACUUAUGUUGACCUUUCAAAUAUUUUAAAGGCUCAUGAUCACUAUGAAUGACAAAUUCUUUAGAGACUAGAUAGUGCUCCCAAGUCUUUAAGGUCCUCACAAGUGCAUAAAGCUCUUUAUCAUAGGUGGGGUAGUUGAGAGUGGCUCCAUGAAUUUUUUCGCUAAAGUAAGCAAUUGGAUGUCCACCUUGCAACAACACGACACCUAUGCCUACUCCCGAUGCAUCACACUCUAGCUCAAAAGUUUUUGCAAAAUUUGGUAAAGAUAGAAUGGGUGCAUUAGUGAGUUGAGCUUUUAGCCUCUUGAAGGCUUGAUCUUGCUUCUCGGUCGAACAAAAUGGAGUGUCUUUCUUCACUAACUCAUUGAGUGGCUGAUGUAACCCAAAAAUACAUAAAGAUGACCAAGGAUGUUAUACUUGAAGGGUCAUCUAAAUAAGGAAAUAAGAACUUCAUCAAUAGAAGAAAUGGACGAGGCCCAAAGCAUUUAAAGUUCUUCUUAUUGUCUUCUCAAAAGAUGAGGCCCAAGCCCAAUUAAUAUCUUUUGUAAUAUUUUUAGAAUAGUUUCAAGAUAGAACAUUAAAAGGGAAGUAAUAGGAAAAGUCACUUUUCUAGAAUGAGGAAGUGACUUGAAAAAGGGUGGCAUUUACCUUGUCUUUUCAUAUGCCUUGCCUUUUCAUUUACAAGUGACUCUUCAUGUAUUUUUACCUUUUCAUGACCGGUUCUCUAUGCCUAUAUAAAGAGGAGCCUUGCUUUUGUAAACACAAGUUGAAUCUUUUAGUAAAGAAAGUAUACCAAAUUGGUGUGAGAGAGUUUGUGAGACUAGUUCUCCUCUCUUCUUCCUAGUCUUAUCUUGGGAGAUUCUUGGAACUCUCAAGUGGCGGCAUCCACUCAUCUUGAAGCUUCUCCACCCUUCAAGUGGCGUGAACAUUCCAAGGGUCAUCAACCACAUAAGUUUCUUCUACCUUUUCAUGUUCUUCUUCCAUUUCCAUGUCAAUCAAAACUAUAAAACAUGUGUCUUUGUUGUUCUUGAUGUUUCAAGCAGUAGAAAUGUGUUAGGUUCUGCUUUUAAUUGGUUCAUUGUAAUUUCUCGCUGUUGUAUUCGGUUUAUAUGUGCUUAAUUGAUAUUUCAAUCGGUGCAUUUGUCUCCUUUUCACAAAUCAAUCGGUUCAUGUUCUUCUUAUGGGUUUCUAUGCGGUUUUGGCUUGGUUUUUGUGUUCUUGAAUGAUUAUAGAAUCUUGAUCCAAUUCUUGAAAAUGUCUUUUCAUAUACCAACUCAUAUCAGUGGUGAAGCUAGACUUGAGAAGUUAGGCACAAAUCUUCUAUAAAAGCUUGCUAAUCCAUGAAAACUUCUAACUUCCCCUACAUUUUGUGGAAUUGGCCAUUCUUGGAUGGCUUUGAUUUUUUCGGGGUCAACAUGUACCCCAUUUUUGUUAACUAUAAAUCCUAAAAAUACUACACUAUCAACACAAAAAGUACAUUUAUCUCUAUUAGCAAACAAACUAUUAUUCUUAAGCACUAGGAGAACUUCCCUAAAGCGACUUAGGUGAGAUUCUAAACUUUUGCUAUAUACUAAAAUAUCAUCAAACUAAACUACUACAUAUUUACCUACACAAUCCCUUAAGACAUGAUUCAUUAGCCUCAUGAGAGUGCUAGGAGCAUUAGUGAGCUCAAAAGGCAUCACUAACCAUUCAUAUAGUCCAAAUUUGGUUUUAAAAGCGAUUUCCCACUCAUCACCUUCUUUAAUUCUAAUUUGGUGAUAUCCACUUCUAAGAUCAAUUUUAGAAAAUAUGAUGGACCCAUGCAAUUCAUCAAGCAUGUCAUCUAGUCUUGGAAUUGGAUGCCUAUACUUGAUGGUGAUGUUAUUGAUGGCUCUACAAUCACAACACAUUCUCCACUUGCCAUCUUUUUUGGGCACCAACAAGACAGGUACAACACAAGGGCUUAGGAUCUUUUGAACCCAACCCUUAUCCAACAAAUCAUGCACUUGUGAUUCUGUCUCCUUAGUUUCUUCAGAAUUAGUUCUAUAGGCUGGUCUAUUUGGUAGACUAGCUCCUGGAACUAAAUUUAUUUGAUGUUCAAUUCCUCUAAAAGGGGGAAGUCCACUAGAGCCUUCCUUAGAGAAUAUGUCAUCAAAGUCUUUUAAAAGAUCUUUUACUUGAGGAGGUAGAACACAUGUCUCAGUAAGCGUAGCAAUGCAGGUAAGUGUUCCUUUACAAAGUAGGAGGUUUGAAGGUUCUUCAAAAAGAAGUAUUUUUUCGAUCUUAUUUUCAAAUUUUUCUUCUUCUUUCUGAAUGACCUUGUGGGAAGGAACACUCUUUUCCCAUGCCUCUUUUUCCCUAAGGGUUUUUUCUUGGUUUUUUACUCUAUUUUUCUCUUCCUCUCUUUGUUUUCUCAUUUGUAGUUGGUCCUUUAUCACUUGGGAAAAUGAUAAGGGAUAAAGUACAAACUUCUUUUCUUUGUGAGUGAAAGUAAUCUCAUUGGUAAGACCAUUGUGGUUUUCUUAUCAAAUUGCCAAGGUCUUCCCAACAAAAUAUGACAAGCUUUCAUGGGCACUACAUCACACAAAACUUUAUCCUUAUAGUUCCCCACAGAAAACUCGACUUUCACUUGUUGAUCUACAGUUAAAUCCCCAUCUUCAUUGAUCCAUUGAAGUUUGUAAGGUUUUGGAUGAGGGAUUAACUGUAGAUUCAACUUUUCAACCAUCCUAGCGCUACAACAAUUGCAGCAAGAACCACUAUCCACAAUGAGAGAGCACACAUUUUCAAAAACUUUACACCUUGUGUGAAAUAUGUUCUCCCUUUGUGUCUCUUGGCUCAUACUAGGUUGAUUGUUGAGGGUUCUACGGAUCAUCAUUAAUUCACCCUCACAUGGAUAAGCCCCUUCAUUAUCUUUUUUUUCUUCUUCCCCACUAGCUUCAUUACUUUAGCUGCUAUAUACUGUUGGGUCUAUUAGUGUCUAAGUUCAAGAGGGGAGGGGUGAAUUGAGAUUAUAAAAUUUUCGCAAGACCACACAAUUUUUCAGUAUUCCAGAGGCAAAAAGAACAGAUUGUUUUUACAUGAAACAGAUUGAUUCUUCAGAGCAGUCUUGGCACAAUUUGAAUUUGUUCAAUGUAAAAUUGUGAUCAACAGAGAAUUAUAACAAAAUCAGAUCAGUUUAAUAUUGUGAGGAUGAAGGAUACAGUUAUGCUUAGAAAUCAAGCAAAAUUACUCAACACAAGGUUUUGAGAGGAAUGAUCCUUUCUCAGGUUUUAAUGAAUGGACAGUUUGUUCACAAAUCACUUAAACCAUUAUAUACAGCAGCCUUGUUUAUGAUCAGAGAACUUUAACAAAUCAGGAAGAACAAUUUUCACUUAAACCCAGAAUUAACAGAUUCAAUUUCAAAAGAACAGAUUUAGUUCUUGACAGAAUUAAACAAAAAAAAAAACAGAAAUGAGUGCAGGGACGAGAAGACAAGGCACACAAGUUUUUAUACUGGUUCACUCAUACAGAGCUACAUCCAGUCUCACCUUACCCCAAGGUGGAAUUCACUAAAAAUAGUACCAAUCACUUACAAACACAGCAGUUCUUGAACACUACAAGAACAACACACACAAUGCUGAAAAACCCUAUUUCAGCACACCUUGCACUCCAAGAAACCCUAUCAAGGAGUGACUAACACUUACACCUUUACAAAACAGAAUAAAGGAAAGAUUACACCUGAAAAGAAGAUGCAAGAACCCAAAACCAGUAGUUCAAUUUGCUGCAGAACUGCACCAACACCUUCACCAAGAUCAAAGGUUUCCUAGAACAAGCACACUUGAAAAUCUCUUUGGAAAACCUUUCAAAAAUCUUUCAAUCCUUCUUCUCACAUGGAAAGUGUUUGAUCUCUGUCAAAAACGUAAUUGCUCAGCCCUACUUUCAUGUGAGAGAGACUUUUCUUUAUAUAGAAAACAGUUUCUAACUUCUUUUCAAAAAAAUAGUUGAAAAGCAGUUAUGAAAACAACAGAUUCAUUUUUGAACUUAACAGAUUUAUUUUGUGAAAACCGCCAACUCAACUAACUGAAAUAACUGUCUGAGUUGUAUCUUUGGUGCCCUAACUAACUUGUGAAAAACCUUUCAACUCACCAAAGAAUAAACCUGUUCUUUCUCAGUGAAACAGAUUAAAAUAUAGCAAACAGGCCAGCUCAACUUUAACUGAAAUAACUGUCUAAGCUUUACCUGUGGUGCCCUAACAGAAUUUUAGAAAAGCCUUUUAACAGAGAAGAAAUAAACAGAUUCUUUCUCCAUAAAACAGAUUUAUUUGUGUACUGUUUUAAAGCUGUUAAAAACAUUUUAAAAAGCUUUUCAAAAACCAUUUAACCACAUCAUGUGCUUGAUCUAGACUUGGUUAGGCAUCUAGGAUGGGUUAUUCAGCAAAAGGCAACCUUACACAAUUACAAGCCUAAUUAUAACCGAAUCUAAAACCUAUUACAAUCUUCAAAGCACUCAAGUUAUUUUCUUCAUCAAACACACAUCAAGCCUUGGUAGGGAAGAAGCUUCCUCCAACUUCAACAUAUACAUCCUUACCCCUUUAAGAAUAUAGUUCUCCUAUUUUGGCAUUGGGAAGCUAUAUGACCUCUUCCAAAGCAUUUAAAACAUUUUUUUAUCUCGGCUACGGGAUUGUGGGGUUAUCACUUCUUUAUCUAUAUUUUUGGGAGUUUCCUUAGAUCUUUCCUUUGAAGUUUCCUCCCUUUUAUACUCUCUCUUGGGAUAGGAGUUAGAAUAUGAACCUUCCCUACGACUUGAAGCUUUUCUUAAGUUUUGUUGUUCAACUUUGAUACAGAGUUGAAUUAAAUCAUUCAAGUGUCUAUAUGGUAAAAGUUAAACUCUAUCUCUAAUCUCAAGAUUGAGUCCACUCAAAAACCUUGCUAUGGUAGUGGUUUUAGACUCCCUAAUUGAGGCUCUCAUCAUGUAUAAUUCCAUUGUUUUGCCUAUAUUCCUCUACACUCAUAGUCUUUUGUUGGAGUCUUUGGAGUUUGUCCAUUAACUCCCUAUUAUAAUAGGAGGGAAUAUGGCGGCGUCUUAAGGCUCGUUUUAGUUAGUGAUCUCGGCUCAGCUAGUCCUUUCUUUCGUGAUGAACUGUUGGCUCCCCUAAGAUCAUUCUAAUACUCUAUGGGAGGGUUCUUAUGAAGGUGCCUAUCUUGCUCAAGGGCAGUCCACCAAUACAUAGCAUUACCUUGAAAGCUUAGGGUGGCUAGGGGUACUUUUCGUUCCUCACUCACUCUAUGGGAAACAAACAAUUAUUCUACCUUCAUUUCCCAAUUUAAGUAAGUUUCUACGUUUUCCAUGGAAAUAAGGUAGAUCUACCCUAACCUCCUUUUCUUGUCUUUCUCUUCUAGCUCUCCUAGGGGGUGGUUGAUAAUAGUAAUUAAUCUAAUAUUUUGUUCCCCAAAAGAUUCAUCUCCCCUAGAGCUAGAUGCAUGAGAACUUUUUUUUGAUUUAUUGUUUUCAUCCCUUUCUUUAGCCAAUUUCAAUUCUUUGAGUUGGGACUCAUUUUGCAAUUGUUUAUAUGAAAGUGAUUGAAAGUCUUGUGCUAAUUGUUUCAAAAGAGUUUUAAUAGACUCUCUAUCACUUUCACUAGAAUGAUAAGAAUGAGAAGUCAUGGUUAAAGUUAUGUGUUAAAAGCAAUUUACUAAAAGAAAUAUAGGUGGAGUAAUGUAGGUAGAUUCCCAAGAAAGGGAGGUGGAUCACUUAAGUACCAAGCCUUUCCUUGCCAGAUUCUAUCCUUCAAGACUUUCACAAACCUUUUUCUAAGUAAUUCACUUAGAACACAAUCAAGAAUGAAAACAAUUUUAAGAAAAACAAUGCAAAGCAAUUAAACAAAGCAAAACAAUUAAACAAAACAAAGUAAUUAGAUAAUACAAUUUGAAAAGAAUUGCUAUCUAGUAAGAUUUAAACUAGGCGUAUCCUAAGGUGAGGCUUCUAGGCACUUAGAACCAUUGAAGACACAUUCACCGUCUAUUACGCAAUACAAAGCAAUUAAACACUUAAUAGAAAAAUUUCUAUCUAGAAAGCUUGUAAACUAGACGUUUCCUAGGGCGAGGCUUCUUGGCACUUUGAACCUUUGAAGACACUCUCACCAUAUAAUACGCAAUUAGUCCACCAAUUAUUCAAGAUUUUGCAAGUUACAACUCAAAGAAAAUACAAAGCAAAUUGAAUUGACAAAAAUUUAGAAAUUUUUAUUCUAUGCAAUUCUUCUUUUCUUUUUGUCAUUCCUUCUUUGUGUAAGUGUUUAAACUCACUUGUUGCUGCUCUCUUGCUCAACCUCUCAAGGAUAUUUAACUUUAAAAAUUCAAAACAGCACCUACUAAGUGAUAAAGCUCUCACAAAAAAUGUUAGCUCCAAACUUAACAAGCACCUUUGAAUGAUUUAUCCACCAAGAAAUGAGGUUAACAAAAGUUAAAGCAACAAAAAUUCAAUUUGAAAUUGGAAAACAACAAAGGGAGUUGAUGUAUGACAACUUGAAAGAGUAAUUGAAAAAAUAUUGACAAGCAAACAAAAUAAGGUACUCAACAAAUGGAUAUCACACAAAUUGAACCUAGAGAAUGACACUAGAAUUGGAUUAACAAAAAUCAAAACAAUACUACAUAAUAUUAAGGUGUCAAAAAGCGUGACUUACUUGAUUUAUGUUGAGCAAAUUAUUUCAAAUUUGAAUUUGAAUUUUUAACCACAAAUAGAUCAAGAUAUUAACUAACUUUUGGCGUUGGAAUCACCAAUUAAUUGUGAUAAAAUUUUCAAAUAUGAUGAUGCUUCACCAUUUUUUUUUCGCGCCAAAAUUGCACACUGAUUGUAUUUGAUUUAUCAUUUUUUUUUCUAUUUUGAAUUUCGCUUCACUUUUUUUUUCACUUUUUUUCUAACACUUCAAACUAUUGAGAUCCAUAAUUUCAUAAUUUUUCUCCAACGAAUUUUAAUUUCAUAAACAAAAACAGCCAGCACAGAAUAAAAAACAGAGGAAGCCUAAUUCUGGAAUUAAAAACAGUUUUAAGAAACUUCAAAAACACAAUAGAAUUAAUGUAUAAUAAGUCGUGUGGAUCUAGCACACAAAUAUGAACUCAAAUCUUAAAAUGCACCAAAGGAUCAAACAAAAAAUUAUAAAUAUGGACUCAAAAAGAAAAUCAAUGAACCAAAAUUAUGAAGAAAAGUACUACAUAAAAGUGUUGACAAUUUAGGAGAAACAUGACUUGACAAAACAUCUAUGGAUUCAAAAAUCAAAAUGACUCAAACACAACAAUAUGAACCGAUUAAAAUUGCAAGAAAGACUCAAAUCUAGCAAAAUUAAAACAGCAACACCAAAACUCAAAGGAAUCCUACACAAAAUUGAAAUUAGAAGCUCAAGAACAAUUUGAACACAUUGCACUGAUUGGAUUUAUCCAAACAGCAUCUAAAACAGUUAAAAUGCAAAAACAACAAGACAAUCAAGGAUACAAGAUGAACAACACGAAAUUAUAAAGAACAACACAAAAUUAAAAUGAGAAGAAGAAGACACAUUUAGCUCUUGAAGAACCUAGGCUCAUGAUACCACUUGAUGGAGGUGUGCCUUCAUCCGUAGCUUUUCUUUACUGGAAUUGGCGGAAGCAUUCAUGGAAGAAGACGAGCAAGGAACUCAUGAAGAAUGGUGGACUCCUUGAAGGUGCAUGCUAAGUGUGGAGAGUGAGUGGUGAGGCUAUCUCACUUGGCAAAGAUGAAGAAUGAAGAUUAAAAUGUCUAUCCUAGAGAGGUAGGAGACAAGGAGCAAAAUUGGCACAAUUUUGGCAGCAAUUUGCUCGAGAAUAAUCUUGCUAUUUCAUGACCCAAGCACCUCCUUAUAUAGGAUUGGAGGGUCGGAAUUGGAAGAGUCAAAUACAAAUGAAAUACAAGCUAAAUCAAAUGUGAAGCAUUUGGCGCCUAAUUUGAGACUUAACACAUGGAGCAUGUGAUGGAAAGCUUUUAAGCACAUGGAACAUGUGCUUUCUUCUCCAAGGCUUAGUCAUAACCGGCCUUGGUUAAUUUAGGUGUUCAAAAAACCCUAAUUUAACCAAGGUUGGUUUUUAGGUACCAAAAUUCACCUAAAAAGAAAUUACAAGUAAAAUUUCCUAUUCUACUUUAACAAAAUUAAAUCCUACUUCUACACUAGAGUUUAUGGCAUUUUAAACAUGUAGAAGAAGGUUUCUCUGCCAUCAGUAUCAGUAUUCCAAUCUUGUUGAUCCUUCUUGGUCAUGGCUCUAGUGGUAAGUCGAGGUCUUCUCUUUGUUGGACUUGCACUUGGACUUGUCCUUAGGCCUCUUCCAUCAAAAUUAAUAAUAAAAUAAAAUUUUAAUACAAAAUAUUUAGUUAUUUAUAAUAAACAAAUUAAUGGUUAUAAAUAUAAUAAUAUUAUUUACAUUUAAUAUAAAAUUAUUUUCUAAUUAUAAUUUUUAUAUAAGAAUAUUUAAAUUAUUUAUUUCUACAUAAUAGUUUAUAACUUUUACAUAUAUUCAUAAUUUUUCGUGUAAAUUAUUUUUUGUCAAGUAACUCGUAUUUUUUUUCGAAAAUAAUUAUUCAAUGUUAUUGGAAAUAACUUACAUAAUUUUAAUUAACCUAAAUCUACAUAAAAAUACAUAAUAUUUGGUUAUUCUAUUUUUUUGAAACAAUGGUAAAUUUAUAAUCUUAUAAUUUACAUCUUUCAGAAAAUCAAAAUACCCUCACAACAAUGACAUCACUCACAAACUUCAAUAGAUUUUUUUCACAAAUUCACUCUAGCAUACUCCAAUCUAAACACAACGACUUUCUUCAUACUUUUCUCUCAAAUCUUUACACAUUCACUCUCUCAAAUCCUCACACUUCCCCUCCUCAAUUUAAACACAACUUAAAAAUUAUUGUUUUAAUUAGUUAACCAAUUGGACUAGAACUCGUGAGUAACAAACAUGGGUCUCAAUAGGCUGCAAUCACCAGGUAUUUUGUAACAGGAAAAAAGAGUGAUUUUGACUAAGAUAGAAAUUAAAGGAAAUAUUUUAUUUAUUAAUUUAUAAUAUAUAUAUAUAUAUAUAUAUAUAUAUAUAUAUAUAUAUAUAUAUAUAUAUAUAUUUAUUAUAUAUAUAUAUAUAUAUAUAUAUAUAUANNNNNNNNNNNNNNNNNNNNNNNNNNNNNNNNNNNNNNNNNNNNNNNNNNNNNNNNNNNNNNNNNNNNNNNNNNNNNNNNNNNNNNNNNNNNNNNNNNNNNNNNNNNNNNNNNNNNNNNNNNNNNNNNNNNNNNNNNNNNNNNNNNNNNNNNNNNNNNNNNNNNNNNNNNNNNNNNNNNNNNNNNNNNNNNNNNNNNNNNNNNNNNNNNNNNNNNNNNNNNNNNNNNNNNNNNNNNNNNNNNNNNNNNNNNNNNNNNNNNNNNNNNNNNNNNNNNNNNNNNNNNNNNNNNNNNNNNNNNNNNNNNNNNNNNNNNNNNNNNNNNNNNNNNNNNNNNNNNNNNNNNNNNNNNNNNNNNNNNNNNNNNNNNNNNNNNNNNNNNNNNNNNNNNNNNNNNNNNNNNNNNNNNNNNNNNNNNNNNNNNNNNNNNNNNNNNNNNNNNNNNNNNNNNNNNNNNNNNNNNNNNNNNNNNNNNNNNNNNNNNNNNNNNNNNNNNNNNAAUUUUAUUAAUAUUAUUUAAAUUAAUAACAUUAUUAAUUAUUGCAAUAAUGUUAUUAAUAUUAUUAACAUUAUUAAAUAUUAUUAAUAUUAUUAAUUAUUAAUAACAUUAUUAAUUAUUACAAUAAUUUUAUUAAUAUUACUAACAUUAUUAAAUAUUAUUAAUAUUAUUAAUUAUUAAUAACAUUAUUAAUUAUUACAAUAAUCUUAUUAAUAUUACUAACAAUAUUACAAUAAUUUUAUUUUUAAGUAAUUCAUAUGAAAUGACAAAAUAUUCUAUUGUAUUAAUAAAAUGAAAUAUAUUAUAUAAGGGUAGAAUCGAAAAGGUUUGUAAACAUCAAAAAAAGGUUAUAAUAAUGGACAAUUCACUUUAUAUAUAGGUAUAAAUUAUUAUUAUUAUUAUUAUUAUUAUUAAUAUUAUUAAAUAUUAUUAAUAUUGUUAAUAUUGUUAAUAUUAUUAAUAUUAUUAAUUGUAUUAAAUAUUAUUAAUAUUAUUAAAUAUUAUUAAUAUCAUAAAAUAUUAUUAAUAUCAUAAAAUAUUAUUAAUAUCAUUAAAUAUUAUUAAUAUCAUUAAAUAUUAUUAAUAUCGUUAAAUAUUAAUAAUAUGAUGAAAUAUUAAAAAUAAUAUUAAAUAUUACUAAUAUUUUUAAAUAUUACUAAUAUUUUUAAAUAUUACUAAUAUUUUUAAAUAUUACUAAUAUUUUUAAAUAUUACUAAUAUUUUUAAAUAUUACUAAUAUUUUUAAAUAUUACUAAUAUUUUUAAAUAUUACUAAUAUUUUUAAAUAUUACUAAUAUUUUUAAAUAUUACUAAUAUUUUUAAAUAUUACUAAUAUUUUUAAAUAUUACUAAUAUUAUUAAAUAUUACUAAUAUUAUUAAAUAUUAUUAAGUAUUACUAAUAUUAUUAAAUAUUAUUAGUAUUAUUAAUAUUAUAAAUACAUUAAUGAUAUUAAUAUUAUUUAUAUUAUUAAUAUUAUAAAUAUAUUAGUGCUAUUAAUAUUUUUUUAUUAAUAUUAUUAUUACUAAUAUUAUUAAUUUUAUUCAUGUUAUUAAUAUCAUUAAUAAGAUUAAUAUUACUAAUACUAUUAAUAUUAUUAGUAACUAGCGGGAACACAGGCACUCACGUGCCUGUAUAUCCGCAUUUUUCAUUUUUACUAUUUAUAUAUUCAUAUAAUUUUAAUAAAUAUUAAAUUAUAUGAGAAGAUGUGUAAAUUAUCUAAAUGCAUCAUUGAUAAUAGUUUUAUUAAGAUUUGAUGUUAAUUUUUUAUAUUUUCAUUUUAUUGUUUUUGAAUAUUAAAUUUUGAUUUAACUUGGGUGUAAUCUUGAACUUUGUAAGGUUAUCAAGAUUAAAAUUAAGGUUUAAAAAAAUGGACCAGCAAACAAUGUCAAAACAUAAUGCAAAUGGUUGUAUGUUGGAAGUUGUAGAAUCUAUCACCAUAUCAAUUGAAUUCACAUCUUCCAUGGCAAAGAAGUGGAAAAAAAAUAAAAUAAUAAACUAAAUACAAAUUACCAAACUUCCAACUUAUGUAAUAUCUAAUAGAUCAAAGCACCAGUAGACAUAAAAACUUUGCCCGCAAAGCUGGGCUUAGGAUUCAUACAAAAAUAUAAAAUAAUUAAGAAAGCAAUAGAAACAAAAAUGUUCAAAUCCUAUAACAAUGAGACACGUCUCUGCUUCGAACGCUUUGGGAAGUGCGAGAAGGAGGAAGCAAUGGUGGUUGUUGUUGUACAGUGGUGAUUGAAGAGGGACUAAGAUGGGUGAGAGUAGGAGAAGAACAUGGAGCGUGAAGGAAGAAGGUUCAAAAUGUGUCAAAAUUUAUGAGCAUUUUUUUUUUGGAUGUAACGGGUGAAAACUACUCCUUAUAAGGAAGUGGAAGAAAGUGGGAUAACCGCUCAACUACUCCUUAUAAGGGAGUGAAUGUAACGGGUGAAAACUACUCCUUCACAAGAAAGUGGAUGUAAAUGGUGACGGUGAAAACUACUGAAGAAAGUGGUAACCGCUCAGUAAUAAUCAAAUUGUUGUCACUGCUCACAUUUCCUAAUAUUUAUUUCUCUCUCAUAAAACAAACACUCCCUCUCAUUAUGCAAUUAAUUUUCAAAAUAAAUUAUCUCUUUCAAUUCAAACGGUUGCUCCAUUUAUUUCAAAUAUUUUAUUAAAUUUAUUUCUCUCUCAUACAACAAACACUCUCUCAUUAUGCAAUUAAUUUUCAAAAUAAAUUAUCUCUUUCAAUUCAUAACCACUCCUCCACCUCUCUCUCAAUUCAUAACCGUUCCUCCACCUCUCUUUCAAUUCAUAACUGUUCCUCCACAUCUCUUUCAAUUCAAAACCGCUUUUCCACCUCUCUUUCAAUUCAAAACCGUCCCACUACGUAUACCAAAUAUUGUAGAAAAAAUAAGAAAGGGACCAUAAUACAAUAAUAAAAUUAAAUAUUAAUAUAAGGAUAAAAUGGGAAAAAAAUUAAGAGCAGUUAAGAGGGGAAUAAGAAAUGACACAAUGACCAUAAUACAAUAAUAAAAUUAAAUAUUAAUAUAAGGAUAAAACAGGAAAAAAAAUUAAGAGCAAUUAAGAGGGGAAUCCCCUUUAUAUAUAGGUAUAGAUAAUAUUAUUCAUAUUAUUUAUAUUAUUAAUAUAAUACUAAUAAUAUUAUAUAUAUUAUUUUAUUUAUUAUUAUUAAUUUUAUAAUAUUAAUGGUUCUCGUCGGUUGAUUUUUUCACCAGUUGACUUUUUGUCGGUUGACUCUGGUGAUAAGCUUUAGCUCCGGUCUGUCUUCUCUGUGCUAGACUUUAAACUAGAGGGGGGAUGAAUGUUUUAAAGAGGGUUUUCGCAAACUUUUAAGUAUAGAAUGAAAUUACUUUGAGAAAACUUGAUUAAGAAUUCAGUUUGUCAAAAACACAAAGCAAUUUAGCACAACACUAGAAAAACAUUCGGUUGUUUCGCAGAAACAAUCGGUUGUUUAUACUAGUUCACAAAUAUAAACUGAAAUUAAAGAUUUCAAGGGUUCGAGAGAUUGCACACACAGGUUUAUACUGGUUCACUCUUAAACCAAGAGCUACAUCCAGUCUUCCCAGAAACCACUGGGGAAUCCACUAAGCAAUCAACCCUAGAUUACUUACAACACCACCAAAGAAGUGACCUUGAUCCCCUCAAGACACACACUUCCUUUGGCUCAGCACAAACACCACCAAGAAUGCUGAUCUUGACAACCUCAAGAGCACACAACACUUCUUAGCUUCACACACAGAGUUUACAGAAGGUACAAAAGGAUUACACUUGUUACAGAAAAGAUCUGAAAUCAAUACAAGAUGAAAAUCCUAUAUCACACUCUCUUGAUCAAAGCAAUCUUCAACUCUUCAAAAGAAAAACCAGUGAAAAACUUCAAAACCUUAUUGUACUGGACCAGAGCACUGGGCUCGGUGCUUAGGUGAUCGGACAUCGGCACCUGUGUGGAGCAGGUUAGCUUGGUGAUCUGGUCGAGUUAAUGGGCCAGUGGAACCCAAGAAUGCGUGUGUUAAAACCCGUAUAUAUGUAAGGCCUAAUCAGCGAGAAAGUGCAUGUGGUGUGUAUUUGGGUCUAGCACAAGUAAAUAUCCCCUAAAGACGCCUAGGCCCAAGAGCGCUAGGGUUUUCAGGGGUAAGCUGCAUGCAUGAUACGUAAAGGUUAGAGCGCCUACAGUGACAGAUGGGCCCCAUGAUGCUGGUAUAUGAGUUGGUACCCUGACAGCCAUGUUGUUAAGAUUAUGCACUCCAAAGAGGAAGAUUUUGCGCGAUUGUUACACUAAGAUUGUGUGACAUUAUAACAGAAUGCCCUCCCAUCAUACCUGCUUUCACUUGAGAUAAAGUCUCGUGAGAGAAGGGUUGUUACAAUGAAGUAACCUAAAAGUAGUCUAUAAAAGGGACUCGAGAUCCCUAGUAAAGGUACACCGUUUCUAAUGAAACUACUUGCUUACUUACUCAUUGUUUCUUAGCCCAGUACUGAAUUGAUUGUCGGAGUGCAAUCAACAGGUAGGGCCCCCUCUGUUUCAAAUGGAGCCGCAUUCCAACGUCCCCGGGAAAGAGCAAAUCCAGCAGAGGCAAACAGAGUCACAACCUACUCUCAGAGUCAACCGACUACUAGGUCAACCCACAAGAACAUUUGGCACCCACCGUGGGGCCUGAUAAAACUAGGUCCCAUCCACAGUUGUGAUCAGAGCUAUCAGGCGAUAUGAGGAAUACAAGACAAGGCACCGCUGGACAGGAAGAAGGCGACAACGUUACCAUGCAAUAACUCAUGGAAACUAUCCACACUCUUCAGUAGACAGUGGAGGCAUCCAAGGCUGAUUAGGAAAGGGUUUUGGUUGAGGUUCGAGCUAAGCAGGCACUUAGGAAAGACCAAUUCAGGGUCGAGUUGGAUGCGUCGCGGACAGACAACGAAGAUUUACGCAUGGCCAAUAGGAUUUGCGGAGAGAUUUGCAAUGCUUAGGGGAACACACGGUAGGGGAGCAAAACCCGCCUAUCCCAGUCAGGGCUUGCCCCAUGCCAUUCUCCCAAGCGAUCAUGAAUGUCGUGAUACCUACCAAUUUCAUGACCCCAAAAAUCACUUUCACAGGUACUGAAGACCUGGAGGCCCACAUCACAACUUUCCACACUCAGAUGAUGAUCUCGGGAGGAACAGACGCCAUGCAUUGCAAGUUAUUUAUGGGAACGUUCGUAGGCAGAACAUUGGAUUGGUUCAUCAGUCUCCCCGAUGGACACAUCACCUCGUUUGAUCAAUUCUCUACAUUUUUCAGGGAGCAGUUCAUUGUCAACAGUGCUCCACCCCCUGUCUCUUUCGACCUCUUUGAUGUGAAGCAAUACCAGGGAGAGCCCCUUAAGGACUUCCUGAAUCGGUUUGGGGCGCUGGUUGUAAAACUACCAAGGAUGAAGCUAUGAUGGUGCAUGCCUUCAGGCGGGGAAUUUUGUCAGGGCCCUUCAGCGACUCUUUAAUAACGUGUCAACCAAAGACGUUUAGCGAGAUUCGGCACCGAGUUGUUGCUCACAUCUGCACAGAGGAAUAGGAAACAAAAAAACGUGGAAGCGUUGGACCGACAAGACCUCGGGAGAGCGGUCGUGCUCAACCCAUAAGUGAUGGAGAUCAAGAUCAAGACCAAAUGUAGGCCAAUACUCAAGGACAAGAAGAGGAAGAGGCUCAAGUGUUAGACGCUCAAAGAGUUGGUAGCCCACCUCAAAGGCUUACAAGAAGUCAAUUCAAGGCAUUAGGAAAUAAUGGAAUGUUGUUUUCUCUUUUUGUAAUAUCUUUGUGUUAGAAGGUGCUUAGAGGGAAACAUAAGACACCUCUUUUGUAAAAGCAUCUUUAGGUCUUUAGUUUAGGAAAAAAAUAGGAAGCUUGGGGGGUGUGAGCUUAGUAGAGGGGUGUAGGCGUAAUAGGGAGGUGCCAAACUAAGAAAAGAAGUCACACCUUCCUCAUGCUCUAAGUUGGCGCCACUUUUAUGUCAUUUGGGGGGUAAUUUGAGUUUAAUUAGCUUUUCAUUUCAGCACCUCUUAGGCUAUAAAUAAAGGUGUUUGCCUUUGUAAAAUUCAGAUUGGAAAUUGGAAUUAGAGAAACUCUACUCAAUUUGAGAGAGAAUUGUGAGAACUUGUCUUCUCCUUCACCUUGUCUUAUCUUGAGUGCAUUUGGUUCUCUCAAGUGGCGGCACUAGCUCACUUAUCUUGGAGCCUUCACCAUCCAAUUGGUGUGAUCAUCAAACCAAGUCCUUCAUCUCCAUAAGUUCUUCUUUCUUUCAUCUCCUAGCUCAUUUGAAUCUAAAACAUGUCUUAGUUUACUUUUCUAGCAUUUUCAUUCGGUAUUCUAGCUUGUUUCUGAAUUUGCUUCGGUUCAUCUUCUCCUUGGCUGUUCCUAUUUGAUUCUUCUUCAUUUCUUGCAUUUUGUUCGGUUCAAUUUCAGCAUUGUAGCUUUCUAUUCGGUCCUUUUUCUUUUAUACACAAUUUAAUCGGUUCAAUUGGCAAUAGAUGGAUCUUCCAUAUGAGUUUGGUGUUUGGUGCAAGUUUUGGUGAGUUCUUAAAACAUAGAACAUUGAUCCAAUUCUAUUAAAAGUGCCUAAGCUAUCUCCAACUCAAGUUGAUUCCAUAGAAUGUCAAAGAAUCAUCUCUAUUUGGCUAGUGGAAUCAUAUCAUGUGGUAUCUAGAAUUUAGGUUUGUUCUUGUUUAAUUUUGAGUUGUGUUGCACUUUAAUUCAAGAGCUCUAUAAUUCUUGUUGUUUACCUUUCUGUUUUUAGGCUUAUUUUGAGUUUUAUUGCUGUUUUCUUAAUUGUGCCUAUCAUGUGUUUGUGUAUUUUCCUUUUUGAAUCCAUACAAGUUUUGUCAUAGUCAUGUUUUUCCAAGAAUGUCAUCACUUCUUGUAGUACUUUUAUUGAAUUUUUUGUUUCUUGCUUUGGUGUAAUACAGUUUUCUGAGUUUGAUACUUGAUCCUUUGUGCAUUUUCUGUUUUAGUUUUGAGUUCAUACUUGUAUUUUAGAUCUAUACAAGUUCCUAUACAUCAUUUCCAUUAUGUCUUUGCUAGUUCUUAAUUCUGUUUUUCAUUCCUGUUAGGAUUCCUCUGUUUUUCUGAAAACGUGCUCACUGUUUCGAUUUAUUGCAAUUGAUUUACUCACUGGAAAUUUCUGAAAUUAUGGAUUUGUGUUCUUUAAAGUGUUAUAAAAGAGUAGAAAAAAGAAGUACUUAAAAAUUCCAAGUACAAAAAAAAUGAUAAAUCAAAAACAAAAAGUAACCGCCCAAACAUGCGCCCUACGAGCCGAAAAAGCAUUAGACUAGGGCAUGAGCGAAGGGAGACAUGCCUUGUCGACACAAGUUCAGAAUAAAACUCAAGGAGCUUAUCGCUAUCCCAGACGUGGCCGACAAGCUAAAGCCACCCCCAAAGAGUGACAAGAGAUUGGGGCCAAGCAGGGGCACCUGGUGCGAGUUCCACAAGGCCUUUGGGCAUGACUUGCAAAACUAUUUGGCACUUGGAUACUAAUUGGCUAAUUUGGUGAAGAAUGGAUUCCUGAAGGAAUACUUAGAGGAAGGUCAUGAAGCCUCAACGGUGGUGACCUUAGCAGGGAUCAGGGACACAAAGUACCAUUCCAUGGCGAGGUUAACACGAUCUUUGGGGGGUUUCUCAUGAGGAGGAUGCACCACCUCCCAGCGAAAGAAGUAUGUUAUAAGGGUGAUGGCAAUAGAAGCACGGGAACCUGACCAGUCACCUGAGCCCGACCUCUACUUCACGAAGGCUGAUUUACAGGAUGUGGUCCCACAUGAUAAUGACCCAGUGGUAAUUUCAGUGGUGAUAGUAGGGAGAAGGGUACACCGAGUCCUCAUCGACCAAGGGAGCUCGACAUAUGUAAUGUUUUGGUCGACCUUCAACAAAUUGGAGUUGUCGCCCGACCAACUGAGACCUUAUGACGGCUGUUUGUACGGUUUUGCUGGAGACCAGGUAAAAGUAAGUGGGCACGUGGAGCUAAGGACGACCUUCACAGACAACACCACGUCCCGCACCGUCAAUAUCAGGUACCUUGUCAUCAACUUACAACAUCCUUUUGGGAAGACCUACCCUGAAUAGGAUAUGAGCGGUGGCCUCAACGAGGCAUAUGAAGAUGAAGUUGCCUUCCCUCGAGGAAACGAUAAUUACCAUUAAGUCUGACCAAAAGGCGGGAAAUAAAUGCUAUGUGAAUAGCUUGAAGACGAACAUAGAGGUGUGCUCGAUCACCAGCCAGCCUUAGGAGGGAGAAGGGAUCACCCGUGUAGAGAUGGGUUGGGAGAGGCGACCUAAGCCUGUAGGUGAGGUGCUGGAAAGGGAGAUCGGGAGAAAGAAGUUUAAGCUUGGCAAAUCUUUAGGCCAGGAAAUACAGGACCAGAUCGCCGAGGUAAUAACACGACAUUUGGACGCCUUUGCGUGGUGUGCCUUGGACAUGCCCGACAUCGACCCUGAUUUCCUAUGCCAUCAUCUCACGAUGGAUCCAAAGGUCAAGCCUGUUUGCUAGAGGCAGAGGAAGUUCAAUGACGAAAGAUGCCUGGUCAUGAGGCAAGAGACCUAGAAGCUGCUGAGUGCGCCACAUAACGGAGAUCCAAUACCCUGAGUGGUUAGCAAACAUGGUGUUGGUCAAGAAGACCAACGAAAAGUGGAGGAUGUGCGUCGAUUUUACGGAUUUGAACAAGGCUUGUCCAAAGUAUUCAUAUCCGUUGCCCAACAUUGACACACUAGUGGAUAACGCGUCAGGUUGCAAACUUCUCAGUUUUCUGGAUGCCUUCUCAGGAUAUAACCAAAUUCGGAUGCAUCCCCAAGACGAAUGCAAGAAAACAUUCAUGACAGAGCUCUCCAGCUAUUGUUAUACGGUGAUGCCCUUUGGGCUAAAAAAUGUCGACGCGACCUAUUAGAGGCUGAUGGACAGGGUUUUCGCCCCUAUGAUAGGGCAAAACGUGCAGGCAUAUGUGGAUGAUAUGAUCAUCACCUCCCAGGAGAAGGACCAACACAUUGCCGACUUAGAGGAGCUAUUCACCACAAUAGCCAGGUAUAAAUUGAAGUUAAAACCCGAAAAGUGCGUAUUCGGGGUAGAGGCAGGGAAUUUCUUAUGAUUCCUCCUCACCGAGUGGGGAAUAAAGGCGAACCCCGAGAAAUGUGCGACGAUCAUAGCUAUGAGAAGCCUGACCUCGGUGAAGGAGGUACAACAAUUGACGGGGCGAAUGGCCGCUCUGUCCCGAUUUGUAUCUGCAGGAGGAGAUAGAGGGCAUCCCUAUCUCCUGUGUUUGAAGAGGGACAACCGAUUUGUGUGGACAAACGAGUGUGAAGAAUCGUUCCUCAAGCUGAAGAAGUACCUGUCCAGCCCGCCAGUUCUGUGCAAGCCGCUGCCAGGUACUCCCCUCCGUCUGUACUUUGCUAUUACAGAACGAGCGAUCAUAGUCCAGGAGCAGGAUUGCAUCCAAAGGCCUAUAUAUUUUGUUAGCAAAGUGCAGCAGGGGCCCGAAGUGCGCUAUCAGGCCAUUGAGAAGGCGGCUCUAGCAGUAGUAUUUGCAGCACGAAGGCUUCGCUACUAUUUCUAGAGCUUCACGGUGAUCGUGAUGAUCGACCUUCCCAUCCGUAAGGUCUUGCAGAAACCUGACGUGGCGGGACGGAUGGUGUGCUGGGCGGUCGAGCUGUCAGAGUUUGAUUUGCAGUAUGAGACGAGAGGACCUAUCAAGGGUCAAGUUUAUGUUGACUUCUUGGUAGAACUCUCCUUGGCAACCACACACCAAGACAAUGGAGAUUUCCAAUGGGUCCUUUCUGUGGACGGGUCCUCUGAGCAGUGAGGCUGGUAUCAUCCAUGAGGGACAAAACGGGCUACUAAUCAAGCAGGCCCUACGAUUUGCUUUCAACUCUAGCAACAACCAAGCUGAAUAUGAGGCCUUGGUGGCAGGAAUGUUGCUAGCCAAAGAGAUGGCUGCCCGAAGUUUGUUAGUGAAGAGUGACUCACUACUGGUAGUCGGGAAAGUUACGGGCGAGUACUAGGCCAAGGACCCUAGAUGGCCGCGUAUCUAAAGUGUGUCAUGCUCCUGAAAGAGGCGUUCACUGCUUUUGAGUUGGGCACAUUCCCAGGGAACAAAAUGCCCGAGCUGACUUACUGGCAAAGCUCGCCAGCUUAGGCAGGGGGGUCGACAAAGGAAAAUUACCCAGGAAACCUUAAAAGUCCCCAGGACCACCACAGGCGGCGUGGAAGAGGUCCAGCAGGUAAGUGCCUUCGAGGGCGGAAGGAGAGGUCACCGGUCGUUGACCCAGGAAACAUUGAGGGUACCUAAGAUAAGUGCAUAUGACUUGUCAGUGGGAGAAUCGUCGCAUGUUUGCCUGGUCGACGAAGGUGAAACCUGGAUGACACCCUAUAGGCGUUACCUGGCGAAUGGUCUACUCCCACAGGAGCCAACGGAGGCCAAAAUCGUUAAGAAGAAUGCAUACAGAUAUACCUUGGCUGAUGGAAAGUUGUUCAAGCAUGACUUCUCUCACCGUAUCCUGUCCUGUGUGAGUGGUGAGCAGUGCACACGUAUCAUGACUGAGCUCCAUGAAGGUAUCUGUGGGAGUCACAUCGGUGGACGAGCUCUCUCAUCAAAGGCUAUUCGAGCAGGAUAUUACUGACCGACCAUAAGGGAGGAUUGCACGAGGUACACACAAUGGUGCAAACAGUGCCAACAACACGCCAACUAGCAUCAUGCGCCCCCGGAGGCGUUGCGAUCGAUCCAUAGCCCAUGACCUUUCCACACAUGGGGGAUUGACAUCUUGGGUCCAUUUCCCUUAGAAGUUCGCCAAAUGAAGUACCUGGUGGUAGCCAUCGAGUACUUCACCAAGUGGAUAGAAGCUGAGCCUAUGGCACAAAUCACAACUCACAAGGUUCAACACUUUGUAUGGAAGAACAUAGUUUUCCGUUUUGGAAUCCCAAAGCAUGUAGUGUUUGACAACCACACCCAUUUUGCAAGUCAGCAGCUAGGCAAACUAUGCACAGAGCUCGACAUCAAACAGGUGUUCGCCUCGGUAUAACACGCCUAGACGAAUGGACAGGUCGAAUAUGCUAAGUGAGUCAUGCUCAGAGGCCUAAAGAGGAGACUGGAGAAAGCCAAGGGAACUUGGGCAGAUCUGGUUCCUAGAAUUGUAUGGGCCUAGCACACCAUUCCUCAAUCCACCACCAAAGAGACGCCUUUUAGCCUAGUGUAUGGGUCAAAUGCUCUGAUCCCCGUCAAGAUCCAUGACAGUUCACCUCGAUUCCAGAACUUCGUGAUUGAGGAGAAUAACGAGGAAAUGAGGGUAAACUUAGAUCUGCUCGACAAGGUCAGAGAGGAAGCACGCAUCAAGACCGAAGCCUUGAAGAGAAGGGUGGAGUAUAAGCAGAAGUCCAAGCUAAAACCUCGGCAGUUCCGGGUCGCCGACUUGGUAAUGCGAAAGGCUCACCCCUAUCAGUUGGAGAACAAGUUGUCUCCUAAGUGGAUUGGCCCAUUCCGUGUGAUAGAGGUGCUCGGUAACGGAGCGUAUAGACUCGAGAACUUGGAAGGCGAGAUCAUUCCUCGAACAUGGAAUGAGGCUAAUCUUAAAUUUUAUUUCAGUUAAUUAUGCUAUUGUAUGCAGUACGAACGUUUAAGGCGACACUCUUUUCCCCUUAUCAGGGUUUUUUAAAUAGGUCUCCCAAUAAAAGUUAUUUGAAAACUAUGCUUGCAGUAUAUCGUGCUAACAGUGAAAUAUCCCCUUGGUAAGAUUCCAAGAGUGGGAACAGUAGAGUUCAUAGCGAACCUCCCCCUAGUAAGAUUCCAAGAGUGGGAACAAUAGGGUUCGUAAGCGAACCUCCCUUUGGUAAGAUUCCAAGAAUGGGAACAAUAGGUUUCAUAAGCGAACCUCCCCCUUGGUAAGAUUCCAAGAGUGGGAACAGUAGGGUUCAUAGCGAACCUUGUUCAAGAUGGGAAGCUUUGAUGUGCAAAAUCCUCAUGAAGGCUGAAGCUGUGUGAUGUUUAAGGUUUAGGUUUUGGUUUGGGGUUUAGAAUCUUUGUAAAGAUCAGUUUUGAAUCUCAGACAAAGCUCAUUUCAACCAGUUUUAAAGAUUAAAGUGUUUUUCCAUGCAAAGGGAAAAACAACCGAUUAAAGUUUCGAAAUAAUCGGUUGUGUUUAACUUAGCUGGCAAAUAAGGUUUUGAAACUGUUUUAUAACUGACAAGAGCAUUCAACCGGUUAAAUCGUGGUUUUAACCGAUUAAAUGUAUGUCCUUGCAACAGCUUUUUGAAAAUCUAUUUUAAUUGAUUUGGUUGUUUUGAUUUGCUUCAACGUUAGCAUUUCAAGUAUUAUAAAUAUGUUUUUGAUUCAAACGUUUAAAGAUUGAUGAAAUAAAAACUUUAGAUACUCUGAGUUGAGAUUGAUUUGAAAGAUUACAAAACUGCUUGUGAAAAGGUUUUUCAUCAAGUUUUAACAAGAUUGCUUUGUGCUUUGUUGUGGUUCAAAGAACUGAUCAUUAGGGUGCUAGUGUAUUGUGUUGUACCAGGUGUUUUCUAAUCCUGUUCAAGUUCUUGUAAUUGUUCAUAUAACAUUCUGUAUAACUGUGUGAAAUCCUGUAAAGUUAGUGUAAUUCUGGCUUGAGGUGUGUGUUGUGUGUAAGGAGGGUGAGUAGGCUUUGUGGGAUUCAAAGUCACCUCUUUGUGUGUGGUGUUUGUGUAAUCUGUGAUCGGUUGCAUAGUGAAAACUCAGUGAUUUGACUGAGGACUGGAUGUAGCUCUAUGAUAGAGUGAACCAGUAUAAUCUCUGUGUGUAAUUCUCUCUAUCCCUUCUCUCUAUAUUUGUUUGUAUUUUUCCGCUGUCAUAAACAACCGGUUAAAUCACUAUUUUAACCGAUUAAAAUUCUGCUUCUGUUUCUGUUUGGUAAUUUGAUUAGCUUUCUGAAUUGCUUUUCUGGGUUGAUUGAAAAAGUUUUAUUCUAAGCCAAGUAUUUGUAAAAAUAGUUUGAAAACAAUUCAUCCCCUCUUGUUUUAGCCAUCAAAUCUAACAAUUGGCAUCAAGAGCAAGGUUCUUGAAAGUUAUUCAAGUUUUUUGAUUUCUGGUUUUUGAAAAUCUUGAUGGCUGAUAAAUUUUUUUUGGGGAAGGUGCCUCUUUGAACAAACAACCUUUGUUCUAUGGUCAAAACUAUCCUAUUUGGUGCAUAAGAAUGAAAUUCUUUAUUCAAUCCUUAAAUAAGAAUAUUUGGAAUGUUAUUUCAAAUAAUACCUAUGUGCAUAUGCCUGAAAUUAAUGAAUCUUGUAAAUAACAUCUUGACUGUAUGGCACAACAUAUUAUUGUGUCUGCUCUAGACUCUGAUGUACUGCUCAAGAUUUUAGAAUGCACUACAGCUAAAGGAAUGUUGGACAAACUUGAGGAAUUGCACAAGAAUCCAAGGAGUGACUUGGUAGAUAAAGAAGAGUCAUCUGCUGGCUCAAUCUCUUCUAAAAAUAAAGUGGAAGUCUGCUUAAUGACCAAGGGAGAAUCAAAAUCAAGUCAAGUAAGUACAUCCUAUUCUAAUAAGUGUGAAAGUUAUUUUCAAUUUCUUGAUGCUUUCCAAGAAAUUCAUGAGGAAGCUAAGAGAUUAACUUUUUCAAAUAACCGAUUGAAAUGUGAAAACAACAAGUUGAAAAUGAAAAUCACAGUUUUGGAAAAAGACUUGAAUCAAUCAAAAACUGAUUUAGAAAAUUCUGAUUUGAUGCAUGAAAAAUCCUUUUGCAAAUGUGAUUCAAAUUUUUGCAAAACCUGUGAGUCUCUUCAAGAGAAAGUCUUAUAUCUUGUGAAAACAAUUGAUGUUAUUUCGAAAGGAAAAUCAAAUUUUGAAAAUGUGUUGGCAUCCCAAACAUGUGUUUUUGAAAAAUUUGGCUUGGGUUUUAACCCUCAAAGCAAACAAAGUGGGUGCACAAAACCUUUUUCAACCUUUACUAAAAAACAAUCGGUUAAAGCAUCGAAACAACCGGUUGUUUGUUGUUUCUAUUGCAUGAAAAAGGGACACUCUGUUAGGUUCUGCAGAAUCAGAAAGUUCUCUGUACCUAAGGGUAUUCUGAAAUGGGUUCCUAAAGAGCCUAAUGAUUCUUGGAAACAUAUUAACAUCUAUGGACCCAAAUUCACAAGGGGACCAGAUUUAGCAACUUGAUUUUGUUUCUUUUGUAGAGUUGUUUGGAGAGAAAACAACACCUAUGGUACCUAGAUAGUGGCUGUUCAAAACAUAUGACAGGUGAUGCAUCUAGGUUCAUCAGCAUUUCUCUCAAACCAGAUGGUGAUGUAAGCUACGGUGACAAUAACAAGGGAAGAAUUCUUGGCAAAGGUACAAUCAGUAAUGAAAGUAGUUUGCUUAUUCAUGAUGUGCUCUAUGUUGAAGGAUUGAAGCACAACUUGCUUAGCAUCAGUCAACUUUGUGAUAGAGGUUACCAAGUGACCUUUAGGACCAACUAAUGUGAAAUUCGCUUACCUAAUUCAAAGGAUGUUCUUCUCAUUGGUAAAAGAUCUAGCAACAUUUAUCUACUUGAUAUAUCUAGUCAUGCUUCAUUAGAUUGUCUUCUAUCAAAGCAUGAAGAAUCAUGGUUGUGGCAUAGAAGGUUUGCUCAUAUUCAUAUGAAUCAUCUAAAUAAGCUUGUGUCAAAUGAACUUGUUUAUGGCUUACCCAAACUCAAAUUUGAAAAAGAACAUGUGUGUGAAGCAUGUCAAAGGGGGAAACAAACUAGAAAAUCUUUUUCUUUGAAAAACUAUUUCAACUUCAAAACCCCUUGAACUUUUGCACACGGAUCUUUUCGGUCCUUCUAGGACUAUGAGUCUUGGAGGAAAUCUAUAUGGUCUUGUUGUUGUAGAUGACUAUUCCAGGUACACUUGGACACUCUUUCUACAUACAAAGAAGGAUGCAUAUUCAUAAUUUAAGAAGCUUGCAAGGAAACUUCAGAAGACAUGUUGCAGUAACAUAGGAGCAAUAAGAAGUGAUCAUGGAGGGGAGUUUCAAAAUGAAAAGUUCAUUAGCUUCUGCAACAAAUUGGGGAUUUCUUCAUAACUUCUCUGCACAAAGAACACCCCAACAGAAUGGUGUGGUGGAGAGGAAAAACAGGUUUCUAGAGGAGCUUGCAAGGACAAUUCUAAAUGAUUUUGGUCUACCAAAAUGCUUUUGGGCUGAUGCUGUGAGCACUGCAUGCUACUUGAUGAAUCAUGUGCUGAUUAGGCCUAUACUGAAGAAAACACCUUAUGAGUUGCUGAAUGGGAGAAAGCCAAAUGUGAGCCACCUAAAAGUCUUUGAUUGUAAGUGUUAUGUCCUUAACAAUGGCAAAGAAAUUUUAGGUAAGUUUGAUGCUAAAUCAGAUAAAGGUAUCUUUCUGGGUUACUCUCUUAAUAGCCAUGCUUAUAGAGUCUUCAAUAAAAAGCUUAUGACUGUUGAAGAAUCCAUUCAGGUUAUUUUUUAUGAGACUAACAAUUGUGACAAGCUCCAACUAAGAUCAAUACAGAGGAGGAUGAUCAAAACAUCUUUUUAAAGAAUCUUGACAGCAACACUGAAUUUCAACCGAUUGAAUCCUCGAUUCAACCGAUUGAAAAUCUGCAGCAGGAAGAUCUGCCAAAAGAUUGGAAGGUUCCUAAGGAUCUGUCCAUUGACGACAUCAUAAAUCAAAUCCACAGAGGAGUUUCAACCAGAAGGCAUGUGGCAAAGUUAUGCAAUCACUCUGCAUUUGUUUCAAAGAUUGAACCUCAAUCAGUACGUGAAGUUCUGAAGGAUGAAUUCUGGACAGCAGCUAUGCAAGAAGAGUUAAAUCAGUUUGUAAGGAAUGAAGUCUGGACUCUUGUUCCGAGAACCAAUUAAAUGAAUGUGAUAGGUACCAAGUGGGUUUUCAGAAACAAAUCUGAUGACUCGGGCAUCAUUACAAGAAACAAAGCGAGACUAGUGGCCAAAGGAUACAAUCAAGCUGAAGGCAUCGAUUAUGAUGAAACCUUCACACCUGUUGCAAGAUUGGAAGUAGUAAGAUUGUUAUUAGCUUUUGCUUGUAUGAGUGGUUUUAAAUUGUUUCAGAUGGAUGUGAAGAGUGCAUUUCUCAAUGGGAUCGUGAAUAAGGAGAUAUAUGUCUCACAACCACCUGGCUUUGAAGAUCACAAACAUCCAGAGUGUGUAUACAAGCUCAAGAAGGAAUUGUGUGGCCUCAAACAAGUUCCACGUCAAUGGUAUGAAGGGAUAAGUCUUUUUCUUUUAUCUCAUGAGUAUGAAAGAGGUAAAGUAGAUAAGACUUUGUUUAUUAAGAAGGCUGGAACUGAUAUUAUUUUGGUACAAAUAUACGUUGAUGAUAUUGUAUUUGGCUCGUCUAAUGUGAAACUUUGUGAGGACUUUGUCUAAGCUAUGCAGGGGGAGUUCGAGAUGUCAAUGAUGGGAGAACUCUCCUUCUUUCUCUUUCUACAAGUUAAGCAGUCCAAAGAAGGAAUCUUGAUAUGCCAAUCAAAGUAUUGCAAAGAAAUCCUUAAGAAGUUCGAGAUGGAAGCUUGCAAAGUAGCAGCAACUCCAAUGUCAACUAACUGCUACUUAGAAGUUGAUGAAGCUGGACGAGAGGUUAAUCAAACCAUGUAUAGGGGUUUAAUAGGUUCACUUCUUUAUCUAACUACAAGCAGACCAAACAUUAUGUUUGUUGUGUGUCUAUGUGCUAGAUUUCAGUCUUGCCCCAAGGAAUCACAUAUCAAGGCUGCAAAGAGGAUCCUGAAAUAUCUUAAAGGCACAAUAUUCAUGGGCUUAUGGUAUCCCUCUCUUUCUCCUAUACAUUUAGUAGGUUAUUCUGAUUCGGAUUUUCCAGGUUGCAAAUUAGUUAGGAAGAGUACAAGUGGAACAUGCUACUUGCUUGAUUCAAGCCUCAUUUCAUGGCAUAGUAAGAAACAAGCGUGUGUAGCCUUAUCCAUUGCUGAAGUUGAAUAUAUAGCAGCUGGUAACUGUUGUGUGCAGAUUCUAUGGAUCAAAUAACAACUUGAGGAUUUUGGAGUAAAGAUGAGUAAAGUUCCUCUUCUAUGUGACAAUACAAGUGCCAUUAACUUGACAAAGAAUCAUAUUCAACACUCGAGGACCAAACACAUUGAAAUAAGACACCAUUUCAUUCAUGAUCAUAUAGCCAAUGGAGACUGUGAGAUCAAGUUCGUUUCCACAGAAAGACAACUGGCUGAUAUCUUCACCAAGCCUUUAUCCAAGGAUAAGUUCUACUAUUUACGAAAUGAAUUGGGAAUUCUAGAUAUGCAUGCUUUAUCCUAGUUAUAUUCUAUUUUGUUUUGUCUAUUUGAUGAGACAAAUAGGGGGAGAAGAGUUUAGAAGGGUUGUUGGAAGCUGUAAUGUUCUGCUGUUUUAUUCUGGUUUGUUUACAACUUCAACCGGUUAUCUCUGUAUUAUAACCGAUUGUUCUUAUAUGCAUCUACUUAUUUUAAAAUCUGAUAUAUAGUGCAUAUCUGUUUGGACUAGUCUAUUCCGUGUUUGUUCAGUGUUUGCAGGUUUUAACAGAUUCUAAACAAAGAACAUUCCUAAAAGCAUCUCAGGGAUUUGUCUCCAUCAAAUAAAGGAGAUUGUUGAAGAUGGGAAGCUUUGAUGUGCCAAAUCCCCAUGAAGCCUGAAGCUGUGUGAUGUUUUAGGUUUAGGUUUUGGUUUGGGGCUUAGAAUCUUUGUAAAGAUCAGUUUUGAAUCUCAGACAAAGCUCAUUUCAACCAGUUUUAAAGAUUAAAGUGUUUUUCCAUGCAAAGGGAAAAACAACCGAUUAAAGUUUCGAAAUAUUCGGCUAUUUGUAACUUAGCUGGUAAAGAAGGUUUUGAAAUUGUUUUAUAACAGAUAAGAGCAUUCAACCGGUUAAAUCGUGGUUUUAACCGAUUAAAUAUAUGUCCUUGUAACAACUUUUUGAAAAUCUGUUUUAACUGAUUUGGUUGUUUAGAUUUGCUUCAACGUUAGCAUUUCAAGUAUUAUAAAUAUGUUUUUGAUUCAAACAUGUAAAGAUUGAUGAAACAUAAACUUUUGAUACUCUGAGUUGAGAUUGAUUUGAGAGAUUACAAAACUGCUUGUGAAAAGGUUUUUUUAUCAAGUUUUAGCAAGAUUGCUUUGUGCUUUGUUGUGGUUCAAAGAACUGAUCAAUAGGGUGUUGGUGUAUUGUGUUUUACCAGGUGUUUUCUAAUCUUGUUCAAGUUCUUGUAAUUGUUCACAUAACAUUCUGUAUAACUAUGUGAAAUCAUGUAAAGUAGGUGUAAUUCAGGCUUGAGGUGUGUGUUGUGUGCAAGGAGGGUGAGUAGGCUUUGUGGGAUUCAAAGUCACCUCUUUGUGUGUGGUGUUUGUGUAAUCUGUGAUUGGUUGCAUAGUGAAAACUCAGUGGUUUGACUGAGGACUGGAUGUAGCUCUGUGAUAGAGUGAACCAGUAUAAUCUCUGUGUGUAAAUCUCUCUAUCCCUUCUCUCUAUAUCUGUUUAUAUUUUUCCGCUGUCAUAAACAACCGGUUAAAUCACUAUUUUAACCGAUUAAAAUUUUGCUUUUGUUUUUGUUUGGUAAUUUGAUUAGCUUUCUGAAUUGCUUUUCUGGGUUGAUUGAAAAAGUUUUAUUCUAAGCCAAGUAUUUGUGAAAAUAGUUUGAAAACAAUUCACCCCCCCCUCUUGUUGUAGCCAUAAAAUCUAACAAACCUCCCCUUGGUAAGAUGCCAAGAGUGGGAGCGAAGUCUUUCCUUGGUAAGAUUCCAAGAGUAGCAGCGAAUAUCCCCUUGGUAAGAUUCCAAGAGUGGGAACAUUAAGUGUCAUAGCAAACCUCAGUGAAGUCUCCCCUUGGUAAGAUUCCAAGAGUGGGAGCGAAGUCUCCCCUUGCUAAGAUUCAAAGAGUGGGAGCGAGAUCUCCCUUUGGGGGAGUAGUAAGGCUCAUAGCAAUUCAGGCAAUACCUCUUGCUCAGAAAGCUCAGGUUGCCACUUGCACGAACCACAGUAAAACUUCUCUUUAGGGAGUACGUACAGAUAAAGCAAAGCAAUUCGUGCAGGAGGACCUGUUGACCAGCGAGGCUCUCUGAACUCAGGUACCCCAGAGCAUAAGUGUACCAUUGAUUAAUCAGGAGGACCAUGCUACUUACGUAUGGUCGAUCAUUGGUGUUCGAUUAGUUAUUAAACUGAUGAAAGUUGUGUCCAUUCAAGGCAUACACUAUUAUUAAACUAGCCGAAGUCAGGAAGGGAAACAUGCAUAUAUAUAUGUAUGUACACAAGAAAGGUAAGUUGUUCGUUAGAUUACAAAAGGAAGGCAAUAGCAGGGGAGUCCCCUGCGGCUAUUCCUUAUCUACUAGUUGCCCAUCUACGACAACUUUACCUAAUCCUAUCUGGGAGAGAUCCAGCUCAGGGUGCACGCAGGUGACUUAAGCCAUGGCAUCUUCAAAGCCUGUCGUGUAGGAGUAAGCGACAUCGCUCGUCAGCUCGUCCUUGGUCUUUUGUAGGAGCUCAUCCUUCUGUGCCAACUCCUCUUUCUGCCUGGCCACCUCCUCGUCCCUCCCAGCCAACUCUCCCUUCAGCUUCUCCACCUCAGUGCGGGGAUUGUUGUUUCUUGCGUACAACCCCAUGGCCUCUUGGGACUUCCUGAAAAGGAGGGCCUUGGUCUCUUGGUGCACUUUCCAAAGCUCUUCCACCUCCAACGUAAGUCAGGUGACUUGUCGUUUGAGCCCUACAACUUGGAGGGCUUCUUCUUUGGCCAGCUCCUUUGCUUUCCACAGUUUGGAGAGGAGAAAGCAAUUUGCCACUAGGGUUUCCCCCAGUUUCCUUGUGGCGUGCUCCAUCAAUGGACCCUCCUCCAGGCUCUCCAAUCUUCCCUUAAUUUUGGAGCAGAGCAUCAUUUUGUGAAGGAAGGAGACUGGGUCCCAGUGAUCUCACUCUGAAGCACUUUUUCCUCUACCUCAUGCACUGCAAUGUCGCGAGGAGGGGAAAGGCUGGGUGGAAAAUCCCGGUAGGAAGGAGCUCGGCCGCCUGAGGUGGAGUGGACAAAACCUACAGCAGCAUCUGUUCGCUUCCUCUUGAAGACGAGUCCAGAACAAGUUUCAUCGUCCUUAGAAGGGGUGACUUCAGCCACUGCCUUCAAUUUUUGACCCUUGGCAGAAGGGACUUGGGUGGUCUUCUUUUGUUUAGCCAGAGCGGCUAAGUUCUUUCUCUUUUGAGUGUCCAACAUGCUAUAUGCAUGAGAAUGAAAACAAUGAACAGUUCAGAAAACACACACAUGCAAGAUAUGGCUAGCAGGAGUAAAGGGAAGGAGGAUACCAAUGUAUUCCUUAAGGCUUGUAGGGCUAUACUCGUUCUUUAUCAAUUCGGCAUUGCUAAACACUGCCUUGAGGUUGAAGAGGAAGAGACACACCUCUCGUUCUCGCCGGGGUAGGUCUUCAAGGUAUCUGGGUUUUGGAAUUCGGGUUCCUUAGUCCAGUAUAGAGGAAACCCGUCCAGAAGGCUUGGAUCGCUAUCAUUGCAGCGGAUUUUGAAAAACUUACCCUUGAAGCCUUUGUAUGAUUGCAUGAAGAGGGUCAACAAAACUCUCCCAACAACCCCGUUAAAGCUCACCCACAUCUUCCGACCUGAUUUUUUGGCUUCGAAGAAGUAAAGGAAGACGUCCACUGAUAGCAGAUGGCCAAAGUGGUGGCACAAGAUGGAAAAUCCCCGAACAAACGCCCAUCUAUUUUAGUGUAGCUGGGUAGGGGCGGUGUUGAUCUCGGUGAGAAGGGCUCUUUCGAAACUAUGAAAGGGAAGGCGUAGAAGGAGUUUUUUGAAAACAGUAGAGUAGAUGAAGUAGAAUGGGCCAUCUAGGUCCGAUGACUCAUCACAGCAAACAGGUUCAUCUUCCAUACAAGGCAUAACCUUAACGAACUUGUCGUGCUCUUUGCCAAAAAGACAGUUCUUUUUAGGGUGCUCACUCUUCCUAUACAACAUUAUCCUCGCAUGGGGUGGUGAAUUCCGAGGUUUCCUAUAAAAGGUUACUAGAAGCCCAGGGGUAUAGGGUUUCGUAAUCCAUCUUACGAGGAAUCUAAAACAAAGAAAGAAAACAAAUGCAGUACUCAGAGGAGGAAGCGCAUGCGUUUUGAAGAAAGAAGUAAGGAAACAGAAAACAAAGGUAUUUACGGUCAUAGAUACGAGAAAUAUAAACAGUCCCAGCGCAGUUAUGAGCAGCUUAAAGGCAUUGAAAUGGCAGAAUGAAAGCAGUCAUAAGAUAAAAAACGCACCUUGAGAUGAUUGAGGAAAGGAGGCGAGGAGGCUUGUUUGGAGAGGUGAAAGCAGAGUGGUCAAAGAAAAGUGUUCAAAGAGAAGCACGAAGAUGGAAUGAAACAGUGAAGGGAGCGCAAGAAUUGAAGGGUUAACGUAUAAGGGAAGCGCAAGCGGCAACAUUUUCCAACCGUUGAUGAUGGCCACGUGUGCGCUUGUGAGAUAGUAUGGUGAGACGUCACCUCAAAACAAUGUGUGGGUCGCGUCAUUCAAAAGACACGUAAGUCGCCUUAGGCGAGAAGUUAGCCUUUUCACUGGAACAAGUUCCAGCUCGAGCCUGGGGGGCUUGUGUACUGGACCAGAGCGCCAGGCUCGGUGCUCAGGUGAUCGGACAUCGACACCUGUGUGGAACAAGUUAGCUCGGUGGUCUGGUCGAGUUAAUGGGUCACAUAAGUGGGACCUAAGAAUGCGUGUGUUGAAAUCCGUGUAUAUGUAAGGCCUAAUCAGCGAGAAAGUGCAUGUGGUGUGUAUAGUACAUUUGGGUCUACCACAAGUAAAUAUCACCUAAAGACGCCUAGGGUUUUCAGGGGUAAGCUGCAUGCAUGAUACGUAAAGGUUAGAGCGCCUACAGUGACAGAUGGGCCGCAUGAUGCUGGUACAUGAGUUGGUACCCUGGCGGCCAUGCUAUUAAGAUUAUGCACUCCAAGGAGGAAGAUUCUACGCGGUUGUUACACUAAGAUUGUGUGACAUCGUAACAGAAUGUCCUCCCAUCAGACCUACUUUCACUCAAGAUAAGGUUCUCGUGAGAGAAUGGUUGUUAUAAUGAAGUAACCUAAAAGUAGUCUAUAAAAGGGACUCGAGAUCCCUGGUAAAGGUACAUCGUUUCUAAGACUGAAACUACUUGCUUACUUACUCAUUGUUUCUUAGCCCAGUACUGACUAUAUCAUCAGAGUGUAAUCAACAUGUAAGGCCCCCUCUGUUUCAAAUGGAGCCGCGUUAUAACGUCCCAGGGAAAGAGAAAAUCCAGCAGAGGCAGACGGAGUCACAACCUGUUCCCAGAGUCAACAAGAACACUUAAAUUAGCGUAUCAAAAUAUUAUUUCAAUUAUUCUCCAACGGGAUUACUAGUAUAACUGGGCCAAACUCAUGACCCACCUUAUAGGCCCAAUAACCAAGCUGACCUACCCACAAUGUGCACCGAGCUCCGAUCACUGAGCACCGAGUACUCUGUCCAAUACAUAAGACCCCAAGCUCGAGUUGAGCUUAGCUGAGAGAAGUGGCUUUUCGAGUGCUCUGGUAGCUUACGUGGCAGUUCCUCAUUGGGUAGGUGUGGCGUGGCGCAUGAAGCGUUUCUGAGGUGACGUCUCGCCACACUCAAUCUUGAACGUACAUGUGACCCUUAUCAACGGCGGGAAAGCGUUGCCACUUGACAUUCCCAUAGACGUAUAAGCCAACGUUCAAAAACUCACUACCACUCACUGUUUCAUUUCUUUAACUCUUGCAAAACCCUCGCGCUCUUCGAACUUCCUCUGCACCCUCCUUCGAGCACCCAGAAACCUUUAUUGUCUUUGACUUACUUACUUUGCCUAGCCUGAAUAUGUGUGUUUGUAUUCUGCUUGUGUUUGUGUUUUUUUGAUAUACUUCUACAAUGGAUUACAAAGCUUUGUACCCCUAGGCACCUUCAAACCUCUUAUAGGAGACCUUCAUGUAUACCUCCCGUGAGCUUAUAAUGGCCCUUAGAAAGGGUGAAUGCAAGUUUAGCAAAGAGAAUGAUAGAUCUUUUAGGAUAAUCCCAUGUAGGGAGGAUGAACCCGUCUACUGUGAUGAGUCGUCGGAUCCUAAGGGUCCAUUCAGUUAUUUUUAUACCACCGUGUUUAAAAGGAUUCUUCUUCGUCUAUCCCCUGCCUAGCUACACCCAAACAACUAGGCAUUUGUUCGGGGCUACAUUAUCCUCUGCACACAAUUUGGCCUUUUUCCCAUCUGUUGAAGUCUUUUUGUAUUUGUUUGAGGCCAAACACCUAGGCUGUCAGCUUUGGGUAAUGAGGUGUCUGGAAGGGCACUAUUGUCACUCUUCCAACAGUCUUAUAAGGGCUUUAAAGGUAAAUUUUUGAAGAUAUGCUGCAACAAAAGGGAUCAAACCUUUCUGGAUGGGUUUUUAUUGUAUUGGACUGAAAAAUCGCGCUUCCAAGGUGCUCGGCGCCUGGAAGAUCUGCCUCAGCGCGACUAGGAGGCCUGCCAAUUCUUGUUGAGCUUAAAGGUGGUCUUCGAUACUUCCUUUCUCAUAAGCAGAGAGUUCACCCUCGGGGCUCUAAAGUCUUAUAUUGGUACUCUUCAUUCCCUACUCUUGAUAGGGCUAACUUUGCUAUUGUUGCUAACUACUUCUUGUCCUCUUUCGUAGAUAGUAUGUUGGCUAGGAUUGACAAGAAAGAGUAGGCGAACACGACCAAGAGGAUGAGGGCGGCUGCUCAAGUGCCUCAGGAUCUUAAGCUCAAAGCUCCAACCACUGUCGUUCCAGCCUCUACUGAAGAUGAUGAGGAAACGAAUUAUGGGUUGGUCUUCAAAAGUAAGAGGAAAGACAUAGCCGCCCCUAUCGAGCAUUCCCACUCAAAUGGGUGGGCUCCUUCCUACCGCGCUCCCUCAGCAAGUCCAACCCUGCCAUGCGACAUGAUGGUGGUGCAAGAGGAAGAGGGAAUGAGCUCCAGGGGAAAGGGUUUAUGGGACCUUGACUUGGACGUCCCCUCCUUCCUUGAGAAGACCCUUCUACCCAACGAGGAGAAGGAGAAACUCAUAACCCUCGAGGAAGAUCGCUUGGUGCACGAAACCAUGAGGCAACUGGGGCAAGCCCUUGCUGCAAGUUUCUUUCUCGUCACUAAGUUAAAAGAUUGGAGGGUCGGCGGGUCAAAAGGCUCAAGAGAUUGUUGAGCUCCAUAAAGGAAUGGAGAAUCUUCAAGCCAAGCUUCGGCAAUCCAAACUCCUACGCCAAGAAAUGGAGAGUCUUCAAGCAGAGCUUCAGCAAUCCAAACUGCUACAGAAGGAAACUGAAGCCCUAUUGACUGAGAAGGCUAAGGAGGCCUCGAGCUUGACUAAGGAAAAGGAGAAAGUCUUGGCAGAGGUUGAAAAGAUCAAGGAAGAACUAGCAUUAAAAGAUGAGGGCAUUGCCAAAGAGAAAGAAGCCUUCAAGAACGAUGCCCCUCAAUCCUACCUUGUAGGGUUUGACGAGGCUGUCGAGCAAGCCUCGGGCCUUCAUCCCGAAAUCAAUUUCUCCCAACUUGGCCUGGGUAAGACCGUGAUCAACAGGCAGCUUGUGGAGGAGUAGCCUAGUCUCCAUCUUUCAUGUAACUCAUAAUGCUUUGAACACUUUGAACAAUAUUGCACAUUUUCUUUUAUAAGCACUUUUUAUCCAUGCAUGUUAACAACAACUUUAUUUACUAAUCUAGCUAUUUAACUUAGUAAAUUUCGACUAGCGUAGCUAACGUAUACUUCAUUAUUUAACUUAGUGAAACAUGAUUAGCAUAAGUUUAAUAUCUAUUGAUAACAUACCAAUCAAAUACUUAUGCCAACCCUCCGAGCUAAAAUGACAACAGACUCAAUGUAUAAACCAAGUAUGAAAAAUCACGGUGCUCUUAAAGAACUAACCUUUUUAUGAACAUUUUUACCCCCUAAGCAGGAGUCAUAUACUUUGACCUUGCUAGCCAUGGCUUCACAUACUCGAAGAGCUGCACCUUUCUAAGCUUGGUCUUCUCAACCUGCGCUAAGAAUGAUUCAUCUAUCUUCUUGAAACAUCUAACCCAGGUGGUCGCUUACACACCAAGUCAACUCCAUUUUAGCCCAAACAAUCACCUUCACCACACAUUACUUAAUCACUCCACAAAGUGCUCGAAUUCAGGUGAUCGUCCUCUCGACAGACUACCCUGACUUCUUAGAUAAUUUAGUCUCAAUACUCAUCUGCAGAGCGCUCGAACUCGGGUGGUCAUACCGACGCCGAGGUAGGUCAUAUUACCUGCCUAUAGAUGACCAAUUUUUACAUAGAGCGCUUGCUCAGGUCAUCUCACCGAGAGAGGUUGAUAUGAAUCCACUAGCAAAGAAGAGAUGAUUCUUUGACAUUCUAUGGACUCAACUUGAGUUGGAGAUAGCUUAGGCACUUAUAAUAGAAUUGGAUCAAGGUUCUAUGUUUCAAGAACUCACCAAGACUUGCACCAAACACCAAACUCAUAUGGAGGAGCCAUCUAUUGUCAAUUGAACCGAACAAAUUGUGUAAAAAGGCAAAGACACCGAUUAAAACUCUUAAGAAAGCCAAUGAACCGAACAGAAUUAUGAAAAGAAGCUACUGAACUGGAUUAAAACAAAAUCAAAUGAAAACAACCGAACAAAAGUGCAAGGAAAGGAAGAUGAACCGAACAAAAGAAACUAAGACAUGUUUAAGCUUCAUAUAAAAUGGAGAUGAAAGAAAGAAGAACUUAUGGAGAUNNNNNNNNNNNNNNNNNNNNNNNNNNNNNNNNNNNNNNNNNNNNNNNNNNNNNNNNNNNNNNNNNNNNNNNNNNNNNNNNNNNNNNNNNNNNNNNNNNNNGGGUGGAUGUCCUCUUCCUUCAUUAAUAAAAGCCUCCUUUAUUUGAUUCUCAUCAUACUCCUCGAGUUGGAGAGAAUUCGUCCAUGAAUUAUGAAUCCCUGCAUAUAACAAAGUCAGUUUAUUUUUACAAUUAAAAGUGGAAGAAAAAGGUAAACAUGACUUAGCAUUUGUAAACAAUGGGAUUUCAGAAAAGGAGGUUCUAGAAAUCGACCAAGUUGGAAAAAUUUGUUUGGGAAUGAUGUUAUGUUUUGGAAAAAUACCUCUUAAAUGGUGACAACCAUUAGGAGGUAUGAACAAAUCAUCCCUAACAUUUUUUAACCAAGAUGGUGGUGAAGUAAGAACCUUUGGUAAUGAAAAAGAUAAGGAAGGAAAACACCUUGGAUGUGGAAGGAUAAGACCCAUGUCAAUUUGGCCUUCUCUGUCUUUUUCAUUUUUACUUGUGGUAGGUGGGUGAAUUAAGUCUUGUUUUACUUUGUUUAUCUUUAAGAUUUGCUUUUGUGGACAAUGAAGAGCUAUGUGCCCAAAACCUAAACAUUUAAAACAUUUGAUAUUUGAUGUUUUGGUAGGUGACUUAGGAGUAGAAAGAUUUGUAGUAGAAACAUUUUUUGGAAACAUGGUUUGUUUGGAAAAAUUGGAAGGAGAAAUAUAAGUAGAAAUUUUGUUUGCAUCCUUCCUAUAAGAGUUGUAGAAAUCAUCAUCAUGAGUAUUUUUGAAAGUUUUUUCCAAAAGAUAUGAUUCCACCUUGAUGGCUUUGCGAAACACUCUCUUUAAAGAAGAAUAUUCUUUUAAUUCUACAAAGUCUCUAAUAUCUCUUCUCAAACCACGUACAAACCAUUUAAUCUUUGACUCUUCAUUAGCAUGCAUAUUCAUUUUAGUCAAAGUUGUUUCAAAAUCUUUAAAGUAUUCAUCUACCAUCCUAUGUCCUUGAGGAAGCCUUUGGAACUUCAACAAGUGUUCCUUCCUAGAAGGAGGAACAAACCUCGCGCGCAUACGCUCUUUCAAAGCAUUCCAAGAAACCACGGGAGGUUUCUUGCGAUAUAUAAUGUCCAUUACAAUUUUAUGCCACCAUUCUUUGGCAUAGCCCAAAAAGGAUAAAGAAACUAACCUAAGUUUAUCGUCAUCUUGGACCUUAUACACAUGAAAAUAAUGGUCAACCUUAGUCUCCCAUUCUAAAUACACAUUAGGAUCACUAUCACCAUUAAAACUAGGGACUUGUCCACAAGAAAUGUUGAACACUUGGUGAUAUCUUUGGUCACGUGAUGUGAUUCCACUAGCCAUAUAGAGAAAGGUUCUUGACCUUCUUAGGAAUCACCUUGAGUUGGACAUUAUAGAGGCACUUUUCUUAGAGUUGGAUCAUUGUUCUAAGACAAGAACUCACCAAAAACUAGUACCAAAUCCCAAACUCAUUUGGAUGAACCAAUUAUAGUCAAAUUGAACCGAAUAAGGUGGAAGAAAAAGCAAUUGCACCGAACAUAUUACUUAUAGAAUGAAUUGCACCGAACAAAUGAGCUAGAAAAACAAAGGAACAAGAUGAAUGGGCUGAAAUAUAAAACUGCCGAACCAAAACUCAUAAAAAACAGCAUGAACACCAAACCAAAACUCAAGAACACAAGCUAACAAAAACAAUAGAAAGAGGAGGAAGGAAGGAGAAGAGAGUGCUCAUGAAGAUGGAAGGAUGUUGGAUGAUCUCGCCACUAGAAGUGUGGAAUGCUCCUAGAUAAGAGUGAUGCCGCCACUUGAGGACUCCAUUGAUCCAUCAAGAUAAGACUAGAGAAGAGGGCUCCAAAAGCUCUCCAAAGUUCACUCAAAAUUUGAGUAGAGUUUUCUUAGAUUAAUUCCAAUCUAAAUUUUACAAAGAGAGCACCUCUAUUUAUAGCCUAAGGUGCUGAAAAUGCAAGCUAAAACAAUUCAAAUUUCCCCCCUAAAUUCAAAUGCAAGUGGCGCCUAAACCAAGACAUGAGGAAGGUGUGAUCCCUUCUCUCACUUUGGCACCUCCUUAUUUACUCCUACACCUAUCUACUAACACACCCCCCCUAAGACUCCUAACUAAAGACUAAAAGAUGCUUUAACAAUAGAGGUUUCUAAUGUUUCCCUCUAAGCAGCUUUCUAAACAAUAUUUAUUUAAAACUUGGCCUUGCCCUUCAUGGGAUGGUCUUUGGGCUUUUGUGGGCUUUGGCCUUCUUGGGCUUGGGCUUUAUCUUUUGCAAAGAUUAACAAGAAAAGCUUUAAAUGUGAAGGCGAAUGAUCUUGUUCUUCAUUAUAAAAAGCCACCUUUAGUUGAUUCUCAUCAUCACGGUUAUGGCUCUCUUCAUAAGAAUGAUGGUGAUGCUUCCUUCUUCUAUGUUCCUCUUCACGGCCUUCUUGGGCUUGGGCUUGGGCUUUGGGCUUGGGCCUCAUCUUUAUUUUAUGUCUUCUUUUAAUUUUGAGAAGACUAGAAGGAAGAACUUCAAAUGUGAGGGUGGAUGUCCUCUUCCUUCAUUAAUAAAAGCCUCCUUUAUUUGAUUCUCAACAGAGGUCGCCUUACUUGCUUUACCUGAACCACAUUGAACUUUAGAGCGCCUGAACUCGAAGUCUUACCAAGAAAAGGUCGCCUUACUUGAAUCACGGAUAAACCACUCGUACAUAGAGCGCCUGCUUAGAUAAUUUCAUCGAGACAGGUUGUCUUACAUGGCAUUAAACAAUCAGUUAUACACACAUGGCGCCUACUCGGAUGAUCUCACCGAGGCAAGUCGUGUUAUCGUGAAUAAACAAUUCUAAUGCACCAUCUUUCAAGAACAAUUUUUCAUUGGGUGACCUCGUUAAAAAACCCUUUAAAGGGAAAAAUAGUGUCCCCUUAACCAUUACAUCGUUCAUAAAGAAAGCAUUAUCAAAAUGUAUUACUUGAAAUAAAAUUUAAGAUUCACCCCAUUCCAUGUUCGAGGUAUAGCUCCCCCCUCGAGGGUUUCAAGCCUGUAAGCUCCGUUCCCGAGCGCCUCUACUACGUGAAUGGGCCAGUCCACGUUGGAGAUAACUUAUUCUCCAGCUGAUAGGGGUGAGCCUUUCGCAUCACCAAGUCGGCAACCCGAAACUGACAAAGCUUUUACUUGGUCUUUUGCUCCACCCUUCUCUUCAAAGCCUCAAAAUUAAUGCAAGCUUGUUCAUGCACUUCAUGUAGCUGAUCCAGGUACACCUUCCUUCCUUAGUUUGACUCCUCAUUUAAUGUGGCCCUCUUGGAUCUCUACUAGUAUCAUGGUGUCUAACCCAUAUACCAAACUGAAGGGUGUCUCCUUAGUCGUUGACUGAUGAGUAGUGUUAUAAGCCCACAAAAUACGAGGAACUUCUUCCGACCAAGUUUCCUUGGCCUUCUCCAAUCUCCUCUUCAACCCUCUUAGUAAGACUUUGUUGGCAGACUCAACCUGGCCAUUCGUCUGAGGGUGUUCCAGCGAGGAAAAUAUCUGUUUGAUGUCGAGCUUCAUGCAUAGCUUGCAUAACUGUUGACUUGCGAACUGGGUUUCGUUGUUGGACACCAAGUGUCUAGGGAUCCCAAAAUGGCAUACAAUGUUCUUCCACACAAAAUGCUACACCUUGUGAGUAGUUAUUUGUGCGACUGGCUCGACCUCAAUCCAGUUUGUGAAGUGUUCAAUGGCUACCACGAGGUACUUCAGUUGAUGAAUUGCCAAAGGGAAAGGACCCAAGUUGUCUAUCCCUCAGGUAUGGAAGGGCCAUGGUAGAUGGAAUGCCACUCCUCAACUGCUGCGUGGUGCCAAUCAGCGUGCUUCUGACACUCCUUGCAUCGUUGUGCAUGCCUCAUGCAAUCCUUCUUCAUGGUCGGUCAAUAAUACCCAACUCGAACGAUCUUCAACGAGAGAGCUCUUCCUCCGACAUGACUGAUAAGUGCCUAAUUUCAGUAAUAUUUUAUAUUAAAAUAUAGGCACUUAUGAGGAUUUAUUGCUAAUUUACAUAUAAAAUAAUCCCUAAUUUAUGAAUUUAUACCUUUUUACAUUUUUAUGAGCUUUAUUUGAAUAAAAGCAUUUUAUUCCCAAAUUUGGUGUUAAUUGCAGAUUUCUAGGGAAGAUUGAAGAUUUGAAAUAAAGGAGAAUAAUUUGAGCUAAAAAGAUAAAGCCGGAAGAUCCCAGAAUGGAAAAAGAUGCAAAGAAAGAUUGAGCUUUUUUUAUGUUUUAUCAUUUAGCCCAUUAGCGCGACACAGGAAGCAACCUAACCCUAGAAAACUAGGAUAAAUAGAGGGCUAGAGGCUCAACCCUAGUGUGCCAGAUUGAGAGGAAAACACCAUAGAGUGAAUUGUAACCCAAUUGGGAGAAUGGAAGGUGCUAGAAGUAUGCGUGGCUAAUUCUACCUUUGGGAUUGGGAGUAAUCUGUUCAAACUCUUAUGUAUUGAGGUGAUAUCUUAUAUAUUAAUAUUCAGUUCUUGAUUGAUUAUUGGUAUUGUUGUUUUACUUUUAAUUUUCCGUGACAAGUUGAGAAUCUUAAAUAUGACCGGGAGGUAUUUUUAGGGUUCGGACCUAAACAACAAUACUUAACAUAUUUGAGUGCUAGGAAUAGACUUGAAAUGUUAAUUGCUAUUAAACGUCUGAGCUUCAUUCUAAGUUGUUCUUAUAAUUAUGCGAGGGAUCGAUAGUUAGGGGACAUUCUUAAGGAUUUUAUGUGCGAGGAAUCGAUAUAAAUGAUUUUUAUACGGGCAUCAAUUUCAAUCAAAGAACUUAAUAUUGACAUGCUAAUCAAAAUACUUGAGAGUGAGAGAGAUGAAACUAAUCCUUAUUUUUCCAAUUGAAACAACUAAUUCUUUGUCUGUUUUCUUAUUGAUCAGUGCCAACACAAUUAAUUCAAAACUCUUUUAAUUGUUCUGUUUUUAUAUUUAGCGAUUAUUGUACUCGAUAAUUCACGGUUCCUUGUGGGAUCGAUAUUCGUCCUUAGGGACAAUUAUUACUUCUGACAAACGUGGUGCACUUGCCUUAAAAAGUCAUCAAUGACUCUCACAAAUGCCUUCGUGGAGCUCCUUCAUGAUGCGGGUACACUGAUCCCCACUUACAUAAGUGAGGAUGGGUAGGUAUAACCAUGACGAAACAAUUUCCCAUCUACAAGGGUAUACUUCUCCUCAUUCCUCUUAAAUGCCUUUGCCUCUGUAGGUUCUGCAGGGAGCAUACCAUCAACUAGAUAGCGUUGGUAGGGAGUUAUCGAAGUCUUCAUCGUGUGGACCAGCAGGGCCUUCAGAGACUCAUCUCCCAACAAGUCAUAGGUGGUUAUUCUUGGCACUUUUAAGGUCUUCUGUGUCAACGACCGAUGCCUUCUCCCUUGUUGCGAGCUCACCCCCAAGAUCUUUACGCGGUUGUCCUCGGGUAGCCCCCCGACAGUUGUCCUAGGUGACUUCAAGGUCUCCAGAAUGACUGACCUCUGUCGGCCUCCCUUUCCCGAGCUUGCUAGUUUGGACAACAAGUCAUCUCGAGAGUUUUGUUCUCUUGGGACAUGCACUAGCUUAAACAUGGAGAAAGUUGCCUUCAGAAGUGAUCCUGCCGGUUGACUUAGCACAAGAGCGUUGCUUCGUCACCGUCUUCCCCACCAGCUUGUCACCACGUGUCCUCCAAGCCCAUACAGCAGAUAACCUCUCUGAGAACCUGAAAAACACACAGUGGCGCCUCGGCGGCCGGUGGCGCUCCGACGCUCAAGUUAGUGACAAGAACACCCAAAAAACUAAGAGAAAAAUAUGCUUUGUAGGACCGUACUGUAGGCACACAACCCUAGCAGUAUCAGCCGUAAUGAAAACGUACCUCUGCAAAUUCUGUUAAGGUUACCUUUAUAGCUAGGUUUCUUCUCUCUCCAGGCCGUUAUGCUUUUGGACGAGUAGCUCGCAUCCAGCCCUGCACGUGUCGCCAUCUGGGCUGGGAUAACAGGUAGCGCCCAGCCCUACACGUGUCGUCAUCUGAGCUAAGGCAACUUGAGCGUCAUUUCUCCAUCGCUCCCAACCCUAGACGUGUCUUCAUCUAGGUUGGAGUAACUGGUGACAUCCAACCCUACACGUGUCAUCAUCUGGAUUGGGACAACUUGAACGUGAUUCUUGUGUAGUAACCAGCCGCACAGCUAAGUCCUCAACUCAAGGAGCAACCUAGCACAUAAUGUGCUGUGAAACACCACCCGACAUGGCGAGUAUCGGAUGCAACAAAGUGCAUCAUCUCUAUGAUAUCGCUCGCCGCGAAUGGCACCCUCCUUACUGCUACGCCAUGCAUGUUCUAGCUGGGGAAACCUUGCCACCAACGAAUGUCCACUCUGGGAAUCCUGUCGCUGAUGUGCAAGGUGUUCCCCCCAACCCACUCGACCUUCAUGCCCCAUGCUGGUGCCACAAUCGUCUUACUGAACUUACACGCUUGGAAUUACCCUUCUGAGCCUUCAACAGCCUUAACUAAGUUCGCUGGGAGACCCGGCGAUGUGCUCCUUGUGGCGGCGUGUAAACCACCCGAUCUCCUAGCAUUCUCAUAUGGCGACUGCGACGUAACUCUGGUGACCGCCGGUUACGCACACUAGAGAUCGGAGAACGCCAAUUCAGCGAUCGGCGACUAUGCCCACUUCCGAGCCAUUCAUCUUUUCUAGCCUACGCGUUCCAUUGAGCACGCCCCACUCGAGCACGUGCAAGACACGUCAUCACGCCUGAUGACCUGGUCGGUACACAAGCCUCUUAGUCUCGAGCUGCGACUUGUUCGACGAGGAGACUAAAGAGGUUUAAAAUCCGGCAGCUUUCGUGACUUUGCGCGUUGGCGCUAGAACUGUUUACUGACUUGACAUUUCACCAACUCCUUCGAUCGUUCGACACAUGGACCCAUCAACGGCCAUUGUUCGCUGUCGUUUGCGCUUCCUACAACGUUCGAAACCCUUAAACCCUUCGCGCUAUUCACUGUUUCAUUAUCUUUCUUCACCUUCAAGCAUUCUGAACGCUCUCUCUGCGAACUGCGAAACCUACGCCUCCCUCAAUCUUCAACUUCUUUCAACACUCAUCUGAUCAUCAAAAGGUAACUCUUUUACUCCUUCUACUGAUACUUGUUGCAUUUUAAUCGGUUUGCAUCAUCCAUUAACUCUCGCUCGUUCGUUUUGUCUUCUUUGUCUUCGAUCGAGUCAUUCUUUUGCUAUCCUCAUUUCCUCCCUUUUCUUUCCUUUGCAGUUCCUGCGAUGGCUCAGACAAAGUCCACCGCUAACCCACCUUCCUCAUCGCGAAACCCUCCCCCCAAUACUCGUAGGGUUACCACUGGGACAAACCCUCCACCAACACGCAACCCCCCACGAGCCUCUGGUGCCCCUUCCUCACACGCUGAGAGGCCUGCCUCAUCCCGUGCCAAUCUUACCCAAGCAACUCCACCACAGGCCGGGGGAGUCUCCCUUCCUUCUCAAGACUACAAAAAGCUCUACCCUUGGGCCUCCCCGAUUCUACUGAAGGAAACUUCAUCGAUAAAUACUGAUGUGGGGGUACAUCGNNNNNNNNNNNNNNNNNNNNNNNNNNNNNNNNNNNNNNNNNNNNNNNNNNNNNNNNNNNNNNNNNNNNNNNNNNNNNNNNNNNNNNNNNNNNNNNNNNNNNNNNNNNNNNNNNNNNNNNNNNNNNNNNNNNNNNNNNNNNNNNNNNNNNNNNNNNNNNNNNNNNNNNNNNNNNNNNNNNNNNNNNNNNNNNNNNNNNNNNNACCAAGCUCAACAUCGCCCCUGCCCAGCUCCAUCCCAACAGCUGGGCAUUCGUGAGGGCGUUCCAGAUCCUUUGCGCGCACUUGGGGCUACCAUCUUCGGUGGAUGUCUUCCUCUUUUUGUUCGAGGCAAAGAAUCCUGGAGAUCGCCCCUGGGUCAGCCUGAACGGGAUUGCUGGGAGGUCAAUCCUCUCCAUCUUCCAGCAAUCCUACAAAGACUGGAAGGGGAAGUUCGUCAAGGUGUGCCAGAAUGAUCAAGACCCUUCACUGCUUGACAGCUUCCCCUUGUAUUGGGUAAACAAGGGGCACAAGGACCCCAAAGACAACUUCAGGAGACCAAGAAGUCCUGACAACAUGGGGGAGUUGGACAAAGACCUUUGUCUCUUCUGGAAGAGUGUGGCUUCUGCCAACAUCACCUUCCCCACUGCUCAGAUAAUCUCCUUUGAAUUCCUUGAGGACCAACUCGAAAUGUACAUAGGUUAGCCCCUUUCCCAACACCAAAACUCUCACUUUGCGUUAAAACUGACUUAGCAUUUUUACCAUUCUGUCUUCGGCAUUCCAUUAUUCUUUAUUGGCCUUGAUCAUUCAUCCAUGUGCUAUUCGCUUAUGUUAUCUUUGUAUGUAUAUACUUGCAUGUUCUGCUUCCACUUGAGUUACUCAUCUAUUUUUACCUUGUGCAGACGCAAUGUUGGGCAAAGGAAAACUGGCUGAAUUGAGGGCGAUCGCCCGAUCCCACAAACUUGCGGCGGGCUCUCAAACGAUCCCGAACUCUGUUGCGGAGAUCGCCGCCGCCCAGGGCCAAUCCCCACCAGUUGGUCCACCCGCUGCUGUCGCUCUUCCAGCCCCCCUACGCAAAAAACUACCUCUUAAGAAGGCCAAAAGGAAAGCCCCUAGGGUAGUAUCUGACGAAGAGGCGGACGAAAGCACCGAGGACGGGCUAAUCUGCAAAAGGUCCAGGGUGGCGGUUACCGAGCCCUCAGCAAUUGGGAGCGCCGCUCCAAACUUCAUCGAGGACCCCCCCAGCGCCUCCACACCAUUCGAGUCCGCUGGGGAUGUUCUCGUUUCAAACGCUUCAGUUGCUGAGGCCGCUCCUGAGCAACUCGCUGAUACGCAAGCCUCCUCAGAAGCUGCCGAGAAGCUGCGUGCCUUACCACCACGCCUCGAAGCUCCCCCCGCCGUCCAACCUUGUGAGGGUGGUGGUGAACACCAACCUUCGCCUCCACCAGCAAAUUCAGGCCUCCCAGCCGCUCUUCAAGAAGCUUUCAAGUCCUUCACCGUGUGCCUAAGUGCCAUGGUUGACGAUUGUCUUCCCCAAAUCAUCGGCGAAGGGCUCAAAGACUCCUUGGAGAAGUUUGAGCUCGACAACCGGAUCAACCAAGAGGUGACAAGCACCGCGAAAGCUGAAGCCGAAAAAACCAAGUGCGACAUGAUGAUGCAAGGCUUGGAGUUUUUACGAGUUGAAAACGCCCUCAAGGACGAGCUCCAGAGCGUGCGGCAAGAUAACAAAGAGCUGCGCAAGAAGCUUCAUGAAAAACUCCAAGACGCUGUCGAGCUGGAGAGCAAGAUCGUCCCUCUGAGGGAGAAAAUUUCCGCGCUGGAGGAGGCAAAGAAGACUGACGCUCAGAAGAUGGUCAACCUAGAGAAGAGGUCAAUCGAGAGAGAGACCCUUAUGGGAAAGGUUGAGCAAGAUCGUGAUAAGGCCUCCCAAGAACUCAGUGAAACUGCUGCUGAGCUAGCUCGAGUUCGCGAGGAGAACAGCGAGCUCAAGAAGAAGGCCGACAAGCUCGAGCUUGAAGUCACCCAGGUUCGUGAAGAGAACAGUGGGUUCAAGACGAAGAUCAACGAGCUUCAGCUUGAGGCUGCCCAGGUUCUAACUUCCGGCUUUGGCGUUGCUUUAGAGCAGUUUGCUUGCAAAUAUCCUGACCUCGAUCUUUCUGAGUUCUCGGUGUACAACGAAGUGGUGGACAGCAAAAUCGUGCCCCCGAUUGACUUAUCUCCUUGAAAACUCUUAUGCUUUACCUUGGUCUGUAAUAAUUUUCAUUUUGUUCAAACUGUUCGAUGCUCGUAUGCACAUAUAUACAUAUAUAUAUAAUCUUCUAAUUUAUCUGCUGCACAAUCAACUGGUUUAACUAACAUAACUGGCGAAACUUACUCGGCUGCAUGAACUCAGCAAUACUUGAACUUAACCCUUCACAUACCGCUUCUGACUCGAGUAAAUUGCUAACCUUAUGACAAACUUAGCGAGCUAUUAACUCAAAGUAAAUUUGAGCAGCAAUCAACUCUCCGGCAAUGGCACUCAAUAAAACUUGUGAACUUAGGGUAACAAACCUUAACAUAAAAUCACUUACUAUGCAGCAGGUUUUAACUCAAACUAGUAUUAAAAUACAGUUUACCUGAUCUGCUAAGUGAAGUGCCCAUUACUUCCCUCAUUGCCUGGAACUCUUCUAGUCUGGCACUCGCCAUACAACCCCUCCACUGUCUCAACCUUCACGCCAUAGGGUUCUGGCGAUGUUACCUUUCUUCUUUGUAUAACUUGAUCAUUGUUCUCUCAUCUGGGGGUAAAGGCGCCUUUCGGAUCCUUCUCUACCUCCUGAGUUUUAGAACAAUGAUCUGGAUAGCGAGGUGUUCUCUUCGAACCUACCUCAGUUAUCCUUUAUCUUCUUCCACCCUUCACACCGCACCUGAGAUCGUUCAAGACGAGAAGGAUUUUAUCUAUCUUCACACCGCCCGCAAGUGCGGAAGCUUUAUAUGGUCUUACUGGGUCAAUAUUGAUGUUUCACUUAAAGGGGAAAAAGGCGUUUUCCAUCGACCUUCCCUUCUUGCCGUUUAAGGUCACAAACACCCCUGACUUUUCAGUUUCAUCUUGCCUGAACUCACUCUGGGGUGAGAAGGACUUUCUCUGGUGCCUCAACUUGCCCAGGGUGUACAUCUCCUCCCCCCUGGAUGCACUGAGGACUUUUAAUCUUGCCUCAAUCUACUUAUGCAAAGAGGCCUUUCAAUCUGUUCUUGCCUUCACUCGCUCAAAGGCGAGGAGGACUUCUUCUAUUUCUCGCCUGCACUCGCUCAAGGGCGAGGAGGACUUCUUCUUUUGCCUUAAAAUGCACGAGGGCGUUGAGGGCUUUUUACACUACUGGUGCCUCCGAUCGCCGAAAGACGAUGAGGUCUUAAAACUUUUAACUGUUGUCACCGAUCGCCAAAAACGACGGGGACUUUAAAACCUUUACUACUGAAGCAUGCAAUAUGACUUUAAUGUUGCCCUAGAUCACGUACGAGUGAUAAGGUCCUUUUUUUUCUAAAACUUUCGAAGCAAUAAGCAUGCAAACUUGGAAGCUUUAAACUUGAAAAACUCUUCUUUAUUGGGUGGCCUCAUUAAAAACCCUCCUUAGGGAAAAAAGAGUGCCCCCUUGAAAUUGUUUUAACAGAAACUAUUCCAAUCUCGUCAUGUUCGUCUUUACUUACAAGGCUUUAACUGUAAUACAACUUGAGAUGUGUGGCGUUCCAAGUGCGAGGAAUCGCCCCUCCUUCUAACGUCUCCAAGCGGUAGGCGCCAUUCCCGAGCACCUCGGUUAUUCUGAAUGGUCCCGUCCACUUAGGCGACAACUUGUUCUGCAUCUCAUACUGAUGGGCCUUCCUCAUCACCAGAUCGCCACUUCUAAACUGCUUUGUCAUUACCUUAGAGUUGUACCUUCGCUCAAUUCUUCUCUUUACUGCUUCGGCCUUCACUCUCGCCUCCUCCCUGACCUCAUCCAGCAAAUCCAGAUUCAUUCUUCUUUCUUCGUUCGAGUCUUCCGCCACAAAGUUCUGGAAUCUCGGCGAGCUUUCCUGGAUUUCGACUGGAAUCAUCGCAUCACAUCCAUAAACCAAACUAAACGGGGUCUUGUGGGUUCCUGACUGCUCAGUGGUAUGGUAUGCCCAAACUAUGCGGGGUACCUCUUCAGCCCACGAUCCUUUAGCUUUUUCUAAUCUUCUCUUUAAACCUCUCAGCAACACCCGAUUGGCAGACUCCACUUGGCCAUUCGUCUGUGGGUGCUCGACGGAUGCAAACACCUGUUGUAUUCCCACCUCUUCGCACAACUUUUUCAAAAGGUGACUUACAAACUGAGUCCCAUUGUCUGACACCAGGCGUUUAGGCACACCAAACCGGCACACUAUGUUCUUCCAUACAAAGCUCUCGAUCUUGUGUGCGGUGAUCUGGGCCACUGGCUCCGCUUCGAUCCACUUGGUGAAGUAUUCGAUCGCCACUACCAAGUACUUCAUCUGCCUGACCGCCAGUGGGAAGGGUCCCAAAAUGUCAAUUCCCUAAGUAUGAAACAGCCAGGGGCUGUAAAUUGACUUCAGCUCUUCUGGGGGUGCCUUGUGCCAAUCGGCUUGCUGCUGGCAUUGCUUGCAACGCUGGGCGUAUUUCUUGCAAUCUUCUCUCAUCGUGGGCCAGUAAUAGUCUGCACGGAUAGUCCUUGUCGCCAGCGAUCGACCUCCAAUGUGGCUCCCGCAAAUUCCCUCAUGGAGCUCAGCCAUAAUCCUCGUGCACUUCUCUCCGUGUAUACAUACAAGAAGAGGGUGUGUAAAUCCAAACCUGUACAGCUCGCCGUCAAUAAGGGUAAACUUGCUGGAGCUCUUCUUUAUCCUUCUGGCCUCAGUUGAGUCAACUGGAAGCACACCAUCUGCUAAAUAACGUUGGUAAGGCGUUAUCCACGUGUCUGGUUCGUGGACAGCGCAAACCUGCAUCGGUCUUGCCCUUUCCGCUGGGCGCGCUCUAACCCUCGGCACCCUCAGAGUUUCCUACGUUAGGGAUCUAUGACUUCUCGCCGGUCUUCCCAUUGAUCUACAAACAUGGAGAACUUGGUGGUCUGCCACGAAUGCUCGAGGCGCUUUCAAAGUUUCUUGAAUGACAGUCCUCUGCCUGCCCCCUUGCCCGAACUGGCGAGCUUGGCUAGCAAGUCAACUCGAGCAUUCUGCUCUCUUGGCACGUGCACCACUUCAAAUGACAUGAAAGAUCUCCUUAGCUCUUGCACGUACUCCAAGUAGGCUGCCAUUUGUGGGUCCUUGGCUUGGAACUCGCCAGUUACUUGUCCGGUGACCAACAACGAAUCGCUCUUGGCCAUCAGCACCCUCGCCCCCAUUUCCUUAGCCAGCAGAAUUCCGGCGAUCAAAGCCUCAUACUCUGCUUGGUUGUUGCUUGCUUUGAAAGCAAACCUCAAUGAUUGCUCUAUCAACACUCCGUUGGGCCCUUCCAAAAUGACCCCCGCCCCGCUGCCCAGCUGGUUGGAUGACCCAUCAACUGAGAGUACCCAGCGAAAGUCACCCUCGGCGUUCUGUGCCACCUCAGAGGACAACUCGACCACGAAAUCGGCGAAAACUUGUCCUUUGAUCGAUCCCCGGGGUUCAUAUCUGAUGUCGAACUCCGAAAGAUCGACUGCCCACUUCACCAUCCUUCCAGCCACAUCGGGCUUCUUCAAAACCUUCUGGAUUGGCAGAUCGGUCAUGACCAGUACCGUGAAGCUCUGGAAGUAAUGGCGCAAUCUCCUCGCCGAGAAUACAACCGCCAAUGCUGCCUUUUCUAGGGCCUGGUACCUUACCUCCGGGCCUUGCAACACCUUGCUAACGAAAUAUAUAGGCCUUUGGAUCUGAUCCUGAUCUUGCACCAGCACUACGCUGAUCGCCCUCUCAGUUAUGGCAAAGUACAGCCCGAGCGGUGUCAUGAGUUGGGGCUUGCACAGAACUGGAGGGCUCGCCAAAUAUUCCUUGAGCUUUACGAAGGCCUCCUCACACUCCUUUGUCCAAACAAACCUGUGGUCCUCUUCAAACAUUGGAAGUAUGGGUGGCCCUUCUCUCCGCUUGCCGAUACGAAUCGGGACAGGGCGGCCAUCCGCCCUGUGAGUUGCUGCACCUCCUUCACAUUGGCGGGGCUCCUCAUUGCCAAAAUGGCGGCGCACUUCUCGGGGUUAGCCUCAAUUCCCCUCUCUGACAGGAGAAACCCCAGAAAUUUCCCUGCUUCUACACCAAAAACGCACUUUUCAGGAUUCAGUUUUAGCUUGUACCUGGCUAUCGUGAUGAACAACUCUUCCAAGUCUGCGACGUGCUUGUCUUUCUCCAGGGACGUCACGACCAUGUCGUCGAUGUAUGCUUGUACAUUCCUUCCGAGCAUGGGUGCAAGCACCUUGUCCAUCAGCCUUUGGUACGUAGCCCCUGCAUUCUUCAACCUGAAGGGCAUUAACUUGUAGCAAUAACAUGACCUUUCCGUCAUGAAGGCGGUCUUCUCUUCGUCCAUGGGGUGCAUUUUGAUUUGGUUGUACCCCGAGAAGGCAUCCAGAAAACUGAGCAGCUUGCACCCUGACGCACUGUCUACCAGGGCGUCUAUGAUUGGCAAAGGGUAAGAGUCCUUCGGGCAGGCCUUGUUCAGGUCCGUAAAGUCAACGCACAUCCGCCAUUUUCCGCUGCUCUUCUUGACCAGGACAACAUUAGCGAGCCAUUCUGGAUAUUGGAUUUCCCUGAUGUGGCCUGCUGCAAGGAGUUUCUAUGUCUCUUCUUUGAUCGCCUGCCUCUUCUCCUCAUUGAACUUUCUUCUUCUUUGGCGUAUCGGCCUGAUCUAGGGGUCCAUUGCCAAACGAUGGCACAAAAAAUCGGGAUCGAUUCCCGGCAUAUCUGAAGCAGCCCACGCAAACGCAUCCAAGUGUCUACUUAUCACCUUGGCGAUUUGGUCUUGCGUCUUGCUAUCCAGGGUCCUUCCCAACUUAAACACCUUGCCGCUGAUCUCCUUCUCGAGCCAUUCCUCUACUGGCUGAGAUUUCCUUUUGCUGGCGAUCAGCGCUCUCGCGAUACCGAUUUCUCUGGCGAUUUGUGAGCAGUUUCUUUCUCCCUUCCCGCUCUCCGGCCUCCCCUCUACACUCCCCAUCGGCACAUCACCCUCGGCGACCACCUCUAACGCCGAAUCCGAAACUCGCCGGGGUUCGCGCUCUGGCUCCACGCCAGGGGGAGGCGUUGUGGUUACGUGGCACACAGACCUCUUGUUCUUGAGGCUGUUUUCGUAACACUUCUUCGCCUCCUUCUGGUCGGAGCAAAUAGUGAUGAUCAUGCCCUCCAUAGAAGGCAGCUUGACCUUCAUAUGCCUUGUCGAAGGCACAACUCCUGUUCUGUUGAGCGUUGGCCUUCCCAACAGUAUGUUGUAAGCUGACGGGGCGUUUACAACAAGAUACCUGAUCUUCUCCGUUCGUGAGGCCAAGCCGUCAGUGAAGGUCGUCCUCAGCUCGAUAUACCCCCUCACCUCCACUUGGUCGCCGGCAAAACCGUACAAGCAGCCCCCAUAUGGUCUUAGUUGAUCAGGGGACAGUUGUAACUUCUCAAAAGUUGGCCAAAACAUCACAUCUGCUGAGCUUCCUUGGUCGACCAGCACCCGGUGGACGGUCCUUCCCGCCGUGACAAGCGAGAUCACAAUAGGUUCGUUGUCGUGAGGCACCACGUUCCUGAGGUCCCCCUUGGUGAACGUGAUGUCCACGUCGAGCGAAUGAUCCUCAAAGAUUUCCACUGACAUUUCCACCCCCCGCCGGAGAAUCCGCCAGCUAUGGUGUGGAUCUCGCCGUGAAUGGGCACCUCGUGUUGUUGCCCUCCGCUGCUUGCCGGUUGAGACCCUGACGCUUGGUCCGCUUGCUUCUCUAGCAAGUAAUCCUUCAGGAAACCACAUUUGACCAGCUCGGCGAGCUGGUGUCCUAGAGCCAAACACGAGUUGAUAGAGUGGCCAAAACUCUUGUGGAACUCGCACCAUGCGUCUGGCUUUGGCCCCAAAAUCUUCUCCGUCGUUUUCUCAGGCACUUUGAGCUUGGCAACAAUGUUUGGGAUGGCGAUCAAAUCAGCCAAACCCAUUACAAACUCAUACCUUGGGGGGCGAUUACUCUCCCUGGGGCGCCCUGGUCCCUCGCUCUUAUUUUUGUUAGGGUCGUAAGGAUGGCGCGUCCUUUGAUCCCUCUUUCCCGCCGCCGUCUCCGUUACCCUCUGCGGUUGUACCCGUGCUUGGGCGCGCGGUUUAGUUGGGGCCACGUUUCCCCUCUUCUCGGUGACCUCACUUUCGGCGGCGAUGUGAGCCACAACACGUUGUCGGAUUUCAGCAAACGUGGCGGGGUGGCUCCUGAUGAGCGACUCAAUAAAAGGCCCAGGUAACACGCCCUUUUUGAAGGCAUGCACGAACAUCUCUUCGUCCUUUCCGGGCAAACGGACUAUCCGAGCUCCGAAUCUGUUCAGGAAAUCCUUCAGGGACUCCACUUGGUACUGCCUUAUAUCAAACAAGUCGUAAGACACCAAAGGUGGCGCCUUGUUCACUAUUUACUGCUCAACAAACAUCUUGGAAAACUGUUCGAACGUGGUAAUGUGGCCAGUGGGUACACUGACGAACCAAUCCAACGUCGUUCCGCUCAAAGUGCUCAUGAACACCUUACAAUACACCGCGUCUGAGCCCCCUGAGAACAUCAUCUGAGUAAAAAACGCCGUGAGAUGGGCUUCAGGGUCCUCCACCCCAGUGAAAGACGCUUUCACUACCACAGUGUUAGCCGGGAGCACCGAGUCCAUGAUCUCUUGGGAAAAUGGCAUAGGAAAGCUGCAUGGUGGGGAUGGGGGUGCAGAUCUGUCCCCAGCCGCACGCUCCUCCCGCUCCUGAAGGGCUUUGCGCAGCUCUUCGUUGAUACUGUUGAGCUCUUUGUUCCUUGCUUGCGAGGCCACCAGCGCCUCGUGCAUCCUUUCCUGUUCAGAACGUGAUGCAGCCACGUUCUCCUGCAGCGUCCUCAUCAUGUCCAUCACUUGCGUCAUAGACACAGCAUCUUCGUCUGUUGAUGGCGCAACUGAACUGGAGCGUGUUGUCCUCAUCCUUCCUCAGCAAACUCAACAGUUCAAAGAACUCCAAACAAACGGUGAAAACUCCAGGAAUCGACUGCGAUAGCGAGCAGUCGAACAGGAAACACCAAAACACCACAAACACGAACUAUGGUUGGGAAUCACCUUUUAUACGGCCCCACGGUGGGCGUCAGAUGAUCCUGCCGGUUGACUUAGCGCAAGAGCGUUGCCUCGUCACCGUCUUCCCCACCAGCUUGUCACCACGUGUCCUCCAAGCCCACACAGCAGAUAGCCUCUCUGAGAACCUGAAAAACACACAGUGGUGCCUCUGCGGCCGGUGGCGCUCCGACGCUCAAGUCAGUGACAAGAACACCCAAAAAACUAAGAGAAAAAUAUGCUCUGUAGGACCGUACUGUAGGCACACAACCCUAGCAGUAUCAGCCGUAAUGAAAACGUAUCUCUGCAAAUUCUGUUAAGGUUACCUUUAUAGCUAGGUUUCUUCUCUCUCCAAGCCGUUAUGCUUUUGGACGCGUGGCUCGCAUCCAGCCCUGCACGUGUCGCCAUGUGGGCUGGGAUAGCAGGUAGUGCCCAGCCCUACACGUGUCGUCAUCUGAGCUAAGGCAACUUGAGCGUCAUUUCUCCAUCGCUCCCAGCCCUACACGUAUCAUCAUCUAGGUUGGAGUAACUGGUGACAUCCAACCCUACACGUGUCAUCAUCUGGAUUAGGGUAACUUGAACGUCAUUCUUGUGUAGUAACCAGCCGCACAGCUAAGUCCUCAAGUCAAGGAGCAACCUAGCACAUAAUGCGCUGUGAAACACCAUCCGACAAGGCGAGUAUCGGAUGCAACAAAGUGCAACAUCUCUAUGAUAUCGCUCGCCGCGAAUGGCACCCUCAUUACUGCUACGGCAUGCAUGUUCUAGCUGGGGAAACCUUGCCACCAACGAAUGUCCACUCUGGGAAUCUUGUCGCUGAUGUGCAAGGUGUUCCCCCCAACCCACUCAACCUUCAUGCCCCAUUCUGGUGCCACAAUCGUCUUAUUGAACUUACACGCUUGGAAUUACCCUUCUGAGCCUUCAACAGCCUUAACUAAGUUCGCUGGGAGACCCGGCGAUGUGCUCCUUGUGGCGGCGUGUAAACCACCCGAUCUCCUAGCAUUCUCAUACGGUGACUGCGACGUAACUCUGGUGAUCGACGGUUACGCACGCUAGAGAUCGGAGAACGCCAAUUCAGCGAUCGGCGACUAUGCCCACUUCCGAGCCAUUCAUCUUUUCUAGCCUACGCAUUCCAUUGAGCACGCCCCACUCGAGCACGUGCAAGACACGUCAUCACGCCUGAUGACCUGGUCGGUACAAGAAGCAUAACAUACCUGAGGUACGAGGCUAACUGCGGAUCCUUAGCCUAGUACUCACCUAUGACGUGCCCGGUAACCAACAACGAGUCACUCUUCACCAACAAACUUUGAGCACCCAACUCCUUGGCCAACAAUAUCCCUAUCAAGGCUUCGUAUUCAGCUUGGUUGUUGCUUGCUUUGAAGGCAAACCUCAGGGCUUGCUCGAUUAACAACCCGCUUGACCCUUCUAGAAUGACCCCAUCUCCAUGCCGUGUUGGUUAGAGGAUUCCUCCACUGAAAUGACUCACUGGAAGUCAUUAGGAUUUGGUUGAGGACCCUUAGAUGACAACUCUACCAUAAAAUCAGCAUACAUUUGGCCCUUGAUAGGCCCUUGGGGUUCAUACUGCAUAUCAAACUCAGACAACUCAACUACCCAACGGACCUUCCGACCUGUUAUGUCGGGCUUUUGGAGGACGUUGCGGAUGACCAAAUCAGUCAUCACUAUUACAGUAAAGCUGUGGAAGUAGUGGCAGAGCCGCUGAGUUGUGAAUACCACUGCCAAAACGACCUUCUCAAUGGCCUGAUACCGGGUUUCUGGCCCUUGCAGCACCUUGCUCACAAAGUAGACCGACUUUUGGACCCUAUCUUGCUCUUGCACAAUGGUCGAGAUGAUUGUUCGAUCUGUGAUCGUAAAAUAAAGACGAAUGGGAGUACCUGGCAACGACUUACAAAGAACAGGUGGGCUGGCCAAGUACUCCUUCAACCUGGUGAAGGUCACUUCACACUCACGAGUCCAUACAAAUCGGUUAUUCUUCUUCAAGCAUUGAAAUUAAGGAUACCCCUUAUCUCCUCUAACGAACAAGAAUCGAGACAAGGCAACUAUACGUCCAGUUAACUGCUGGACUUUCUUCAAGAUGACAGGGCUUCUCAUUCCUAUGAUUAUCGCGCACUUGUCGGGCUUCGCCUCUAUACCCUGUUCAGCGAGAAAAAACCCAAGGAACUUCCCUGCUUCCACCCCAAACACAUACUUUUCUUGGUUCAGCUUCAAGUUGUACUUUGUUAUCAUAGUGAAUAGCUCUUCUAAAUCAACAAUGUGUUGAUCCUUCUCUUCUGAUGUGGCGACCAUGUCGUCCACAUAUGCCUGCACACUUCGCCCAAUCAUUGGGGCGAGAAUUAUGUCCAUCAACCUAUGAUAAGUGACACCAAUAUUCUUGAGGCCAAUGGGCAUGACCUUAUAGCAGUAGUUAGAGAGCUCGGCCGUGAAGGAAAUCUUACUCUUACCCCUGGGGUGCAUACGAAUCUGGUUGUACCCCGAGAACGCGUCUAGGAAACUCAACACUCAACAACCUGAGGGACUGUCCACCAAGGAAUCUAUACUUGACAGUGGAUAAGAGUCCUUGGGACAGGCCUUGUUUAGGUCGGUGAAGUCGACGCACAUCAUUCACUUCCCAUUAGCCUUUUGUAUCAACACAACGUUACCCAACCACUCAGGAAUUGGAUUUCCCUUAUGUGGCCAGAAUUCAGAAGCUUCUGCGUCUUUUUUUUUAUGAUCAGAUGCCUUUCCUUAUUGAAUUCCGUCUUUCUCUGGACUACCGACCUGACCUUUUCAUCCAUAGAGAGCCUAUGGCAUAAAAAAUAUGGUUCUAUCUCGGGCAUGUCCACGGAUGACCAAACGAAAGCAUCCAUGUGCUUCGAUAUUACCUCGACUAUCUUGUCCUGCAAUUCUUGACAUAUCGACGUGCCGAGCUUGAACUUCUUGCCUCCUAUUUCCUUUUCCUGAACCUCACCAGCAGGUCCAGGUCGCCUUUCAUUGGCGAUUUCAGCUUGCAUAAUUUCUUCUAGCUCUUCCGCCUGAACAGUGAUUGAGUAUGUUCCCCUUUUACUUUUCAAGAUACUCUCAUAACACUUCCUUACCAUCUUCUGAUCAAGCUUGAUGAUGAUCACUCCUUCAUCAGGGAAGGCAACUUCUUCUUCAUGUGCCUCGUUGAGGACACUGCAUCCAACCUGUUCAAAGAGGGUCUUCCCAAAAGCAAAUUAUAAGCUGAAGAAGCAUUAACUACAAUGUACCUGACGUUAAUCAUCCAAGCUGAGGUGCCAUCUGAAAAAGUUGUCUACAACUCGACAUAUCCACGUACUCUCACCUGAUCUCCCGCAAAGCCAAACAAGCAACCAUCGUACGACUUUAGCUGGUUAGAAGACAACUGAAAAUUAUUGAAUGUCGACCAGAACAUCACAUCAGUUGAGCUUCCCUUAUCAAUGAGAACUUAUUGUACCUUUCUUCCAAUAAAAAGACAUAUAUCACCACCGAAUCAUCUUCGUGAGGGACCACAUCCUCCAAGUCAGAGCUCAUAAAGCAGAAGGCGGGCUCUAGUGGAUGGUCAGGUUUCCUCGCCUCAACUAUCAUCACUUCUCUCGCGUAUCUCUUAUGCUUGGAGGUAGUGCACUGUCCUCCCAAGAAUCCUCCCGAGAUGGUGUUCAACUCUCAAUGGAUCGGUACCUCAUGCACUUGGUCCCUAAGAGCAACCUCUUCCUUCGAGACUUCCUGGUCCCCCUCAAGGUAUUCCUUUAAGAAUCCUUCCUUCACCAAACAUGCCAAAUUCCCCCUCAAGGUAACCUAGAGCUAUACAUCGCUCAACAUCGUGCCCAAAUUCCAUGUGGAAUUCGCACCAGACCUCCCUUUGUGGACCAUGAUUCCUGUCAUACUUCUGAGGGAAUUUCUACUUUUUUACAACCCCUGAUAUGCUCAACAAUUCCUUGUAAGACAUUUGGAAUUUAGGUCGAAAUGGAAAAUCUUCUCAGGCCUUCGCCUUGGGGACGUUCUUCCUGGUUGGAUAUGGUGCGCGCCUCAAGUCCGUCCUCUUCUCGGUUGUGGUUUCGUUGACCCUUAGAGGUCGAGAUCGGCUACCCUCCUUAGGUUUUAAGUACCUGGAUAGGUGUUGCUAAGCUUCACAGACACUGCCUCCUUCGCAUUAAUGUGGGCGACAACUUGUCGUCGUAUUUCGACAAAUCUCUCUACCAGAUUUCUGAUCAAUAAGUCACUAAAUGGUCCUGCCAUGACUCCCUAUUCGAAGGCGUUGACCAUCAGGGCCUCGUCAUGGGUCUGGAGCUUCAUUGUAAACGCCCAUAACCUGUUUAAAUAGUUUUUUAGAGACUCACCAUGUCUAUGUUUCACGCUGAAGAGAUCAAAUGAAAUCGGAGGUUUUGCUUGGUUGAUAGAGAACUGUUCCCUGAACAGCUCGGAAAAUUGGUUGAAGAAGGUGAUGUGGCCAUUAGGAAGCCCACUAAACCACUGUAGGGUUGUACAUGUGAAUGUACCCUUGAACAUCUUGCAAUCGAUAGAAUCUGUUCCCCCAGAAAUAAUCAUUUGGGCAUUGAACAUCGUAAGAUGGUUUUCAGGGUUUUCUACUCCUUUGAAACGAUCUUAGGCGUAAUGUAGUGUGGUAGCACAGGCGACUCCAUGAUCUCCUGCGAGAAUGGCUUGGGACGAGCUAUCGGGGGCGCAUUAGAACCUCGCUCCCUUGUAAAGCGUUGAUCAAGUUGUUGUAGAUUCUUGCGCAAUUCAUCAUUGGCCUUGCGCAAUUCCUUACCGUUCUCUCGUGACGCAUCUAUCUCCGGCAUCAGUUGAUCUUGCCUAAGAAUUUUCUCAACUCUAGCUUUUUCAUAAGCUUUUCCUGUUCGGAUUUAGCCUCGGUCAUUAGCAUGUCCUGCUCAGCUUUGGCUUCUGCCAUCAGCCUUUCCUGCUUGAAUUUGGCCUCUUGUUGGAUCCACUCCUGCUCUCGCCUGUAUUGUUCGUUGGCUUCUUGGAGAGCUCUCACAGUGUCCAUGAGCUGUUGUAGGGUGGGGGCGUCGUUCCCUUCAUAUCUUAGCGCUCUUUGCCUAGUGUUCCUCAUAUCGCUGGAAAACUCAAACACAACUAUGGAUGGGAUCAAUUUUUAUCGGGCCCCACGGUCAAAUGUUCUUGCCGGUUGACUCUAGUGACAAGCUCUAACUCUGGUCUAUCUCCUCUGGAAUCUGUUCUACGUCUUAUUGCACUGGAACGUGGCUCCAUUGAAAUAGAAGGGACUCCAUCUGUUUACAUGGGCACCCUUACUCAUGGUGCAACGUUAUAUUUCACUAUGAAUGCAACUUAACCACUACGUGCCGUAAAUGCACACUUAGGUUAAAAUAUAUUUACGUGACUUAACCACUACGUGCACUAACACGCACCCUUAGGUUAAGAAAUAUCUUUUACUAAUAACCUUAUCUUAGAGUAUCAAAAUAUUAUUUCAAUUAUUCUCCAACGGGCUUACUAGUAUAACUGGGCUAAACUCAUGACCCACCUUAUAGGCCCAAUAGACGAGCUGACCUACCUACACCGUGCACCGAGUUCCAAUCACUGAGCACUGAGCACUUUGUACAAUACAAUUAGUAUAUAUCAAUUUAAUUAGUUAUAAUACCUGCAAAAGACAUAUGCAUAGUUAAAACAAGUAAAGAAAAUUACCCUCACUAUAAUCGGUUUUGCUAAUCUAACUGGCCAAAGAAUAAAAUUCCAAGGGGCCUGUCCCAUUGUCUGAACCUCCUUAGUAGGCAUAAGGAUUCGAGAAACAACAUCUCGAACAUCUACAACCACCACUCUUAUCAUAUCAUCUGCAAUUGUUUGCUGGUGGAUGGUUGACCCUAACAUGUACAUUUUACCUAAGGCAACCGAAUAAUGUAAUUGAAAGAAAAUAAAUAAUAUAAUUAGAUUAAACAUAUAUGCAUCAAACAAUAUCUAUAAAAUAAAAAUUAGCUAAGGCCACUAAGCACUUAGAGGGAUCAUCAAUGUACAAUUCGCAAUCUGCAAGGAUAGUAGGACCAGCCUCCCCUGAUCCUUCAGGAGCAUCACAACUCCCCUUUGUACUUAUACGAAUAGGGGAAGGCUUUGAAGUGGUAGCAAAAGGUUCAACAAACAUGGAUGCUAACUUUGCUCGCAUGUCUAAUAACAACUUUGUCUUCAAUUCAGAGUAUACUUCCUUCUUAGUUUCCUUCCUAAUCUCUUCUUUGAGGGACUCCAUCUCGAUUUGACUAAGAUGUGAUUUACUAUAAUACCGAGGUGGAGGACCAAAGAAUUUCAGAUGCCUACCUCGUCCUGCAAAUUAUGUUUAUGUGCAGAUGGGUUUAAUCCUUUUGGUCAAUAUGGAAAAAGUUACUCUUAUUAGCUAGUUAUCCUAACCCCAUACAACUUUCGCCUUCCAUAUGCAUGAAGAGGGUGUUUAUGUUUUGACAGUCUUAUUUCCAAGUCCUUUAAAUCCAAAGCAUAAGAUUGAUGUGUUCUUGCAACCACUCAUAGAUGAGUUAUGCACCUUAAGGACGAAGGGAUAUUGACUUAUGACGUGUCACUAAGGCACACUUUUAUGAUGAAAGUUGCUUUGAUGUGGAGAAUUAAUGACUUAACAGCUUAUGGCAUGUUAUCGGGUUGGUUGGCUUCUGGUAGACUUGCUUGCCCUAUAUGUAUGGAAAGAACAAAGACAUUCUAUCUUAGUCAUAGCCACAAGAUAUCCUUUUUCGACUGUCAUCGUCAGUUUUUUUCACCUGAUAAUUCAUUUUGGAAGAAUAAAAAGGCAUUCAAGAAGAAGUUUGUUGAGAGUGAUCCCCCUUCUCCACGUUUGUCUACUCUUGACAUUUGGAAUAGGGUUGCACACUUACCAAUUUGCACUGAAUUACAAGAACAAAAAAAUAUUCUUGAAUAUGGUAUUAAACAUAAUUGGAAGAAACAAAGUAUAUUCUAGAGGUUGGCAUAUUGGAAAACUCAACUUUUACGUUACAAUAUUAAUGUUAUGCACACAGAGAGUGUUCAUGAUUGUGUUUGACACUGUGAUGGAUAUCAAAGGGAAAACUAAGGACACAAACAAGGCUCGAUUGGAUAUAGCACAAAUAUGAAAUUGAAAAGAGCUAGAGUUGAAAGACAUUGGUGGUGGCAAACUUAUCAAACCAAAAGCAACAUAUGCAUUUACCAAUUCCCAAGAGUCUUUAUUUGUAAAUAGGUUAAAGAACUUAAGUUUCCAUAUGGAUAUGAUUCCAAUUUGGGUAGAUGUGUUUACCUUAAUCAAGGCAAGUUAGAGGGCAUGAAAAGUUAUGAUUGUCACGUGUUCAUGCAACGAUUGCUUUCAAUUGCAUUUGACGCAUUACCAAAAUCAAUUUGGAAAGUUCUUAUUGAACUUAGUCUUUUCUUUAGAGGAUUAAGUUCGAAAACACUAAAUGUUGAACACCUAAGAGUUAUGGAAGAAAAUAUUCUUAUGUUAUUGUGUAAAUUGAAACAAAUAUUUCCACCAAGCUUCUUUGAUUCCAUGGAAUAUCUUUCAAUUCAUCUACCUUAUAAGGAAAAAGUUGGUAGUCCUGUCCAAUAUCGUUGGAUGUAUCCAUUUGAGAGGUAUAAAAUUACUAAUAACUUUUAUAACAUUUUUUGUUUAUUUAUUUAAUAUUUUAUAUUAUGUACACCCGUAUUCUUUUUUAGGUUUUUACACUCCCUAAAAAAGAAAGUAAAAAAUAAAGCUAGGGUGGAAGACUCUAUUUCUAAAGCUUACUUAGUGGAGGAAACAUAUACAUUUGCCUCAUUUUAUUAUCCUGAUCAUGUUGAAACAAGAAGGACUAGGAUCUUUCAUAAUCUUGAAGUAGGUGAGAGUUCUUCAUGUGCUCCUCCUAUUUCAAUUUUCAAUUAUUCAGGAAGAGAAAUUGGAAAAUGCAUGACAUAUUAUCUAAACCAAAGAGAUUUUGAUGCUUCUCAAUUGUAUGUGUUAGAAUUGUAGGCCUAAAACAAGAGGGGGGUGAAUUUUUUUAAAUUUUUUUUUUUCAAACUUUGAAGGUGUGGAGAAAGUUAAUGAAGAAUCAAAAACAAAGGAAUGAAAAUGCUCAAGUUACAAAACUGCUUUGUUGAUUUCCAGAAAAUCAAUCGAUUGUUUUUGCGAUUCAACCGGUUGUUUUUAUCAGCAGUUUAUAAAAACAACUAAAAGCAUAUAUAAUUGAGAUUAGGGAAAGAGAGAAUCACACAAACAAAUUUGUACUGGUUCACUUUUACACCAAGAGCUACAUCUAGUCCCUAGAAAUCACUAGGUAUUCCACUAUGUAAUCAACCACAGAUUACAACCCCACACACACACCAAAGAAGUGAUCUUGAACCCCUAAAAAACACAAACUUCCUUUAGCAAUACAACACACGACAAAUCAGAACACCCUCGACUCUGUGCAACACAAUUCUUUACAUAAAUACAAAGAUUAAAAGAAGAGGAAAGAGUACACCUGGAUCAAUUCACAAAAUAAAAAAAUGACUUAACACAUAAUAGUCUGAUGAGCAUAUAUUUAUUCACACUUAAUAGCUUUAAUCAUAGAUUAUUGGACUAUAAUAAUAAAUAAAUCUGUUGUUUUAAUUAAUAUUUGUACCGCCCUGGUAGUCGGAAGUGAUGACGUGGCAUCAAACUAUUGUAUAGGCGUGUUGAUGGGAUGCCUGGCUGGCAGAAGGGAAGGAAGUCGAGGGGCUCGUGUAGUCGCCAGUUAUUAAGUUGGCGUGCUCCGAUCUCCAGCACACCAGAACCGGCGGUCACCGGGUUGAAGAUGAAGUCGCCAGAUGUAAACCCAGGCGACCAAGUGAUUAGAGAUCGUCGAAACAAGGACAUCGCCGAAGAUGAAGGCAGAUAGACAUUUCCCAGCUGGCCAGAGGAUGAGGUCGGGGGACAGCUUACUUGAGCAUAUACGAUGAAACAGGCGGUGCAGAUCAUGAAGGCGGCCGGCGAGACCACAGGGAAGGUGUGUACGAAGGCACCCAAACUCGCCAUCCAGAAGAGAUCACGCUCCAAGGCAACUAUGCACUGAGUAGUAUCAUGCAUAAGUAACUUAGCCAAAAGAGAGUCAGAAGUAGCGCCCAAGUCAAGGAUGCUCCAGAUGAUGGCACGUGUACAGCUGGAUGCGAGCCACGUGUCCAGAUGUGUAACUGCCAGGAGAGAGAAAGUGUCCAGGUAUAUAAGAGUUUCCCAACGAACUUCUGAGGUACGCACGUUCAGAUUGUCUUCUUUACGCUUGCGAGUCUUGAGUAUACUGAGAGAGAACAUUGCACGGUUCCUUGAGAGUUCUUGAGUGUUACUCUUAGUAAUUGGUGGUUCAGUCGCUGACUUGGGCGUCGGAACGUGAUCGGCCGCAGCAACGCCGUUCUGUUCUUUUGCAGGUUCUUGAGGUGAAUCACGGUGAAAGACGGAGGCUGACACGGCGCACACGUCAAUCCAAGUUUGACGAGGCAAAGCUCCAGCGUUCUGGUCAACAGGCAGGAUCAUCAGGCGCCCACCGUGGGGCCGUGUAAACCUGUUCCCAUCCACAGCGCGAGUUCUUGGAGGUUUCUGCAGUUUCCGUGUGGUUGUGUGCUGGUGCAACCAUUGUCCGCUGUUCAUCUAGGUUUUGUUCGGUGAUUUCGCGUUUUCCACCGUUCGUUUGGAUUUUUGUUCGGUGAGGUGAACGUUCUUGCUGCUUACGCGAGUUUUGAUCGGUGAGAUCUGAGUUCUUUGGCUCGUUUGGUUUUUCGUGGGAGAAGCGUCAGUUUCUGGUGGAGUUGCAGGUUUUUGUGGAGGUUCGCUGUGUUCUUGAGGUUUCUUUCGGAGUUUCGCGAAAUUCUGACCGAUUGAUCGCUGAAUUGAUCGUCGCUGAAGAAGGUGUUGUUCAUUACUCUCUGUGAUUUGUCAAGUUUUCAUGAGAAAAAUGAGAAGCAACCGUUCAAGUCCAGUUGCGCCCGUUGCCGCUGAAGGCGCCAUGACUAUGGCGCAUAUGGUGGAAAUCAUGCAUUUGCUGCAGGCGAAUGUGGAAGCCUCGCAUAUAGAGCAGGCAAGAAUGCACGAGGACCUGGUCGCCUCUCGGGCCAGGAAUGACGAGCUUAGCAGAGUGACUGAAGAACUGCGUCAAGCUCUUCAAGAACAGCGAGGGCGUCCAGUCGCUGAAGAGGUCGCGCCGUCAACGCUGCCUCGCGUUUUACCUAUGCCUUUUGCUCAGGCGAUUACCGACACGCCUAUCCCUGCGAGUGUGGUACCUGUGAAGGCUAUUUUCACCGGCGUGGAGGAUCCUGAAGCUCAUCUCACCACGUUCCAUACGCAGAUGAUGUUGUCAGGAGGAUCAGACGUCGUGUACUGCAAGAUGUUUGUGAGCACACUCCAGGGAACGGUGCUGGAAUGGUUUGUGAGCCUGCCUACAGGUCACAUAACAAACUUCCAACAGUUUUCAAAGAUCUUUGUCGAGCAGUACAUCGUGAACAAGGCACCGCCCAGGGUGUCUUAUGACUUGUUCGACAUAAGGCAGUAUCAGGGAGAGUCCCUCGGGGACUACAUGAAUCGUUUUGGGGCGCAGAUGGUCCGAUCGCCGGCCAAAGAUGAAGAAAUGCUGGUCUACGCAUUUAAGAAGGGCGUGCUGCCGGGACCAUUCUGCGAAGCAUUGAUCAGGGCUCACCCUGCCACGUUUGCUGAGGUCAGGCGACUUGCGGUGGCCCACAUCGCCGAUGAGAGUGAGGUCCCCGAGAAGAGAGGAAGCGUGGCUCCCGCUAGGCCACGCGCCCAGACCAGGAUCCAGCCACAGAGGGUGUUGGAGACAGCGCCGGCUAGGAGGGAUCAGAGGACUCGCCAUCCUUACGAUCCAAGGAAGAACAAGGACAGGGGCCAAGGGCGCCCUCAACCAGCACGCCGGGAGUACAAUCGCCCGCCUAAGCACAAGUUUGUCAUGGGAUUGGCGGACCUGAUCGCCAUUCCCAAUAUAUCAGCUAGGUUGAAAGCGCCCGAGAAGGUGGGUGACAAGGUGCUGGGACCAAAGCCAGACGCCUGGUGUGAGUUCCACCAGGGCUUUGGCCACACCGUGGAUUCGUGCUUGGCUUUAGGAUACCAGCUCGACGAUUUGGUCAAGAGCGGGUUCCUAAACGACUACUUGCUGGACAGAAGGACGGGGGGCGCGUCGAGCUCCCAACCAGCAGGUGGUGAGGCUCAGCAGCACGGGAUGCCUACACACGGGGAAAUCCACACCAUUGCAGGGGGUUUCUCGGGUGGUGGAUGCACCGCGUCACAAAGGAAGAAGUACGCGAGGUCUGUGAUGACGGUGGAUAUGUUUGAAGACCACUCGCCGGAUGUGGACAUUACGUUCACAAAGCAAGAUCUUCGGGACGUUGUGCCUCAUGACAACGACCCCAUAGUCAUCUCGCUGAUCACAGCAGGAAGGAAGGUCCACAGGGUUCUGGUGGACCAAGGAAGCUCGACAGACGUGAUGUUCUGGCCGACUUUCACGCAGUUGGAGCUACCCCUUGACCAGCUGAGGCCCUAUGGAGGGUGUUUGUAUGGUUUCGCUGGUGACCAGGUGGAGGUCAGGGGGUACAUUGAGUUGAGGACUACGUUUACAGAUGAGGCGGGUUCGAGAACAGAGAAAAUCAAGUACCUUGUCGUAAAUGCUCCCUCAGCAUACAAUAUUCUGUUGGGAAGACCCACGCUCAACAGAAUAGGCGCUAUACCGUCGACCCGGCACAUGAAGGUGAAGCUGCCGUCUAUGGAGGGGGUGGUGAUCACCAUCAAGUCCGACCAGAAAGAAGCGAAGAAGUGCUAUGAGAAUAGCCUGAAGAACAAGAGGUCGGUGAGUUACGUGACAACCACCCCGCCUCCUGGUGUGAAGCCCAGACCGACGGUAAUGGAAGAGACCGCCGGAAGUGACGUGGUGAUGGCGGAUGCUGAGCUGGGGGAGGGGAACGCCGAUCUAGAGGAAGAAGAGGCAAGGAAUCGCCCUGAGGAAGCGAGGGAGCUGGGAAUCGCCAGGGCGGUGAUCGCCAGAGAAACCAGGCCAAAACCCGUCGAGCAGUGGCUCGAAAGAGAGAUUGGAGGAAAGAUCUUCAAGCUGGGAAGAUCUCUGGAGGUUGAGCUCUAGGACCAGAUCGCCAAGGUGAUAGAACGGCAUCUGGAUGCGUUUGCAUGGUCCGCUUCGGACAUGCCCGGGAUCGAUCCCGAUUUCCUGUGCCAUCAUUUGGCGAUGGACAAUCAGGUCAGACCGGUACGCCAGAGGAGAAGGAAGUUCAACGAGGAGAGGAGGCAGGCGAUUAGAGACGAAACACAAAAACUCCUCGCUGCAGGCCAUAUCAGGGAGGUGCAGUACCCUGAUUGGUUGGCCAAUGNNNNNNNNNNNNNNNNNNNNNNNNNNNNNNNNNNNNNNNNNNNNNNNNNNNNNNNNNNNNNNNNNNNNNNNNNNNNNNNNNNNNNNNNNNNNNNNNNNNNNNNNNNNNNNNNNNNNNNNNNNNNNNNNNNNNNNNNNNNNNNNNNNNNNNNNNNNNNNNNNNNNNNNNNNNNNNNNNNNNNNNNNNNNNNNNNNNNNNNNNNNNNNNNNNNNNNNNNNNNNNNNNNNNNNNNNNNNNNNNNNNNNNNNNNNNUUGGGUUGAAGAACGCGGGGGCCACGUACCAAAGGUUGAUGGAUCGAGUACUUGCACCAAUGCUGGGAAGGAAUGUGCAAGCGUACGUGGAUGACAUGGUCGUGACCUCGCCAGAGAAAAGCAAGCACGUUGCGGACUUGGAGGAGUUGUUCACUACGAUCGCCAAGUUUAGGUUGAAGCUGAAUCCUGAGAAGUGCAUCUUUGGCGUGGAGGCUGGAAAGUUCUUGGGUUUCCUCUUAACCGAAAGAGGAAUAGAAGCCAACCCUGACAAGUGUGCCGCCAUCUUGGCGAUGAGGAGCCCGACCACCGUGAAGGAAGUGCAGCAGCUUACAGGUCGGAUGGCCGCCCUGUCUCGCUUCGUGUUGGCUAGCGGAGAGAAGGGCCAUCCAUAUUUCCAGUGCUUAAGGCGCAAUAACAAAUUUGCCUGGACGAAGGAGUGUGAGGAAGCCUUCGUCAAGCUUAAGGAAUAUCUGGUGAGCCCGCCGGUUUUGUGCAAACCGCUGGUGGGAACCCCUCUCAGGUUGUAUUUUGCUGUAACUGAGAGGGCGGUGAGUGCGGUGCUCGCCCAGGACCAAGAUCAGGCUCAAAAGCCUAUUUAUUUUGUUAGUAAGGUGCUGCAGGGCCCCGAAACGAGGUAUCAGGCCCUGGAGAAGGCUGCACUGGCAGUAGUCUUUUCGGCGAGGAGGUUACGCCACUAUUUCCAUAGCUUCAUGAUACUGGUGAUGACCGACCUGCCCAUCCAGAAGUUCUUGAAGAAGCCCGAUGUUGCGGGGAGGAUGGUGAAGUGGGCAGUGGAGCUGUCGGAGUUUGAUAUUAAGUAUGAGCCCCGAGUUAUGAGGUAAUUUGAGUUAUGAUUACAUUUAAAAUGUUCUUCUAUUAUUCUACAAUGUUUUUUUUGUAAUUGAUUUUUCAUGCAGAAAUAGUAUAGGCAGGGAUCUGGAACAAGACCAACUUAUUAGAUUUAUUUUUUGAAAAAAAAGGCUCCCGUAUCUUUAAAAAUGCUAUGAAUAAAGUUAGGCAUGGUCAAGAUAAGGGGGCCUGAAUUCCACCACUUGUUCGAGCAACCUUGGAUGAAAAUUAGAAUUUUACAAAUUUAGAAAACAAGAGUGUCAUUGUCAAGGCAAAUCGGGGUGUUGAGAAGGGAGCCUUAGCCUAUUGUGGUGGUUCCAUAUCUACAACAUCUCACUUUGAGAAAAUGGUAAUAUUUUUAUGUUUUCUAUAUUUAAUUUAAAUACAAUAUAUUAGACUUGGUUAUUAAAUUAUAUCUUUUCAUUAAAUUUAUAUAUACUAAGGAGCUUGAACGACAACCAACUAUUUGGAAGACUGUAGAGAAAACAAAGAAAUUGAAAACUGGUCAAUGAGUCAAUGACAAGACCUGCGACCUUGCGGUAUGUUUAAACUUUAAGUUAUAAUUUACUUUUUACUAUAUGUUUUCUUCACAAUAAUCAAUUUGACUUUAUUUUCAGGAGAAAUAUAAGCAACGCCGAGGAAAAACCAAACAACAAUAGAUGCUUGAAGGCUCAUCUUCGCAAAACUCUCAUGAUGCCUCCAUUGAUGACAAUGAAAUAUACAUUGAUGUUGUUGGAGGUGGAAAUAAAAAAAGGGAAUGUCUAUGGUCUUGGUGUAUUGAGCAAAAGGUUUAAUAGUUCUACAAGUGCUCACUCUGCUACAAGCCAGACUCCUGAUAAGUGUCUGAUUUCAAUAAUAUUUCAUAUUAAAAUAUAGGAACUUAUGAGGAUUUAUUGCUAAUUACAUAUAAAAUAAUCCCUAAUUUAUGAAUUUAUACAUUUUUACAUUUUUUAUGAUCAUUAUUUGAAUAAGAGCAUUUUAUUCCCAAAUUUGGUGUCAAUUGCAGAUGUUUAGGUAUGAUUGAAGAUUUGGAGUAAAGGAGAAUAAUUCGAGCUAAAGGGAGAAAGCUGGAAGGUCCCAGAAUAGAAAAAGAUGGAGAAAAAAAGACUAUUUCGCAAUAGUAGUAUCUCGCUCAAGUGAGAUAUUCUCGCUUGAGCGAGAAUGCGUCAAAAAGAUUGGGCCUUUUUUUAUGUUUUAUCACUUAGCCCAUUAGCGCCACACAGGAAGCGACCUAACCUUAGAAAAUUAGGUUAAAUAAGGGGCUAGAGGCUCAACCCUAGUGUGCCAGAUUGAGAGGAAAACAACAUAGAGUGAAUUGUAACCCAAUUGGGAGAAUGGAAGGUGCUAGAAGUAUGCGUGUCUAAUUCUACCCUUUGAGAUUUAAAGUAAUAUGUUCAAACUCUUAUGUAUUGAGGUGAUAUCUUAUAUAUUAAUAUUCAGUUCUUGAUUGAUUAUUGGUAUUGUUUUUUACUUUUAACUUUUAAUGACAAAUUGAGAAUCUUAAAUCUGACCAGGGGGUAUUUUUAGGGUUCAGACCUGAACAACAAUACUUAACAUAUUUGAGUGUUAGGGAUAGACUUGAAAUGUUAAUGCCAUUAACCUCUGAAUGUGAUUCUAAGUUGUUUUUAUAAAUAUGCGAGGGAUCGAUAUUUAGGAAACAUUCUUAAGGAUUUUAUAUGCGAGGGAUCGAUAUAAAUUAAAUUUUCUACGCGUUUCAAUUUCAAUCAAAGAACUCAAUAUUAUCAUGCUAAUUAAAAUACAUGAGAAUAGGAGAGAUGAAACCUAAUCCCUAUUUUUCUAAUUAAAGCAACUAAUUCUUUGUUUGUUUUCUUAUAGAUCAGUGCCAACACAAUCACUUCAAACUCUUUUUAUUGUUCUGUUGUUAUAUUUAACGAAUAUUGUACUCGAUAAUUCAUUGUUCCUUGUGGGAUCAAUAUCCUUAGGGACAAUUAUUACUUCUGACAAACACGGUGCACUUGCCGUAAAAAGUCAUUAAAUUUUUGGCACGUUGCCGGAACAAGUUUGAUUUGUUGAACGUUGUCGGGAACAAGUUUGAUUUGUUGAGUAUAAUUUUUUAAAUAUUGUGAAUAUUUUAAUUGUUUCAAUUUUUUUUUAAUUUUGUGUUUAUAUUUGUUACUAUUUUUAUUUUGUUUUAAAAAAAAUUAUUUUUAUUUUAUUUUAAUUUUGCAGAGCUGUUAUUAUUUUAAUUCCUAUUUUGUUUUUAUUUGUUUCUAUUUAUUUUGAUUUUCUUUUGAUUUUAUAAUAUUUUAUUAUUCUUUAUUUUAGUUAUUUUUUUUAGGUUUAGUUACGUAGUUUUAUUUAGGUUUACAUAAUUUUUAUUUAUUUGUUUUAAUUAUUUAUCAUUACUAAUUUUAGUUUUUAUUUUUACGUAAACUUAGUUUACGUAGUAUCUUUAAAGUUAGUUAGUUGUUUACUAUUAUAAUUUUCUGCUUUAGAUUUAUUUUGUUUUUAUUUUACUCCUAGUAUUUAUUUGUUAUUUUAAGUAUGUUAUUUUGAAGUUUUUAUUUAUUUUUGUUUUAUAUUUUUUAUUUAUUCAUUUUUUUUUGUUUUAUUGUUUUGUUUUAUUUUGGUCUUUAGUUUUUAGUUUACGUAAGUUGUUAUCUAUAUAUUUUUUUUUUCUGAAUAUUUUCGUUAUUUUUUUUCUCUUAUCGUCAUUUUAGUAUUUUUUUUGUUUAUUCUUUUAAUUUUUGUUUAUUUUAUUUUAAAAAUUUGUUUUUAUUUUAUCUUCAAUUUUUUUGAAUUUUUUUUUAUUUGUUUUUAAUUUUUUUAAAAAAGAAAAUAAAUAUACUCUGUUUUUUUCUCACUAAUAUUUUUCAAGAAGAUAGCAACAUGACAGAAAAGGAGGCAACAGGACACUUGGAGAUUAUAUCAUGUACUGGAGGCCAAUGCAUUAUUCUAGCAUUGCAAUACUUGCUAUCACCAAAGCCUUGGAAAUAAAUCUCGAUUUUCUCACUCUCAUUAGUACCCAUCAAUUCAUAGUAAUGGAACAUGAGGAUCCAUAUUCACAUUUGGACACAUUUUAUGAAUUGGUGAGAACAAUGAGUUUUUAAUCAACUGAUAUUGAAAUUGUUUAAAUGCGUUUGUUUCCUUUUUCAUUGGCAAGAAAGGCUAAGGAUUGACUCAGAUCACUUCCAAAUCAUAGCCUCACUAGAUGGAAGGAUGUAAAUGAAAAAUUUAUGCAAAUAUUUUUUACAAUCUUUCGCUACAUCAAAGCAAAGUAUGAAAUUUAUGUGUUCAGACAAGGAGCAGAUGAAUCAUUCUGUGAGACAUGAGAAAGAUUUAAAAUGAUGCCUAGAAAAUGCCCAAAUCACGAGUUUGAAGAUAUUGCUCAACUGAGCAUAUUUCUCAUUGGUCUUAGAUCAGACACAAAGAUGUUGUAACUGGCGGCACAAUGAUGGCUCUUGAUGUAGAACAAGUGACAAGGAUUAUUGUUGCACUGGCGUCAACUGAUUAUCAAGCCCAACAUGAUAAACAAAAUACUCAUAAGGAAGGGUUGUUAGAAUAUGCACUCUUGGUUCAAAAUAAAAUUCUAACACAACAGAAAUGGCUAAAUUGCCCAACAAUUAUAUGUUGUUCAUUCAUCUCAAAGCCAGAGUUAAUCAACCAGGUUUGAUUUUUGUGGAGGUGGUCAUCCUAAUGGUCAUUGUUCUUAUCAGAACAAUUCACCUGAAGCUGAGGGGCCAUCCAUGCUUGAAAGAAUGAGUAAAGUUGAAGAUGCCCUAACAAUGCUUGUGAUAAUGGAAGAAAAUAGCAUGGCAACGAUAAGGAAUAUAGAUAUCCAUAUGGGAAAAAUGGCUAAACAAUUUGAAGAAAUACAAAGUGGCCAGUUUUCAGUCGACAGCCAAACCAACCCAGAAGUGUUGAAGAUGAGGAAGCUUUGAUGUAUCAAAUCCUCAUGGAACCUAAAGCUAUGUUACUUUUUAGGCUUGAGUUUAGUUAAGGGGGGUUUAGAAUCUUUGUAAGAUCAGUCUUGAUUCUCACACAAAGCUUGUUUCAAUAUGUUUCAAAGAACUAAGUGUUUUCCAUGCAAAGGGAAAAACAACCGAUUAAAGUUUCGAGACAAUCGGUUGUUUGUCACUUAGCUGGCAAAGGAGUUUUGAAAAUGCUUUUUGAAUCAGUUGUAUAACUGUUGAAACCAUUCAACCGGUUAAAUCUCAGUUUCAACCGAUUAAAUGUGAGUUUUCAUAACAACUUUUUGAAAACCUGUUUUAACUGUUUCAGUUGUUUAAAUUUGUCUUAAACGGUAGUUUUUCAAAGGUUAUAAAUAUAACCUUCUUUCAAAUAUUUAACACGAAUAUAAAAGAGAGAAGUUUUAUCAAAAAGAGAGAUUACCAACUGUAUGUGAAAAGGUGUUUUUCCAAGUUUAACAAAAUUGUUUUUGGGCUUUGUUGUGAUUCAAGAACUAAUCAAUAGGGUUUCUGGUGUACUGUAAUUCCAGGUGUUUCCUACCCUUUCUUAGUUUCUUGUAAUUAUUCAAAUUACACUUUGUAAAAUUGUUUGUAAAAAUUUUGCAAAGUCAGUGUGAUUCUGGCUUGAAGUGUUUGUUGUGUGCAAAGAGGGUGAGUAUGCUUUUUGGGAUUCAAAGUCACCUCUUUGUUGUGUGUUGUUGUAAUCUGUGAUUGGUUACUUAGUGGAAUACUCAGUGCUUUGACUGAGAACUGGAUGUCGCUCAGGGAUUAAGUGAACCAGUAUAAAUCUUGUGUGUAAAUCUCUCUAUCUCUCUUCUCCAUAACUGUUUGAUAUAUCCGCUGUCAUAAACAACCGGUUAAAUCGUGUUUUUAACCGAUUGAAUUUAUUAUAUCAGUUUCUGUUUGACUAUUUGAUUGACUUUCUGAAUUUCUUAUCCGAAUUGAUUGUUAAAGAUUCAUUCUAAAGAAAGUAUUUGUGAAAAUCUUUUAUAAACAAUUGACCUCUCCCUCUUGUUUUAGCCAUCAAUCCUAACAAUUGGCAUCAAGAGCUAUGUUCUUGAAAGGUACUCAAGUCUUUGUUUUCUGAAAAUCUUUUGAUGGCUGAUAAAAGUUUUUUUUUUGGGAAGGUGCCUCUUUGAAUAAACCACCUUUGUUCUGUGGUCAAAAUUAUCCAAUUUGGUGUAUAAGAAUGAAGUUCUUUAUUCAAUCCUUAUAUAAGAAUAUUUGGAAUGUUAUUUCAAAUAAUACCUAUGUGCAUAUGCCUGAAAUUAAUUAUGCAUCAUCUAAAGAACAUCUUGAUUGUAUGGCACAACAUAUUAUUGUGUUUGCUUUAGACUCUGAUGAAUUACUCAAGAUUUCAUAAUGCACUUUAGCUAAGGAAAUGUGGGAACACUUGAGAAAUGGCACAAGAAUCCAAAGAGUGACUUGAUGGAUAAAGAAGAGUCUUCUGCUGAUUUAAUCUCUUCUGAAAACAAGUUAGAAGUCUUCUUAAUGACCAAGGGAGAAUCAGAAUCAAGUCAGGUAAGUACAACCUCUUCUAAUAAGUGUGAAAGUUAUUUUCAAUUACUUGAUGCUUUCCAAGAAAUCCAUGAAGAAGCUAAGAGAUUAACUUUUUCAAAUAACCGAUUGAAAUGUGAAAAUAACAAGUUGAAAAUGAGAAUCACAAUUCUGGAAAAAGAUUUGAAUCAAUCAAAAGCUGAUUUAGAAAAUUCUGAACUGAUUUAUGAAAAAUCCUCUUGCAAAUGUGAUUCAAGUUUCUGCAAAAACUGUAAGUCUCUUUAAGAGAAAGUUUUAUAUCUUGUGAAAACAAUUGAUAUCAUUUCGAAAGGAAAAUCAAAUUUUGAAGAUGUGUUGGCAUCCCAAACAUGUGUUUUUGGAAAAUCUGGCUUGGGUUUUAACCCCCAAAGCAAACAAAGUGGGUUCUGUAGGAUCAGGAGGUUUUCUGUUCCUAAGGGUAUUCUGAAAUGGGUUCCUAAGGAUCCUAAUGUUCAUUGGAAACACAUUAACACUUAUGGACCCAAAUUCGUAAGGGGACCAGAUCUAGGAACUUGAUUUUGUUUCUUUUGUAGGGUUGUUUGGGGAGAAAACAGCACCUAUGGUAUCUACAUAGUGGUUGUUCAAAACAUAUGACAGGUGAUGCAUCCAAGUUCAUCAGCAUCUCUCUCAAACAAGAUGGGCAUGUAACCUACGGUGACAACAACAAGGGAAAAAUCCUUGGCAAAGGUACAUAGGUAAUGAAAAUAGCUUGCAUAUUCAUGAUGUGCUCUAUGUUGAAGGUUUGAAGCACAACUUGCUCAACAUUAGUCAGCUAUGUGACAGAGGUUACCAAGUUACUUUUAGGACU